rnacentral:lncRNA from 1 species
CAGUUUGAGCCUUGCAGUGUUCCACUCACCCAACACAUCUUCCAUGUCGCAACAUGCGUCUCUGAGUUGAUCGAGCCAGAGUCUUGACUGUUUCCUCCUUUAUUUGCCUUUUUUCAGCAUCAUGGAGCACAGUUUGAAUGGUUCGGAGUUUGCGGGUCAGCUUCUCCGCUUCCUUUCCGACGCCCGUUUCCAGCCUCACUUGUUCCUUUGCCUCAUCGACAGCCAUUGAAGUCAGCUGCUCCAAGAUAGGGGAAAGGAUCGCAUCAACCAUGGUGAAAAAGAAAAAAGAGAGAGAGAAGAAAUUGAUGGUGAAUUGUUGCAAAAGUAAGUAGCUAAUUCUGAAAGAAAUGAAGGAGCUGAUAAUGUGGUGAAAAUGUUGCCGUAUUCUUUCAAUUCCGUUUUGGAAUUAUGCAGUCAGUCAUUUUAUUAAAAAAUAAAAUAAAAUAAUAAUAAUAAUAAUAAUAAUAAUAAUUUGAUCAACAGAAUUUGAUCAGCCACCAAAGCUUUACUUCAGUGAUUUUCUCAAUACGAGGUACGGUCCUCAGAACCUUAUCAUGAUGCAUGUAUAUUCUAAGCUUCAUGACAUCAUUUUAAAAAAGUUUUGCUAAGGUAAUUUGAAAUUUGUUUUAUUAAAUGAAUGUUACAUUUACUGGUAUGUUUAAUAGUUUGUGGGUAAUUAUUUAUUUUGUUUUGGAUAAAAAUUUUGCUAUCGAACAAACUAAUAACUGAACUUGACUUAUUUUUAUAUAAAUUUUAUGUUAUGAUCAUUGUAGGUAUGUUAUUUUUAAAUUAUGACCUCAUGUAAAAUCAAAAUUUUUAAUUUCACCAUUUUUUAUAGAGUUUGGUUAUGAUAAUUAAAUAAUGUGAUAAACACAUACAAGGCAAAAAAAUUUACGUGGUUCGACAUAUUAAUUAAUAUGCCUACAUCCACGGGUAGUAAUACCGAUAAUCCACUAUGUGAUGAAAAAUUGUACAAACAACAAGCUCUCAGAUGCAAAUAAAACGAAAAGAAACACCAGUCUUAACACUCUAAACCAAUCAACCCCCAGCAGCUCAGCGUCGCAAGAGCUCUUUCUGUCAUGUGCUUUUCCUUAUUCAUUCUCUUUACAAACACAAGGCUCACAAAAAACAAAACAAAACAAAACAAACAAAUUGCUGAAUACUGAAAACAUACAUAGCAGAUUAAAAAAGCACGCGCCGCGCCCGUCCCCCAAUUCCUUCUCUGCUACGCCAUUUACGUAAUUCCUUUUUGGCUGAAAAAUAUCGCUUUCUCCAACAAAACCAAUGAAUCAGUUAGACAAAUAUAUCUAAUUAUAAUGGUUUGGUGACGUAAUUAUAUCUAAUCAUAAUUUUAUAUAUAUAUAAAUAUAAACAAUUGGACAUGCAUCAGCAAAUUAAUGAAGAAGAGUAGAGAGCAAAUGAGAAGGAAAGCAUAUGCAAUUACUAACCAGAGUUAAUUUGAUUCCUUUCCUUGUUGGCUCUGUUCACUGUUGGACUAGACGUUUCAUCUCAUGCACUCUCACGUCUGUCUGUUUUCGAUCCGCUCUUAAUUAAUAUUUUGUUAAUUAAUUGGCUGAAAAUGAAAAGUUUCUUUAAUAUUUCAUUAAGCAGAGAGCAAAGGAAUUGACGACACACUUAUAAUAAUUAAUUUCUAAAUUGGAUUAAAAAAAAUAACAACUAAUUGAUUUUUUUAAGUAACAUAGGAGAUCUAGAAAGAAAGAAGUUACCCGUGGCCGGGGGUGAUUGUAAUUGCAGCCGCGCCCAUUCAGCGAAUGUCGAUGUCCGGAAUGUGGCGUAUCUUAGGCCAGUCCUCUCCUGUCUCCUUUCUGCAACGUUCUUUUAAAACAGGACAUUCCCCCCAAAUCUCCAAUCUCUGGAGCGUUGACUUCUGAAGAAGGUGAUCGGGCAAUGCUUUUAAUUUACGGCAACAACCAAUUUCCAAGAAAGAAAGACGUGGCAUGAUUAUGAUUUCUCCCUUUAUUGCAGUCCCGAAAUCCCACUCUUCCAGUUCUUCCAUAUGCUUAAAUGUGAGCUUUUUCAAUUUGGGAAAGGCAAUAACUGAGGAGCCAUCCGUAUCACUUUCUACUCCCAGAAAUUCAUUACCCACUCUUUUCACACUUUUCAUUCCAAAAAUAAGAAGAGAUUCAAGGGAUUUCAAUUUUCCCAAAGGAGGCAAAUGCUCACAAUUUCUGCAAUUGCAGAGAUAUAAAUCCCUUAAGUUGGUUAACGACAUGAACCAAUUUAUGGGGACAACAUUCCUCCUCCCUCUGUAUUGAUAUAUCUCUAACCUCUUUAAAUUAGGAGGUGGUCCCAAGGCUUCAAGAAGCCGUUCAUCUUCAUCCUCCUCAUUCUCCCUCCUCCCAGCUUGAUCAAAUUGAAGUUCCAACUCAACGAGAUAUUUCUUUUUCUCAAGUUCAGCCCUUCUAGCCUCCCCCGCAUCUGACACACCACCCAGCCCACGUAUACUACAUUGUCGACGGAGGUUAAGCUUUUUAAGAGACCCAAGGCUACAUGCUCUGUCAUACCCUCCGCCCACAACAAACUCUCUCACUUCCCGAAGCCUGAUUAAUUCCCCAAUCCCUACCGGCAAGUAUCUUAAAGAUGCAGUCCGCGCAUUGUGUAAAUACAUCAGCUUUCUUAACCUCCCAAUCCCUCGAGGUAAUUCUCUAAGAUUUCGACAAUUAUUAACAUCUAAACGUUCUAAAUUAUACAACUCACACAACGUCUCGGGUAAUUUUUCUAUCUCCCUUUGACCGCACAAACUAAGGUAUUUCAGAUGUAACAAUUUUUCUAUAUUUUUUGGAAUUUUUUUGAUGAAAUUAUGACCCCAGAUAUGCGCCUCUAAUGUUAAUACCCUUAAACAAGUUAAUUUAUCAAAUAAUUGAGGUAAAACUUUGCUAGACCAUGAAUAAUCACCACCUUCAACCAAGAGGCUACGCAAUCGUCUCACUCUCUUAACAUUAUUCCAAAUGGCUAUCGGGACUGAAGUCCCCUCGUCUACAGUUAACAUUAAAUGAAGAACUUUUUUCUGCUCAAAGGAACUCAUAAUAGACUCUUCACCACCAUGAAUUUUCACUGUUAAACAUUCAUUCCUGCAUAUAAAUUGGGCAAGGUCGUGCACUAAAUCGUGCAUUUUGCACUUAUAGACUUUACCAUCAACAUCUGUUUCGAACUCUUGAAAAAAUGAACUACUAGCUAAAAUGUUGAAAUACUCUUCACCUAUGUCCUCCAUCUCUUUGUUUCCUUUCUCAUUAAGGUAACCUUGAGCCAUCCAUAGUUUAAUUAACUCAUGCUUCCAUAUUUCAAGGUCUUUCGAAAAAACAGCACAAUAUGAGAAACAAUGUUUUACCUUAGAGGGCAAUUCAUUGUAACUCAACAACAGAGGGGCCAAUAGACCUCUCUCAACCACUUCGUGAUCCCAUAUCUCACUCUUUAAAAUAUUUUGCCAUUCUUCUUCAGUGUUUUUAGACCUUAAAAGACUACCAAUGGUCUUUACAGCUAAAGGUAAGCCCUUGCAUUUUCCUACAAUUUCUCGACCAAUUUUUUUUAAAUUCUCACAUCCCUCCAUGGACUUGCCGAAAAAUGCUAUUGACUCAAAUAUUGACCAGCAUUCCUUUUCAAACAAAACAGCAAUUGGGAUAAUGUCAGUUGAUUUCAUAAUAUGGGCAGUUGUUUCAUCACGUGUAGUAAUUAAAAUUUUACUUCCGUGGAAACCAUUUUUUAAACAAUUGUAGAAUGGUUCCCAUUUAGAGUCAUCUUUAUUCCACACGUCGUCUAAGACAAGAAGAAAUUUCUUGCCUUCAACACAUCCUUGAACAUGUUGCAUGAGAGAUUGAAACUCACCAAAGUUAGGGGCAGAACCUGUUAGAGCCUCAAUGAUUGCUCUGGCGAUUCUGAACACAUCAAACGGGUCUGACACACAGACCCAUAUUCUUUUCUCAAAAUGAUUUUUAACAUCAUCGUUGUUGUAGGCUAAUUGAGCAAGAGUAGUUUUGCCUAUGCCUCCCAUCCCAACAAGUGAGAUGACACAGGGGCCUUUCUGCUCUUCACUACUCUCACGUAACAGCUUAUUAACCAGAUCGUUCUUCUGUGUUUCUCUACCAAAUAUCUCGGACUCAUCAAUUAAGGAGAUACUUGGUACUCGUUGAUCCGCUCUCUCAUUACUGUUAAUAACAUUCACAGCAAAACCAAACUCGGCUUUUUGUUUGGCAAUAUCAUCAAGAGUUUCAUUGAUGUCUUUCAUCUUGAGAGCAAUGCGACGACGUAAAAAAAUAGGUUUGCAGCCAAAGCAAGAGGCAGCAGGAAAGAAGGAACAUACCUUCUUCUUAGGAACGAGAGCAUCAUUCUCAUGAUCAUCCACUCCAUCGAUCUGCAGUUUGAGGUUUGCAGUGUUCCACUCACCCAACACAUCUUCCAUGUCGCAACAUGCGUCUCUGAGUUGAUCGAGCCAGAGUCUGACUGUUUCCUCCUUUAUUUGCCUUUUUUCAGCAUCAUGGAGCACAGUUUGAAUGGUUCGGAGUUUGCGGGUCAGCUUCUCCGCUUCCUUUCCGACGCCCGUUUCCAGCCUCACUUGUCCCUUUGCCUCAUCGACAGCCAUUGAAGUCAGCUGCUCCAAGAUAGGGGAAAGGAUCGCAUCAACCAUGGUGAAAAAGAAAAAAGAGAGAGAGAAGAAAUUGAUGGUGAAUUGUUGCAAAAGUAAGUAGCUAAUGCUGAAAGAAAUGAAGGAGCUGAUAAUGUGGUGAAAAUGCAGCCGUAUUCUUUCAAUUCUUAUAGUACUGCAAGCAAAAUUCCAAUUUAGAAAUAUUUCGUUUCAGCCCUUGUGAAAGAAGCUACUGUUAUUAUUAUUACUAUUUUUUUUUUAAUAGUAAUAUUUGUGAACUUGACAAAAUUGUUAGAUAAUAUUUGUGAUCGUGUCGUCAUAUUGAGAUUUGGAAGCAUUUGCUUCACAAUCACCCAUGAACUUGAUAAUUUUUAGAUUGUUUGAUCUGAAUUAUACGUGUUUUAUUAGCUUAGAAAUACCCUGACCAUCUCUUUCUGAUUUUCUUUUUUUUUUUUUUGAAAUUUGACUCAUUUGCAUAAUUAGUUGAAAGGAAAGAAUGAACAUACAAUUAAACUAAGAAAACGCUGCCACAUAAUAUUCUAAGGUUCAUAUCGAACCGCUUUAUUUAGAUUUGUGAUUUCUGAUAGUGGGAGUUUAGAGUUUAAUCUCUAACUUUGAUUGUGAAGUGUGAAAAAUCAAAUAAUCUUUUCUACUAGUUUUUCAACAAUAAUAGAUAACAAUUCAUCAUUAGUUAUUUCUCAUUACGUAUAAAAUGAUCAAUCUAGAGCUGAAUAUUCACAUAAUUUUCUAUUUCUAAUCAUUUCAAAAUUUAAUAUAAACUUUUAAAAAAAAAUCAAUCUGUAAUAAAGUGACAUAAAUAUAAAAAAACGAAAAUAAAAAGUAAAAAUUGUAAUGCAGAAAAAAGACAAAACCUUUUGUUUGUUCUAUUCAUGACAUCUAAAUAUGAGUACGAUGGGUUGAUUGUAGGGGUGGGCAUGAGUUGGUUUGGGUUGGGUUUUGAGUCAACCCAAACCAAACCAUAAAAGUUUGGGUUCAACCCAAACCAACUCAAAUAUUUCCAACCCAAUCCAAACCAAUCCAUUUGGGUUUGGUCUGGGUUUGGUUUCAAUUUUAUUAUUAAAAUUUUUUUAUUUUGAUAAAAUUAAUUAUAUUAAAUUUAUAAUAAUAAUUAUUUUUUAUUAAUAAUUAAAUUGAUAUUAAAAUAUAAAAAAGAAAUAUAGUGGAUAAAAAUUAUAAAUAAUAAAUUUUGCAAUAACUUCAUCCUUAAAUUAAAAGAUUGCUAGAAAAUUAAAAUAAAAUUCAAUCACAAAAGUAUUAUUUUCUCAAUAAAUGAGAAUGUAAUAUCUACUAAUAAAUUUCUACAAAUAUGACAUCAAUAAGAAAUUCAAAGAAGGAAAAAAAAACAUAUACACAUAGAGUAAGUUUUUAAUAAGGGUUUUUAUUUUUUAUUUUGUUAAAGUAAGAAAUAAAUUAAAAUUAUUAAAUGAUAAGCUAACUCACAAAGCAUUUCUCUCUCUAGAUCAAUGCAAAAUCAUUUAAGAAUCAGUCAUUGGUCAAGCUUCCUUAUGUGAUUAAAUUAAUUUUUGAAGAGUAACAAGAUACAGAAUGUGGGGAAACAUCAGGAUGCCACAAAACUGCAAACUAAAGCUGUCCAAACGAGAAAAGCUUAAAAUUAAGUUGAAUUGAGACCGGCGAGAAUUAAUAUUGUAAUUUUAGUUAUGAUUUUAGACAAUAAGUUUAAGUAAUGAGAUUUUGUCCGUGACCCAUGGGUAAACCAUACCUAACCCAUAAUAAAAUGAUUUUUUUUUUUAUAUAUAAAACACACAUCUAACCCAUUUUCAUAAUUUACCCAACCCAAACCAUUAAAUUUGGUUUGGGUUUGGGUAAAUUCAUGGGUUGUAGGUUUAUGCCCACCCUUAGUUGAUUGUCAUUGUGAACUACCAUAUAAUUGCAAGGCGUGAAUAUUAUCAAAGAUAUAAUAAUUCAUGGACCCAUACAUCUGUAUUUCUAAUUAUUCCGCAUAGAAAGCUAAAGUUUAACGUGUGAUUCUCAAAUUCAUUUUCAAGUGUUUUGAACGUUUUAACGAUUAGCGCUUAAUUUUCUUUUUGAUGGAGAAUAACAACUUGAAGAUUCCUGGAAGUUGCCUGCAGUUCAAAUAUUUUUCUUCAGACGAAAACCAUCACCAAUUUUCAAACUUAGAAGAUAUUUAUUUUUUUCCCAUAACCCACCAAAAACUUUUUCAUUUAGUGUAACUUUGUAAUUUUCUUAGAUGAUACUUAAGACUGCUAAUAUCUUCUUAUUAUCACCAAAAACUUUGUAACUUUGUAAUUUUCACUAUUCAUAUGUAGUGGCAGACAGCGGUGGCCAAUUAAGGGAUGAAGACUACUACUCCACCGAGUAAAUCUUGACACGUGUGCUUUUUCUAAUUACAUUUUUGCAAUGGCAAUUAAUGCUGAAGGAAAUGAAGGAGCUAAUAACGUGGUGAAAAUGCUGCCAUAUUCUUCCAAUACUUAUACUGCACGCAAAAUUCCAAUUUAGAAAUAUUUCAUUUCAAAAGAAGUUAUGGCUAUUGUUAUUAUCUUUCUUUUCUUUUCCUUUUAUUUUUUAUUUAUUUUUUAACCAGUGUGGACUGGAAAUAUUGUCAGGUCCUCCGUCUGCGAUUCACGCGGUAUAUGAACUUGACAAAGUUGUUAUAUGAUAAUAUGAUAGAGGACCAUAUGUUGUCUCCGUCAGGUCCGCUUAUAGGGUCUUGCUAUGUUACAGUUUGGGAUCCGGCUUCUUUUGUUUUUUAUGGCUGUGUUAUUGUAAAUUUUCAUAUAACCCCCUUUACUCAUUUUUAUUUAAGCUUUACUUUAUAAAUAUUAAAUUAAUUUCUACUACAUCCAUAUAAAUAUUUUAGUUAGCACCUUGUGUUAUUUAUUAUUUAUAAAUUUUUAUUCUAUAUUAUACCUAUAUCACAAUACCCCACUCUUUAUAAUUUUGAGAUUAAAUAAUUAACAAGGAAAAGAAUUGGAUAGACCCGAACUCGUAAACCCAACCCGGAUUCCGUUUUCAUUUCCGGCCACUCCACCAGCCAAGGUUGGUACCGAUCGAAAGAUCGUGCGACGCCGGUCAUCUCCAUGUCAUCCUUGUAGCAAAAAGAAUCGGGUCAAACCGAACCCGCAAACCCGACCCGCAUGCCGUUUCCAUUUUCGGCCACUCCACCGGCCAAGGUUGGUACCGAUCGGAAGCUCGUUCGAUGCCGGUCAUCUCCAUGCCAUCCUUGUCGCCGGAAAGUGUUCGAAAAGCUGCCGAUCGAAGCCGUGAAAAGCCGCUUCAAUUCGCCACGAUUUUUCCGGUUUCUGGUGACGCCACCACCUGGUUUUUGUUCCCCACAAUUCCCUCUGUCUUUUACGACCAGCCACAGCCACCGGAGGAGCUGAUUUGCCGUUGAUCGGCCGUUGAAGGAUUCACGGGUUUGGGAGAAAUUAACUUAAUAUUUGUGAAACAAAGUUUAAAUAAAAAUGAAUGAAAGGGGUCAUAUGAAAAUUUACAAUAACACAGCCAUAAAAAACAAAAGAAGUGGCACGGUACCACUGUGGUACCGUAGCCGGAUCCUACAGUUUGUGUCUGUAACAGCACAUGACGUGACAAAUAAUUUAUUAAGAGUGCGCCAUGUGUAAAAAUUUAAUGAUCCAAUUUGGUAACAAGAUUCUUUUCACCCGUUAUUAUUAACCGGUUGCAGAUGACUUACUGAAAUUACAAUUACGUUAAACAGUGUUUGACUGUGAAGUGUUAAAAUUUAAAUAAUCUUUACUAUUUGUUUUGCAACAAUAAUAAAUAACAAAUCAUUACUAAUUAUUUUUUAUUUUGUAUAAAUUGAUCGAUCCAGAGCUGGAUAUUUACAUAUUUUUCUAUUUCCAAUCAUUUCAAAAUUUCAUAUAAACUUUUUUUUUAAAAAAAAAUCAAUUUGUAUUGAAGUGUCAUAAAUAUAAAAAAAAUGAAAAUGAAAAGUCAAAAUUGUAAUGCAGAAAAAAGACAAAACCUUUUUUUUUUUUCCACGGCAUAUGAAUAUGUUGUUACAGGUAAUGGAAUUUAUAACCCCAAAGGGAAGCUUCUUCCAUAAAUAAUACGAGAAUGACGGAUUGAACGUAUGAACACUAUAUUUUCUUUUUGACAAAAGCACAAUAAUAACUUAAGGUACUGCAACACUGCAUGAAGAUUCCUGGAAGCAAUCUUUUUUCUUUUGGACAAAACCAACAAUAAUUUUCAAACCUGGAAGACACUCGUUAAAAGAUGGAUCUUCAUGGUUUUUUUACCCCCCAUAACCCACCCACCAAAAACUUUUUUCAUUUACUUUAACUUCGUAGUUUUCUUAGAAGAUACUUAGAACUGCGAAUAUCUUCUAAUUAUUGUUUUAAAAAUCUCAGUUGCAUGCCCAAUUAACUAAUCAGUAGCCUCAGUUCGACAUAUUUAAAACACACAAAAAAUUUUAAAAAAAAAUGACACAGUGGUUUGAUGACUUUGUAAUUGAUACAUUCAGGAAAUGAAGAGAAAAAGGAACACACGCACUUAUGACGAUCAUUGCAGAUGAUAUAAUAGAUGUAAGUAUUUGGUGGCAAUUAAUUAACUAAUACUCUUAUCAAGUAAUUGCUUUGGACUCGAAUUAAGCAGCUCUGCACUGCCCUUGGAUAAUUCCCCUGCUUAAAAAACAUUGUUUUAAAAAUCUCAAUUAACUACAUGCCCAAGCCCAACAAAUCAGUUUGACAUGCAAUAUUAAAAAAAAAAAAAAAAAAAAAAAAAGGAUCGACCAGCACAGCAAUUUUGGUACAAUGACUUUGUUGUAAUUGAACAUCAUUAGAAAUUUAAUAAAGAUUAGAGAGCAACGAGAAACCGCAAUUAAACUAACCAAUUUGAUUAUUAAAUCUUAAGUCUCUAGCACCGUUCCGUUAAUCCUCUGAUCGAUCGCACAGUCCUGUCUUGUCAUGUUUCCUUCUAUGCAUAAUCGAUUCAUUUACUAAAUGAAAUUAAUCAAUUUGAAUAUAUAUAGUUGAACUUUUAGUAAUUUUGUAGCUUGCAAAGUAUGAUAUCUUUACCGCGUGGGUUUGGACAUAACUGUUAUAAACUUGGUCAGUUUAAUAAAUAUAACGUAACCUAUGAUAUUAUAUAAAUAUUCAAUUAUUCUUUUGGAGAGAAGUAAAUUCACUCAAAUUUAAAAAAGGUUGGUACAGAUAAAAAUAUUUCAUGUUUUAUUACCUAAUAAUAUUUGAAUUUUAAGGUGCGUUUGGUAUUGUUUUUGUUUUGGUGUUUUUUGUUUUUUAAUAAUGAAGCAAUCUAAAAUUUGUUUGGAUAACUUGUUUUUAAAUUGUAUUUAAUUCUAAUAGAGAAUGAUUUGUUCUAAUUUUCCAACUGAAGAAAAGUGGAAAAUAGAAAAUUAAUAUUUUUUUUUUCUUCAAAUGAAUCCCAUAAUCCUACUUGCACAAUAAGAAAAUAAAAAACCUAUUACUUUAUAAUACAAAUUUUCAUUUAUUUAAUCGUUUGUUUUUUUCUAUGAUGGUAAUAUAUUAUUUUAGUAAUUUUUAAAGAACUUUGAUAUUCUCUAAAAAUAUAUAUUUUAUCUCAUGUUUAUAAAAUAAAAAAUUUACAAUAGCAAAAAAAUAUAUAAUGAUAAAAAAAACUUAGUUUGUUAAAAUUUUUUCAUUAUGAUAUUUGUUUUCACUCUAAUUCAACGUCUUCACUUUUUUAGACAAAAAAUUAUCUACAUUUUUAAAACUCUUGACAAUGACAUAAAACAUUUUGUACUUCUUAAGUAGAUUCCAGUUGUUCUUGUUCUGAGAUUACCAAAAGCAUUAUAGCAAACGAAACCAAGCCAGCCCAGUUUCCAGUAAAGGCAACAGCCCUAUGCUAUGCUAGCCUUUCGGUCUGAGUUGGCCCAUUUACACGCUUGUGAACACAAUGCCUUUUUGGUCAUCCAUCAGACAAGGUUGAAAAAGGAACUAAAACUGAACAGUAGAACAGAUUACCUGGAGGUGAUGGUAUAUGCAGCCGUUUGAGGCCUCCUAAAAGACUUCUCCUGAUCCCUUGAAAGUUAUGAAUUAAGACAGUAGGCCAGUCUGCUCUUGUUCCCUUUCUGUAAACUUUCAUUUAAAACAGGACAGGACAUUCGCGAAUCACCCCUGCAAACCAAAUCCAAGGCAAAAUUGAUCAAUGCGAUUUAGUAAGUGAGCCUUGAAAAGUCAUCACACAGCUUAAAAGCCAAAUGAAUUAGGACUUGUGAUUGGGGUAAUGGUUUAAAGAAAAUAGUAAGCAAUCCCCACUCAAAGCCAAAGUAACAAAGCAGAAGAAUAUGCUAAUUAACCUUAACCGACAUCAACUUAAUUUUGAUCGGCGACCAAAGCCUCAGUGGUCUUCUCAAUUCCACCUCUGGUAAAUAGAAUGGGAUCUGCACCAGCUACUACCACCUGAAUGAGUACCAAAUAAGCCCCCCCCCCCCCCCCCCCCCCGCGUGAAGUUAACAUCAAAUGAAGGAUUUUUUUCUCCCCAAAAGAGCUCAUAGUUGACUCUUCACCACUACCACUAUGAAUUUCUACAGAUAAACAUUCUACAUAAAUAUUGGGCAAAAUCGUGCACUAUAUCAUGCAUUUUGCACCUAAAUAUUUCACAAUCGUCACCUCUGUCAAAAUCCUGAAAGAAUGAGCGGCUAGCUAAAAUGUUGAAAUACUCUUCAUCAAUGUCCUCCAUCUCUUUGUGUCCUUUCUCACUAAGGUAACCUUCUAGUUAUAGCUUACUCAUAGCAAGUUUCACUACAAGAAAAAGUACCUACUAUGACAGUCCUCUGUGUGACAGUUUUUGGUCUGGAGGCCUACAAUAAUAGAAUCGUGAUAGAAAUAUCGUUUAUCAAGAAAUUAUGAUAUAUUGGUGAUAUAAAUAUCAUAUAUCAUGAAACUAUGAUAGACUAGUGAUAAAUUAUUUGACUAUCAAAAAUGAAAGACUGAUUUUUUAUGUUGACUUUAAUUGUGCGGGUUUGACUUAAUUUUUACAAAUAUUAUAUUACUAAAAAAGAAGUGAAACAAUGCCGUCUCAGUUGUAUGUUUUGCAAGUGUUUGAGGAAAACAGAAACGUAAAUAACAAAAAACAAUUAAUAAAACGUUGGGUUUUGUAAAGGGGGGAAACAUUUUUGUGAGAAAAGAGGGAAAUUUUUUUCUAAGUGUUCAGAAAAUUUGCAAGCGUUAUUGUGGAAUCUCAAAAUCGAUUAGCACACUUGCAGCAAACCCUCAAAGGCCGACCAUAUAGCAAACUAACGACACCCAAACACCCAUCGUUUCAAAAUCAUUCUGGUUGUUUCACUGAAUCGUCUCUCUUUGCUGCGGUUGUCAUUGAACCGUCUCUCUUUGCUGGGAUGAAGUCAGUGCUAAUUGAAACCCAAAUUGGAAUGAGAGCAACAUCCAGGGUACUUUUAUUGGCUGAAAGAAACACAAUCGCUUACCGUGAAAGAAGACCCCAAAUCGUUGUUGCCGAAGUUGAAACCCUAGGCUUGACGGUGAAUUGAAGCUUCACACCCACUAGUGAGUCAUUGCUGCAUUUGCAUGUAUUUAAUUUGGACUAUUUAUUCAACUUUUAUGUAAAGUAGUAAAUAAUUUGUAAAAAAUGAAAUGUAUUUGCAUGUAUUGCAUAUAUUACAUAUAUUUCGGUAAUCAAUUUACUAAAUAAUUUCCCAGGAAGAUAUAAUGUUGUUAAUUUUGAGUUCUGUUUUGAGUUGUAAUCGUGCAUUGCAUAAUGUUGUUAAUUUUUUUUAAUUCUAGGUAAUUCUGAUUUAUAUUCAUGUGUUUGUGUGUGAAUUUUUUUUUUCUAGCUAUUUCUGAUAUUGAAGCUUCGUUAAGUUAAAUGAGUGUUAGUGUAUGAAGAUGGUGAUAAUCUGCAACUUAUAUAUCUUUAUGUUCUAAUAGUUGAUUCUUUAAAUAUUGGCCUGAAAUGUCUAUAACAACGCAUGAGGAAGUGAAAUUUUUUAUGUUCUAAUAGCGCGGAUUGAUUCUUUAUGUUCUACCACCACUUCAAUUAUAAUGCUUCAUUGAUUCUUUAAAUAUCUUUAUGUUCUAAUAGCGCGAAUUUACGAUGUCGUAGGUUUAACUUUGUUUAUUUCAUAUGGUGCUGUAACAUUAGACAAAUAUUCUAAGUAUGUACAUUCUUUCUUUGUUUUAUGUAUAUGUCAGGAACAUUAAUUAUUAAGCCAGAAAUGGAUAAAUCUUGGAUUCAAUGUAACCGGCUGUCGACAGAAUAUGAAGAGGGUGUCCAAAAAUUUAUAAAUUUUGCUAUAAAAAAUGCUGGAGGCAGUAGUGUCAUUAGGUGUCCAUGCCUUGAUUUUGGGAAUUUAUCAUUUGAAACACCUACAACUGUAAAAGAUCAUUUAUACAUGCAUGGUUUUGAUGUGAAAUACGACAAUUUUGGCACGGGGAAGAGAUUCGUAAGAGUCUUUCUCCUCAAAGAGAAAACCAUUUUCAGCAACAAAAUAUAGAGUUUGACAAUGGUAAUGAGUUAGAAAUGGUUAAUGAUGCUUAUAAGGGUUGUUGUGGGGACCCUAAGGCAUUCAAAGAGUUGCUAGAACAAGCUAAGAAACCCUUGUACCUAGAUGCACAAAAUUUACUAAGUUAUCAUUUUCAGUGAAAUUGUUGAAUGUGAAGGGUAGAUUUGGGUGGUCUGACAGUAGCGUUUCUGCAUUGUUGAGUGUUUUAGCAGAUGCUUUCCCUGAAAAUAAUGAAAUUCCAACCUCUAUGUAUGAGGCCAAAAAGACAAUGUCAGCUUUGGGGUUAGAAUAUGUUAAAAUUCAUGCUUGCCCAAACGAUUGCAUACUCUACAAAAAAGAGUAUGAAGGUCUUUUUGAAUGUCCUACUUGUGGGUUAUGUAGAUGGAAGAAAAAUGAUGGUACUGUAGACCAAUAUAGGAAAGGGGUUCCAGCAAAAACUUUAUGGUAUUUUCCUCCUAUACCUAGGUUUAAGCGCAUGUUUCAAUCAUCUGAAACUGCUAGAGACUUGACUUGGCAUGCAAAUGAGAGGAUGGUUGAUGGUAAACUCCGACAUCCGGCUGACUCACCAUCUUGGAAGUUAGUAGAUGAGAAAUGGCCGAUCUUUGCAUCUGAUCCUAGAAACCUUCGCCUAGCUCUAUCAGCUGAUGGAAUCAAUCCACAUAUCUCUCUUAGUAGUACAUAUAGCUGCUGGCAAAUAAUUCUUAUUACUUAUAAUCUUUCACCAUGGUUGUGCAUGAAACGAAAAUUCAUGAUGUUGUCCCUCUUAAUUUCUAGUCCUCAACAACUGGGUUUAGACAUUGAUGUGUAUUUGCAACCUCUUAUUGAGGAUUUGCAAAUUUUAUGGGAUGUUGGGGUGGAGGCAAUGAUGCCUACAAAAGUGAGUACUUUAAUUUGCGGGCUGUAUUACUAUGGACAAUAAAUGACUUCCCGGCAUACAGAAAUUUAGCGGGAUGUACUGUUAAAGGAUAUUAUGCCUGCCCAUAUUGUGGUGUAGAAACACCAAAAUGUAGACUUAAACACAGUGGAAAAAAUGUAUACAUUGGGCAUCGGCUUUGGCUUCCUCAUUGUCAUAAAUUUCAGUUCCAAGCAAAAGCCUUUGACAAUAGUGUGUGUGAUAAAACCCCUCCAAAACUGUUAAACGGGGAGGAAAUUUUUCAGCUGGUCGACUCUAUUGAUAAUAGAUGGGGGAAAAGCAAUAGUAAAAAGCGUAAAAGUGAGAACAAUGAUGAUCUCGUGUGGUGGAAGAAGAAAUCCAUAUUUUAUAAUUUAAAGUAUUAGAAGCACUUGCUUGUGCGGCAUCAAUUAGAUGUUAUGCACAUUGAAAAGAAUGUGUGUGAGAACAUCGACGAUACACUGCUGCAUAUUCCUGGAAAGUCCAAAGAUAGACUGAAGUCAAGGAUGGAUCUCUUGAAAAUGAAAAUUAGGCCUAAAUCAGCACCACAAGUUAAAGGAAACAACAAUCGUACAUGGCUUCCUCCUGCUUGCCACACCUUAACUAAGGAGGAAAAAGUAAGAUUCUGUGCAGCUUUGAAAAGUAUCAAGGUUCCUACUGGAUACUCUUCAAAUAUUAGGAAUCUUGUGUCAAAAAAUGACUUUAAACUCCAGGGUCUUAAAUCCCAUGAAUACCAUGUUCUUAUGCAACAACUUUUGCCAAUUGCCGUAAGGUGUGUGCUGCCCAAACAUGUCAAAGAAGCUAUUAUUAGGUUCUGUUUCUUCUUUAAUUCGUUGUGUGCGACUGUGAUUGACAUGACAAUGCUAGAUGAAUUGGAGAAAAACAUCGUAGAGACUUUGUGCUUGCUUGAAAAAUGUUUCCCCCUUCUUUUUUUGACAUAAUGUUUCAUCUUACUAUUCACUUAGUGAGUGAAGUUAGACAAUGUGGCCCUGUAUAUUUUCGAUUGAUGUAUUAUUUUGAGCGAUACAUGAAAAAUCUAAAAGGCUAUAUUCGAAACCGUAACUGUCCUGAGGGUUGCAUAGCGGAGAGUUAUAUUGCCGAGGAAGCCUUAGAAUUUUGUGAAGAAUACUUGGAAAACAUGCCCACAAUUGGGGUUCCACUUGGACAUGUGCAGAAUUUAGAAAUUGACAAGCCCAUGAGUGGUGGACAAAUGGUGGAAGUUGAUCGAACUUCAUUAGAUCAAGCACACUUGUAUGUUUUACAUAACACUGAGGAAAUUCAACCUUAUAUAAGGUGAUGUUAUCUAACUUGUGUUAUUUUAGUUUUAUAUUUGUCAAGUUUUGGUAGUUUAGGAACCUGAAAAUUUUGUCUUUUUAACUGAUUUUUAGAGAGCAUGAGGAUUGGUUACAACUUUGCCAUCCACGAAAAAAUGAGAAGUGGUUGCAAGAUGAACACAACCAAACAUUUGCAGAUUGGCUAACAGAUAAGGUUUUGAUAACAUUAGUUUAAUUAAUUCAUUUUUUCCUUUCUGUUUCGGUUUGUGCUUGUUUAACAUUAUAUUCCUGUCGAUUAAUAAUAGGUAAAUAUAUUGAUAGAGAACGGUCACGUUGUUACUCAAACAAUCUGUUGGUUAUCCCAAGGGCCUCGUCCUUAUGUUUUCCAACAUCCUGGUUUAUGACAUAAAUGGUUUUCACUUUGUUACAAGAGAUUGAGACUUAAAUAGAGUUACUCAAAAUAGUGGAGUGUCUUGGUUACACAAACAAUUUCAGUCGCAAGUUCAAAAGAUAAAAAUCUUGUCACUUCUAACAUCAUAUACUAUGAAGUGAUUAGAGAGAUUUGAGAUCUAGAUUAUGUUAUCUUUAGAAUUCCAAUAAUGAAGUGUGACUGGGUACAUACCAGAGGUGGUGUUAUGAAGGAUAGACUCGGAUUUACUUUGGUAGACUUGCAACGAAUGGGCCAUAAAUCUGAUCCAUUUAUUUUAGCUUCUCAAGCCAACCAAGUUUUUUAUGUACCUGAUCAGCUUGAUAAGAAGUGGUCAAUUGUAUGUCAAAUGCCUAGAAGAGGUAAACCCACACAAAGAAGUGAAGAUGCAGUGGAUUAGCCUUCGUUGACUAUUGAAUUUCCAAGUGCUGAUAACAUAAACUCUAUUGACGAUGAUGCUACAAUGUAUGCCCGAGACAACAAAAAGGGAAUUUGGAUUGGACCUUGAAUAUCGUUUCUGUGUUUGUUUGCAUGAGUUGUUUGUUGAGUCCUUCUCAAAAUGAUAUAUGUUAAGGUUAAUACAAGAAGUAUUUUAUGCUAUCUGUUAUUAUUUUAUUUUGUAUUUUUUGGUAGUUUUUAUAUGGUAACGUAUUCUCAUUAUUUGAUUUUGUUCUGCAGUUGUGAUAUUCAUCAUGGAUAAGGAAAAAAAUGUCCCUGAGAUUUCUUCGCGAAUGAUAUGAUCCUGAAACGCCCCCGGCCGAUCAUGUCCCUGAUCUUGAUGAGUUUGGAGAUGGGAACGAGGAUGAACCUGGGAGCAGUAAGCGAAGCAGAGGUGGCACUGUUGGGUCAGAACAAAACAAAAAGAGGAAAAGAAGUGGAAGGUUUGUGGUUAAAUACAACAGCCUUGGUGUUCCAGUUGGUGAAGAAGCUAUUGAGCUGGCUACGUAUAUUGGUGUUUUGGCUCAUAUAUCAAUUCCAAUCCUCUACAACGAUUGGCGUAGAGUUCUAGAUGAUACGAAGGAGCGUCUAUGGGAGUCUAUUAAGGUAUAAAAUAAUUUCCUUAAGACGAUUACUCUAGUUUUAUUAUUGCUGGAAAAAUCUGAAAAAUCUCACAUUUUAAUAAUGAAACUUGAAGGUGUACUUCGUGGUUCAUCCUUGAAGUAGGAAGCAAGUACUACAAGCCAUCGGAGCUGCAUUUCGGAACUUUAAGUACACUCUAAUGAGGAACUAUAUUUUACCAUUUGUUAAUGACCGUAAAAGGCUUUUCAAGCCACCAACACGGUACAUCACAAUUGAUAAGGAAAGUUGGAUUAAGUUUGUGAAGGAAAGACUAUCUAAAAAAUUUCAAGUGAGUGUGUUUAAUUCAAGUAUUAAUGAUAUAUCAAUGCUUAUGACAUUUUUCCUUAUGUGUUUAUCCAUUGUUUGUUUGGUUGUUUUAACCAAAAAGUUAGUGGUGUGAAUAAACUUAGGCGGGCACAAAACAUGUUUAAUCAUUGCCUAAGUAGAAAAGGUUACAUUGGGUUAAUGCAAGAAGUGGUAUGUACUGUGAGUUAGUUGCUUACAUUUUACUGUUGUUUGGUUAAUGCAAAUAAUGAUUGUUACUAACAUUUUAAUUUUUUAUUAAUGUUUUUACAGUGCUCAGAAACAGGCCUUACUGAAGAAGAAGUGGACAAGAGUGUUCUUUGGAAGAGAGCUUGGCAAAUGAAAAAUGGAGGAUACCACCCCGAUGUUGAACCAGUUAUUAAAAAAAUAGAAAGAAAUUUUUUGCUUACUACUGUAAUUCUAGUUGUGAUUACUUAUACUUUGAUAACAAUAGCUUACUUAAUUCAUUUGUGUGGUAGGAUAAAUUGGAGAUGGAAGCUAAGAAAGGAAAGAUGUGGUCAUCCGGAAAAAAAUGAUAUGCUGGCACAAUCUUUGGGAAAAGCUCCAAAAUGUGGUCAUAUGCAAGGAGUGGGCAAGUUUGUAACCCCGUCUCUGUAUUUUCAAACUUGCCAGAGGCCUACUGAUAAAGACAGGCAAAGAGAGGACCGUCUAUGGAGGGAAUCAAUUAACCGGCAGUUGGAAGAAAUGAGAAAUGAACUGAGAAAAACACCUCGUCAUUCAGAUAUAGCAAGUUCCAGCUACCCUCGCGUGCCUGGUGAAAACAAUAAUGUUGUUGGAGAUGAUAGUAUAGUGUCCGUUCAAGCUGAAGCAGUUGCUGAAACACCAAAGGUCAGUUUGUUUACUAUUUUUACUUAUUAUUUCUAGAUUUAGUUUGUUGUUGGAUAAGGGUUGCUGUAGUUACUGUUCUUACCUGUUGUUUGUGGAUUUAGUUUGCUGUAUGUUUACUAUUUAUACAUAUGUUGUUUCUGAAGUGUCAUUUGAUAUUGUUAACUACUUUGUAAGAUAAAUUUAGAGUAUUUAGAAACUAUUUAUGCCAAUCACACUAAACAAUUAUGUUUGUAGCAGCCUGAUCAUUUGAAAAAUAAGAAGCAAGGGACACCUAAAAACACAGUAGGUAUGAACCAGCCAAUAGUAAACUCUAAGAAAGAGACAGAUAUAGCAAAAAAAAACAAGGAUACACUUGCCAAAAACUCUCUGUCAUUGCAAGAAAGAGUCCAAGAUUGAACCCAACUGAAAUCCCAAUGGAGAUGCCUGAUGAUUUGUUACAAGGAAAAAAAUGGCAACCCUAAACAUCAAGGCACAAAAAAACAUUUGAACUUUGAAUCAGCAGAACAGCAUAAUGAUAUAGUAGAGAUAGGACAUACAGAUGCUGUAAAACAGACCAAAGACGAGGGCAAAAAAGUUGCAGUGAAGCCUUUGCCAGCAAGGAGGAACACAAGGCAGCAAGAGAGGUACAACAAAACAAGAUUUCGUUGCUGCAGUUGUUUGGCACAAUGUGUGAAGCUAAGAUGUCAGACCAAGAAUGGAUUCUAUAUCUACUGGAUGAUGGUGUUUUCCAAUUGGAGGGGAUUAGAGCUCAUAUUGGAAGGCGUGACUGUAGUGCAGUUCUGUCAAUGGAUGCUACAGGAGUAAACAUAAUCAAAGUCUAUAUUGCGUAAGUGAUUCAUAAUAAUUCUAGUUUUAUGUGUACUUUUUAUGGGAGUUCCAAUUAAUGGACUUUAACAUUGUUUGUCUAUUGUUUAUCAGGAUGUUGUAUGCUUCCAUUCUCCUUGGGAAAAGAGGAGUGAAACCAUUUGGAUUCGUUCGUCCAGGUCAGGUUUCACUAGGCGAAGAACGUAAUCCUACUGCAUCAUUUGACCUUAGGGCACGUGGAGUUUGUGAUCGAUUGAAAAAAGUGAAGAAGGGACAAUUCAUCUUUAUGCCUUAUAAUCCCUAGUAUGCUCCUUUAAUACUUUUCAACUCAUAUUAAUUUCCUUUCUUGCCUUAAUUUACUGAAAUUGCUACCUUAAUGUUCUUUCUUUUAUUAUAGUUAUCAUUGGGUGCUAGUCAGCUUUGAUGUGUUGAAAAAAGAAGUUUAUUAUCUCGAUUCUUAUGGGGGAGAUCCUGAUGAUGAUUUAAAAGAGCUCAUUAAAGUGUAUGUUCAAUUUUUUUUAUUACCAUUGUCAAUUUAAAAUUACUUUUACAUAGUUUACAGAUACUUUGUUACAAUUUGUUUUUUUUUGUAUACAGCUCCAUGACAAUAUUUAUAGCACAAGAGGGUAAGGAGAAAUGGAAUUAUAAUAAGAUGGUCAGAUCUGUAAAGGUAUGAACUAUUACCUUAACUAUAAUUAUAUAUUACCAUGCUUAAUGGUUAUUAUAAUGAACUGUGCAGUUGCUGAUUGUGAACAGGUCCCACAGCAACCAGCAAGUUCAGUCGUGUGUGGAUUUUACGUCAUGAGAUUCAUGAAAGACUUAAUUAAUGACUUCUCUUUACUAAUGAACAAUGUGAGUUCCUUGAUCAUAAUUUGCUUCAUAAAAAAGAACAUGUCCUGUUUCAAAGUUUCACUACAUAAUAUUUAUUUUUCAUAAAUAGUUCAACAGAAAGACAACAUAUUCCGUUGCUGAAUUAGAUGAAGUCCGUAUUGAGUGGGCAAACCAUUUUUCUAGAGUACUUGUUGUUAUGUGAGGUAACCCUUACCUAUUAUGUUGUUAUUGUGAGUUCAUUGAUGAAAUAAAUUAAUUUACUACCUAUAUUUUACUUGGGCAGUUAUCUAGCUUAUUAUACUUCUAUGUUGGAUUAUGAUAAAGAUGGUGGGUACUGCUGGAGUUGGCUAGUUUUUUUCUUUGUUUGGAAAAUAGCUCCUGGAUAUUGAUGCAAUUUUACACAUUUCGGUUGUGCUUAGGUUGGAUUUUCACAUUUGGGAACUGCUGGCCUUGUCUGAUCAGUAUUUUUGGCUCCUCUUGUGUUGCUGGAAGUGUUGUUGGAAAUGUUGCUAGAAAUGAACUAUGUUGUUGCCUUUGUUCAUGUUGGUAGAAAUGACUCUGUUGUUGGCUUUCUUAUGCUACUGGAAUUGAACUGAUCAUGGUUCAUUUGUGUUGUACAUGUUGCUAGAAUUUAGUUUUUAGGUUGUUACAAUACUCUUCUUCUAUUUAUGUUGGACUUGUCACUCUGGAAUUUGAUUAAAUUAUGUUUGCUGACAAUUAUGAAAUCUUAGUCAAUGUUAUCCAUUUAAAUUUCUUUGUCAGUGAAUUUUUAAUUGCAAUAUUAAUUUUAAUAAUCUAAUUAAUUAGCUAAUUUAUGAAAUAUUAAUUUCUAAUAAAUCAAUUGCUGGAUUGUUAUUAAAAUGAUAAUAAUUUCAUGGUGCAAACAAAAUAACCAUUUUUUAUUAAUUGUAAUUUCAAAUUUUGAUUUAAUUAAAAAAAUUCAUUUAAUUAUAAUUUGCAUUUCGCGCCAAAUUUAAUUUUCCCGCCAAAAAUUCAAAAUAUGGCGCGCAAAUUUAAAAAAAAGAGCCAAAUUCAAAUUUAUUAUAUUCCCCUCUAAAUAAAGUUAUGACAGUUAUGUAGCUGGUAAUAUCUAUCACAGAUUAUGAAUGGUAUUGUUCUGUCAUCAAUUCUUGACGGUGGCUACAAUGACGGUAUGAACAACCGUCAUCCACCCCCUACUAUGACAGUUUUUGCCUGUCAUAGUAGGCACUUUUUCUUGUAGUGUUUGGAAUUGUGCAUUUUAUCUUUUUGGCUAAAAAAAGAAAUAGAAAUCAAAUCCUAGGCCAUACUCAUCAUCCUUAGUUUUGACGGAUGAUUGCUUGAUUGGUGUCAAAAUAACUUGUCAAAUGUACUUCGCAUAAAAAUUAUUUUUAGAUUUAAGCGUUCGCAUUUCAUGUACGCACUUGUGUCCAUAUGUGUGUGGGUGUAUGUGUACAUAAUGACUAUCUGGUAAGGAUUCUCAUAUUUUAUCAAAGUGCAGGAAUUUUUAUUGAAAAUUUUCUCUUUAUAUAUGAUUAAAAAAUUAUAUUACUUUUAGCAACGACUUAGGGAAUAAUCCGUUUUUGGUUUGCGCUACUCGUCAUUGCCUUAUCAAAGUUGAUCUAAAAGAACACAUUAUUUUAGUAUUUGAAAAGUGGACAGUUUUUAACAUAUUGAGUGUCACUAUGUCAAUAAUCCACAUUUUAUAAAUUAAAAAGGCUUAAAAUAUAUUCCUUAAAAAUGUCACAUGCGUAAAAAUAUAACUAUGUGUCUCAACUAUAUAAAUGUAGUAUUACUCAUAAAGAUAUAAAUAUCAAAGGUGAUCUCAUUAAUAAAUGUAAUACUAAUAAUGUCAUUCGAAAUGUGAAUAAUUUUUAGAAGAAUUUCACUUCCUAAAAGUUAUUUGUUAUCCUCGUGCAAAUGCAUCAGACCUCGUGCUACUACUCUCUCUUUACCAACUAAUAAUUUAUCCUUAUACUACUAAGAUAUCAUAAAACCUCAUGUUGGCAAGAAAACUCUAUUAUUCUACAAGUUACAUGAGCUCUCACAUUUUUCCUCUCGAGGUCUAGUUCAAUUCUCACAAGCCUCUCAAACUUUCUUUAAGCACUAGCUUUUUUGUUAUUCAAGGAAACACCUAAUUGGCUUGACAAAAUCUACCAGCAACCUCAUUAGUAACACAUGCUACUUUACUAAGUCAUCUCAUGGGACCACAUGUUACACGUGACGUAUGGCAUAAUUACACCUGUAAUACCCAGCCAACUGAUCUCUUAUUCUUAUAUAAAAGACUUUAGCUAUCCUCAUUAGUUCAUUACCUUCGAACCUUACCUCUUGGAACCUCCAUCACCAAUCUUACAAAAUAUUUGUUUUAGAAUAAAAUUUAAAAUUUUUAUUUUCCUCUAAUUUCCAAUUCUUUUUCUUUUGUUUUAAAGAACAAUCUACAAGUUUUGAGUUGAUAAGAGCUGUAUAUAUAUGUAAUGUUUUUUCCUCUUUUCCUUCGAUUUUAUCAUUAAGCUUUAUCUAAAAGCAGUAAGAAAAAUAAAAAAGAAUCUAAUAAGUGAAAUAUCAAACGGAGCUUCCUUAAAGUCAGUUGUUUAAGUAUAUAUCGAGUUGCCUGAAAUCUUUAUACUGUUUCGAUUUUGUAAUCUCUCUCUUUUCCUUUAUUUAACGUAUUUUUCAUUAUAUCGCUACUCGAGUUGGUCUUUUACCUCGUCAUCAUCAAUUCAAUUGAGCGAUCGCUUUCCAAUUAAACCAAUGUGGAAAGAAUAUGGCCACCAUUCAAGAUACCAACAUUAUUACGCUCAACACAUUGCAAGAUUUGCAAAGACCCCAUCAUGCUUGAAAGAAUAAGAGCCGUUUCGCUUAGGCUUGGAACUAGUUCCUCCUAAACUAUUGCCUUUUAACUCCAAGUUUCGGAUGCGUCAUGUGAUACGCAACAAAAAGAAAGUAUAAAUAGAAUAUGGUGGGCCUUUCACUCUGUUCUAGUAAUCAAUUCAUUUAUUUCUUGUGCUACAGCAUAUAUACCUAAUACUUCUGUUUAAUUUGCUGCUCAGCCUGCUCUCAUCUCCUAUAAGCUUAAACGAUUGUACGCAACUGGCCCACGAGGAAUAGAGUUCUUAAUUUUUUUUUCUAAGAUAAGUAUUUGGAUUUAUUCCAUCGGCGACUUUAUCUCAAAAAGAAAAUGAUGAAGUGAAAGUUGAUAAUCAUGAAUCAUUCUAUCCUGCAGAACUUCAUGUUUUUCAAAACUCUAAAUCUACAAUUUUAAUGCGAAUGUUUACGGAAGAGUAUAUAUUUAAUAACUUGUUAGAGGUGAGCCUGUGCAGCAAGAUAUAGUUACAUUAAAUUCUUUAGCAUGAAUAUUUCUGUUUAGAGACUCAAACCCAACAAUAUUCUCCGCAAAUAGACUGAACAGUUCUUGAUAAUUUUUUUUUCCUUUUUUUUAAUUUCUUCCCCUGCUAUGGUACGCAAUGGCAAACUAGUUGAAUCAGAAACUUAUUCAUCACUAGAUUUAGUUGAUUUUCCAGGUAAAAAAAGUUUAUCAACUCCUCGUGUUUUGUCGAUUCUUUCAUCAGUUCUUGAGAGAUCAAUCCAGAAAAAUGAAUCUUCAUCGAAGGCAUCAAAAAAGAAUGAAGUUGUCACAAUAUUUCAUUGUUCACAAGCACCAAGUUUGAGCAUUAGACAAUACAUUGAACGCAUAUUCAAGUACUCCAGGUGCAGUCCUUCUUGCUUUGUUGUUGCAUAUAUAUACCUUGAUCGGUUCCUCCAACGAAUCAAGGGUUGCCUUGCGAGACUCAACGUUCAUCGCCUUCUGAUCACGAGCUUGAGAUGAAUUUCUUGUUUACUCUGGAGUUUAAGCUUCUUGUGACUACAGAGGUUUUCGCGAAGUACCGUUCACAGCUAGACAUGGAAGGAGCAGCAGCCGAAGAGUAGUGAACAAACCGAUUUUGGUGUGAAAAUGCCUGCUCUGUCAUUCCAUCCUAUACAUAUAUAUACAAGAUUAUAUUUCGAGUAUUCUCCACAAAUCAAGCUAGACCUCCUAUAAUCAAUCAACCUUCCUAAACUAAUUGAUUUACAUACCAAGAAUGGAAGGGAGAAUAUCACAAGAAUAUUAUGCCAGUUAAGUACAAGAUUGACUCCAAUUACAGCACCCUAACACCCCCCCUCAAGUUGGAGCAUGCAAGUUUCGUAUGCCCAACUUGCGAAGAAAUGAAUCAAAGUCGACCACCCAAUGCUUUAGUGAAUAUGUCGGCCAAUUGAGAUUGAGUAGGAACAUAGGAUGGGCUAAUGGAAUCAUUUUGAAUCUCAUCGCGAACAAAAUGACAAUCAACUUCUAUGUGCUUUGUUCGCUCAUGGAACACUGGAUUGGCAGCAAGAUGCAAGGCUGCAUGACUAUCACAAUAAAGUCUCAUUGGAGUGGUAUAAUGCACACCCAACGACAUUAACAAUCCUUUCAGCCACUUUAACUCACAUGUAGUGGUAGCCAUAGAACGAUACUCCGCUUCUGCUGAUGACCGGGAGACAGUGUGUUGUUUCUUAGUCUUCUAGGAGAUAGGAGAAUGACCAAGCAUAACAAGCCAUCCAGUCAAGGACCGACGUGUCAACGGACAGCUCGCCCAAUCUGAGUCACACCAACCAUACAAGGUCAAGUCACAAUCAGUCUUUAACAGAAUUCCUUGCCCAGGAUUUCCUUUUAAAUACCGUACAACCCGUAAUGCGGCAUCCCAAUGAGCUUCUCGUGGCUGUUGCAUGAAUUGAGCCAACACAUGCACAGCAUAGGACAAUUCCGGACGAGUUGCUGAAAGAUAAAUCAACCUACCCACCAAACGCCGGUAGCGCUCAGGAUCAUCAAGAAAAGGUCCAUAUGUCAAAGCGAGAUUGUGAUUUUGCUCUAAUGGAAAGGAAACAGGUUUUGCCCCGAGCAAACCAGUUUCAGUAAUGAUGUCUAAAGCAUAUUUGCGUUGACAGAGAAAAAUCCCAUCUGGACCGCAAGCCACCUCAAUCCCAAGAAAAUAUUUCAGCACCCCCAAAUCCUUCAUAUGAAAACAAUCACUCAAGUAUGUUUUAAAGUUCUGAAUAGCAGCAUGAUCGUUUCCCGUUACAAUGAUAUCAUCAACGUAGACAAGAACAUGAAUCUGUUGCUCAUGCUGACGAAGAGUGAAGAGAGAGUAGUCGGAAUAUGAUUGUGAAAAGCCAUAAUUUUUCAGCGCAGCAGCUAACUUAGCGAACCAACAUCGAGGAGCUUGUCUAAGACCAUAUAAUGACUUUCGUAAGCGACACACCAUUCCUCGUUGUUGAGAAUGAAAGCUAGGAGGCAUACGCAUGUACACUUCUUCAUUCAAAUCACCAUGUAAGAAAGCAUUAUGUACAUCCAUUUGAUGAAGUUCCCAUUUUCGAGCUGCAGCCACUGCUAGGAAGGUUCGAACAGUCACCAUUUUGGCCACGGGUGCAAACGUCUCCUUAUAAUCAAUUCCCUCAACUUGCUUGUUGCCAAGUAUCACCAAACGAGCCUUGUAACGUUCAACCGUCCCAUCAGCUUGAUACUUGAUCUUAAACACCCAUUUACACCCAAUAGCUCGUUUCCCAACUGGUAAUGGUUCCACUAUCCAUGUGCCAUUAUUUUCUAGUGCAUGUAUCUCCUGCUGCAUUGCUUCUCUCCAUUUCUUAUCUUUGACUGCCUCAGCAAAUGAGUUGGGUUCAACACCUGCAGUUAUGGCUGCCAAGAAAGCACAAUGUCGCAAAGAAAAUUUAUCACAGUUCACAUAACGUGCUAUGGGAUAGAGGCUACCUGAGGAUUGCAUAUGGCCAAGUGAACGUGCAGGGGACCUGACAGAGGGGUGCAGCACCUGUGUGGUGUGGAUCACAUAGUCGUUCAGCCUUGUGGACAAUUGGCGUUGUCGAUGUCCUCGUCUCAAUUGUGAUUCUGCACCAGCAACCCCCCUUUCCUCAGGAGCCACACCAUCAACAGGCUCUUCCUUUGUUUCCUCCAUUUGUCCAUUUAUGCUAUCUUCCUCCCUAACAGGUUGCUCACCUGCAUAUGCUCUUCAUUCUACAUCGUCUACAAAAACAUCAUUAGAUCCCGUCAUAUUCCCCAUUUCUUCAUCACAAAUUACAUCCUUCAUAUAAGGAAACUCAUGCUCCACAAAUACCACAUCCCGAGAGACAAAAAACUCUUUUGUCUUCAGGUCAUACAUGGUCCACCCUUUUUUCCCAAAAGGGUAUCCAACAAAGGUACAUUUCCGGCUUCGACUAUCAAAUUUGUCUCCUCUAUGCCCACGGUUAUGAGCGUAAGCCAAACAACCAAACACUCGCAAAUUGUCAUAUGAAGGUAUCUUCCCAAAUAAAACUUCAUACGGUGUCUUUCCUCCUAAAAUAAGAGUUGGAGUUCGAUUUAUCAAAUAACUUGCUGUCAAUAUACACUCGCCCCAAAACUCAAGUGGCAAGUUUGCCUGGAAACGAAGUGCUCUAGCAAUAUUACGAAUAUGACGAUGUUUCCGUUCAACUCUUCCAUUUUGUUGGGGUGUUCCGACACAUGAGGUUUGAUGAAUUAUCCCAUGGGUAGCAAAAAAUCCAUCUAAGCAAGUAAACUCAGUGCCAUUAUCGCUACAAACUAUUUUCACAAAAGCAUUAAAUUGUCUUUCCACCAUAACUAAGAAAUUGCGAAUGAUUCGUCCCACAUCUGAUUUGUUAUUUGCCAAAUAAACCCACAAUCCUCUCGAAAAAUCAUCCACAAUAGUCAAAAAAUAAUAAGCACCACAAAAAGUUGGCGUCCUAUAUGGACCCCAUAAAUCACAGUGAAUCAUUUCCAGAACAGCAAAAGCUUUAUUAUUACUAGAAAUAAAUUCAUUACGACAUUGUUUUGCAAGUAAACAAACAUCACAAUUCUUGGGAUAUGCCUUAUUUUUUGUAGUAUCAACCAUUGGCAACAAUUUAAUAACUUUUUCAGAAGGGUGGCCCAACCUCUGAUGCCAAAGAGCAACUGUCCCUUUUGCAACAAUCUGCAAUGCUCUUGUAGAUUCAAUUUCUCGAAAGUAGUAAAGCCCCCCGCGUUGUUCACCCGCACCAAUCAGCAUCCUCGAAGUGCGGUCAUGUAUAACACAAAAUUUAUUAGUGAACUGGAUAAUACAAUUUGAUUCUUCGACCAAUUGUGACACUGAAAUCAGAUUACAAUUCAAACUAGGCACAUAUAACACAUUGGUUAAUUUUAGACGUCCAUCAAGGACUAUAUUCCCUUUCUUCUCUGCCAUUACUUCUUUCCCAUCUGGUAGACCAACUGGGCAUGCGAUUACAGUCUUCACGUCACAUAGCAAUUUGAGGCUCCCUGUCAUAUGAUGAGAUGCUCCGGUAUCAAUUAUCCAAGCUCUCAUAUUAUGCUCACCAUUUAGUUUUUCUUGAUUCUUUUCCGUCUGUGAGUUCAAAAGAUUAAGAAGCAUACUCCAUUGCUCGUUACUCAGCCCUUUGACUCCAGUUUUAUCUACAUCUGAGACAUGGCCCUGUAUGCCACUUCCUUGACUUGUCAUGUGGGCUGCAUUGGCUUUAAUCUGACUUCUUCUCCCUUUUCCUCCUUGUGCUAUGCCCUGACGUUGUCCACCUUGACCACGACCUGCUCCACGCCCACCAGUCCGUGAUCGAUCUCCCCACCAUUCUGGAUACCCAAUCAAUUGGAAGCACGAAUCCGCAUCAUGCCCCGUUUUUCUACAGUGUUUACAGAUUACACUAGAUUUUUCUCUGAUCUCUAUUGGCCCUUUCACUCCUCCUUGAACAGCAAAUGCUACUGGUUCUCCACGUCCUUCCUUUCCCCGAGUUAUGGUCUGUACCCUCUCCUCUUGAACAACCAAGGAAUAUGCUCUGUUUAAUGGCGGCAGGGGAUCAGUGCUUAAAAUAUUAGAACGAACGGACCCAUAUAUUGUAUCGUCCAGGCCUAUUAAAAACUUAUGAAGCCUCUCUUCUUCACGUUUCUUGUUAAGCUUGGCUUCCAAUUCACAUGUACAUCCUUCACAGCUGCAUAUCGGAUAUUGUUCAUAAUUUGCCAAUUCCUCCCAAAUUAGUUUCAGGUUGCCAUAAUAACUCAAGAUGGUCAUUCCUCGUUGCUUACAUUCAGCCAGUUCAGAUUUGAGUUGAUGAACACACGGUCCGUUUCCAACCGAGAACCGCUCUUUUAUAUCAUCCCAUAACUUCUUCGCCACUUCCAUGUGGGUUAUGGUAGAGCGCAAGGUUGGUUUGAUUGUGUUCAAGAUCCAUGACACUACCAUGGAAUUGACUGUCCACCAAUCGUCUAGCUCAGGUUCCUUCGCAGGUUCUUUCAUGCUUCGAUCAACAAAGCCGAACUUCUUUUUGGCUCGUAGCGCCGUUUUUAUCGCUCAUGCCCAUUCAUCGUAAUUGUCUCCCUUUAGUUGAACUUGUGUGAUAAUAUUCCCAGGAUUAUCACUUGCCGAGAGGCAAUAUGGUGAAAUCUGAUUUUUCACAUGUUCAUCACUCACCUUUGAUGUGUCUGAUUUAGUCUCCAUGGCAAGGCUCUGAUACCAUGAACAAACCAAUUUUGGUGUGAAAGUGCAUGCUCUGUCAUUCCAUCAUAUACAUAUAUAUACAAGAUUAUAUUUCGAGUAUUCUCCACAAAUCAAGCUAGACCUCCUAUAAUCAAUCAACCUUCCUAAACUAAUUGAUUUACAUACCAAGAACAGAAAGGAGAAUAUCACAAGAAUAUUAUGCCAGUUAAGUACAAGAUUGACUCCAAUUACAGCACCCUAACAAGUAGUGGGUUAGUCCGAUGAUUGAAGCAUUGGGAACCAAACUUGGCCGGCUGAACAGGGACGGCAAAACCUGACGGCAGGUUACAACUGCAGAGUCCCUUCACAAUGCCCAUCGGCAUACUGUGAUGAUUGAAAUGGUUUUUGGCUCAAUCCAGAUUCCAAACACCAGCAAACCAACUGGUAAUUUAUAGGUGCCCCAUCUCCCUGAGUAAUUUGUGCCCAGUUCCAUAAGAGGAGAGAGGAAAAUUGUACAACGAUAAAUUGUCAAUGUACGUUAUGAUAAAAUGCAUUUUGUUCCCAUUAAAGAGAAGAAAAGAGUAUAACAAAGGGCAUCAAUUUUAAAAAAUGGGAAAAAUCUAUAGCAAAAUUUUUUUAUUGCAGAAUCCCUGCACAAUAACGUGUUCCAUUUUACUUGUGAUUUAUGUUCUGUUACUGGAACACUUUCCCAAACUAGCUUACCUGAUAAAACACUUCCAAAAGAUACAAAAGAAGUUGAAGAGUAAAACUAAUGACAUGACAUUUAAAAUAAAAUUUAUUAAAUCCUCUAAAAACGAGACAUCCGAGGAAACCAAAUGAAUUGGCACAAUCAGCCGUAUCUGAGGAUGUGGCUGGUUGAGAGACAAAUGUUCAGCCUUUAUGAUGAGGAAGAAUUUUUCCUUGCCAAGUAGACAUGGUAAAGCUACCAGCCCAACUAUGGUAACGGCUACUCCGACUACAAUGGUGGAACACAAAAAAUUACAUGGUAUAAUAGGUAGAGCUCAGUACCAUGCCUAACAAAUCAGUUUGAAAUAAUAAAAAUGAUCAAUCAUAUGAUGAGUUUAUGAUAUUAAUUGAACAUCAGAAAAUGAAGAGUAGAGAGGAUUCAUCGAGCUGAAUCAUGUCCUCUGACCAGUUUACAGGACUGUCUGUCUUCCCAUCUUCGAUACAGCAAGAGGAUUCAUCGAGCUGAAAACAUAUUGACCUUGGCUUGAAUUUAUUAUUUUGCUGAAAAUGGAAAGUCUCUUUCAGUGCAGAAAUCAGAGGAAUUGACACGCAUAUGACCAUCCACCUGAUGACGCCAUAGAUACUUAUUUUGUAGCAAAAUUAACAUAUUUCGAAGUAAUUAACUAAUACUGCAUAUUCCUGACAUGAACAUAAUAUAAAAUCCGAUUAAAAUUUUUUCCAAUUAUUAGUUAAUUAAUUAAAUUCCUCCACGACAUGAAGUCAGAUGUACUUAAAAUCUAAUGGCCUUAAACAAAUUAAUUCACCAAAUGACACAUUUUGGAUAAAACCCCUUUCUGAUAUUAUGCGUGAACCAAUUUUGCGGAAAACUACCAAGUAACAAUUACCGGGUUGAUGAGCAGAAGUGAACCCAAUAACUUCAAAUCAAGAAACAUUGUCCAAACCACCGAUACUAUCGAACAUCAACAGAACAAGCCAACACAUAAGGAACAAAGAUUUACAUGGUUUGACAAAUAUGCUUAUAUCCACGGUGGAGAUGCUAGUAUCCGGUAUGCGAAGAAAACUAGCGUACACCUCUGCUCAUAAUAGACCUCUCAGAAUCUGAUACAAGCACAAAGAGAGACAAAUCAUAAGCCUUAAACCAAUCCCAAGAGUACUUUUCCUCUCCAGAUCUCUCUCUUAUAUGUUUUCCAAAAAUGAGCCAAUUUUUUAUACCCAAUUCCUUACAAUCAACUGAAAAUAUACACACAUAAAGGAUCCAGCCCCAUCUUGCCCAUGCUCUUGUUAUGUUUCACCCUUUUGACUUCUAUAGGUAAGAUUUCACAAUAUUCAUGGUCUUCACUGGGCUCACGUAAUUCCUUUGCUAAUUUUUUUUUAAAAUCUAAGUUGCAUGCCCAACAAAUCAGUCAUAGUUUAACAUAUUAAAGAAGAGAAAAAAAUCACGGAGUGGUGUGCUGACAUGUAAUUUAAUAUCAGGAAAUGAAGAGAAAAUGUGACACACUUAUGACCAUCAAAGCAGAUGAUGUAGUAGAUGAGUAUUUUGUAGCAAGCUUUACAUACUUAUCAAGUGACUAGUAUUUUUUACUUUAAAAAGUAAUGUUUGAAGUCAUUAGAUAUCUUACCUGUAAAUUCAAACUACUGAGUCCUAAUAAUUACAUAAUACUUGUUCCACUUCUUAGUGAGAUUCUAGUUCUUAUUCUCAGAUUACCAAUAAUAUAAGAGCAGACGAAAGAGACGUGUGAGGUGAAGGUUUCAUUCACAACCUUGUCAUUACUUGGUUUUUAACUUGCAGAAGAAGCCAAAGCUGAAGAACCGAAAUUAAAAAAAUAAAAAGUAAAAAUUUAAAGAAAAAUGAUUAAUGAGAUAGAAAUAGUGUUGGCCAAAAUCCAUCUCUAUGUUUUUCACACAGUGGGAAUUGUCGGUUGGAAAAUUAAUUGCUUUCUUGUUCUAAAUCAGAUACUAUCUGUGAAUGAUAUAACUCAGUACCUCACUUCAUGCAAGCUUUGAUAUAUUAUUCCUUCUAGCUAUAUAUCCAGUGCUAAUUGUUUUAUCAAAAAUUUGGUGUACUGAAGUGAACCCAAUAACUUCUAGGUAGAAGCAACAAUGUCCAAUUAAACCGCUAAUGCAAUCAAUCAAACAGCAAGGAAAGGAUCAACAACACAAAAAGCACACGCAGGGCACAAAGAUUUACAUGAUAUGUCCACGGGUGGUGAUGCUGGUAUCCACUAUAUAUGUGAUGAAAACAAGUGUAUAUAUAUAAAGAACACCACCUGUCUCCUCACAAUAACCCUCUAGAAUACAAGCACAAAUGAAAAUAAGCCAAUUCCUGCUCUGCACUGCCCUCAUGUACGUAAUUCCUCUGCUAAGAAAUAUCGCCUUAAAAUCUCGGUAGCAUAUUGUCACGGGAUGAGUAUUUUGCGCAGCUAACCCGUGCGGCACUUAGACAACUUUGCCGAAUGUUGCUAAGUAAGCCUAGAGCUUCUCGAACUAGAGAAGAGAGCAAUAGAGCCGAAUAAGAAACUUGUAUUGCACAAAAGAGAGAUUACAAUACUUGAGUUGCUUACAAAGCUUGUUGUUGUGUUUGUUGGAUGCAAAUGCCUAAUGCCAUCCCAUAUUUAUAGGGGAGGCUUGACAAGCUCUAGAGAUUCUAGAGAAUUCUACAAUGUGCCUAGAAUUCUAGAUAUUUACAUGUGCUGGAAAUGUAUGGAGUAUUCUAGAAUAUUUACAAGAUUAUUUGUGCUAGAGUUGGCUAGAAGUUUCCGGAAUUGGGCCAAGCUAGCACUCUUGCCUUGUGUUGGCUCUCUAGCCCAAAAUUGUGGGCAAUUGGGCUAGCAUCUUGGGCGGUCCGUAACAAUAUGCAUGCAUGCCCACCAAUCAAUUAGACAUGUGAAAUUAUCAACCACACAGGAAAUCAGCAAAUCAGUGGUUUCAUGAAUUUGUAAUUGAACAUCAGAACAUGAAGAGUACAGAGCAAUGGGAAAAACUAAUUAACUAACCAAAGAAUUUUAAAUCCAAAUAAUAUAAUUAACGUGUGAAAGCAAGGUUGAAGCCCACCUUAGAAGUUUCUAUCUAUAAAGGCCAAUAAAUCUCCUGCUAUCUGCUUGCUUAGAUCUUCAUGUAUUUCCAUACACCUUUUACUCUACUCUGUUGUUCAACCUUCCUUGGUUUUAUGUAUCUAUUUUAUGUGUAUUGAGAAGGCUAGUUACUAGGUGUCAACUCUUCUCUUUAAAAGAUAAAGUUUUGAGAAAUGGAAAGAAAGACACCCACGGCCAACUACCAAAUCCAAGGCAAAAUUGGUCUUCCCGAUUGAGUAAGUGAGCCCUGAAAAUUCAUCACCCAGCUUAAAAGCCAAAUGAAUGUAGUCUUGUGAUUGGUGUAAUUGGUUUUAAAGAAACUAGCAUGAAUCGCCACUCAAAACCAGUAAAUAGAGUCGAAGAAGAUGCUAAUGUACCACAGCUAACAUAAACAUAAUUUGAUCAGCCGAAUGACUACCAAAUGAAAAAUCAACAUAAACUUAACAUAACCGUUAGGAUUUAAUCCAAGCCAUACAUAUCGGUAGACACGUUAGCAACAUGAUGUUACCAGUCUUUAACAUCUUUUGCAUUCAAACCUUGCUCAAGGACAACUGCUGUGGUCCGGUGCUGCAGGCCAAAAAUUUGAUCUUUGAAGCAACGUCACUCACCUACCUAGCUGCAAAAAAAAAAUUUUGAAAUGCCUUGAAAACCUGUAACAUUAUAUCCGAAUAAUUAUCACAUAACUUGUGCUUGUAACGUAAUGCGAUUGCAGUGCAUUCGUUAAGUGUACACUUAUCUGGCCAUUUCGUCGGAACAAAUUCUUUUGCUUCUCUCAAAAUGUGCAUAAUAAAUAGUAAUAUGAACAAAUACCUAUUCAUGAGUGUUAAGAUAUUUUUGCAUAUCUUUUUUUUUUAAGGACUAAAAGUGAUUAUUCAUUUUGUUGAUGCCCAUUUACAAUAUAUAUAUAUAUAUGUAUGUAUGUAUGUAUGUAUGUAUGUAUGUAUGUAUCUUGCUACCAUGAUCGUUGAGUUAUGAUCAUGAAUAACAUCUACCGAUGGUGUUUGGUUCAGAAAAUAGAUUAUUAUUAAAGCAUAACUAUAAGACUUUUCAAAUGAGACUUUACUUUUCAUAUAAAAAGCUACAUAAGUAUGGCAGAACUUUGGGGGCUGUAUCAAAGAAUAGAGAAGUAGAAGGAGAAACAAAUGGAAUAAUUAAGGAGAGGAAUGAGAUUCCGUUGUUUGGUUACAACUGGAAGUCAAACAUGAAAAAGGAACUGAUUUCUUUCUUCUUCUUUUUUUGAUGAAUUUGAUAUUUAACCGAAAAUUCAAAGUAAAAUCAAAUUCAUUUGUAAUACAAGUUCAUUUUAUUCAUAAAAUUUCACAUAUAGAAUAAAAUUUAUAGAUGUUUCAAAUACAAAUACAUAUUACUAUUCAAAAUAAUAAAAAAUUUUACUGCAAAAGAAAAUUUGGAAAAAAAAAUAAAACUGUUAAAUGGAGAAUGGAAUUGAGCAGGGAAAGUUUGGUAGAAGAUGCACACACUAAAGGUGGAAUUAUACCGUUAGUCAUUUUAUUAAAAAAAAUAAAAUAAAAAUAAAAACCUCGUUGAAUGAUUAUUUGCUAGGAUUAGAAAAAUUUAUGUGAUAAGCAAAACGAGAUGAAACCACAAUCUCAACCCUCAAAAUCAAUCAACCCCCAACAGUUUAGUCUCACAAGAGCUCUCUCAAACUUGUGCUUUCCCCCAUUCAUUCUCUUUACAAAUACAAGACUCGCAAAAAAUAAUAAUAAUGAUAAUAAAAAUGACCCAAUACCUAAUCACAAGAUAAUGAAAAUAUAGAUAACAGAUUAAAAAAGCAUGUGCCUAUCCUAAUUCCUGCUCUGCUAAGCCAUUUACGUAAUUCCUUUUCGGCUGAAAACAUUGCUUUCCCAACAAAUUAAUCAGUUAGACAAAUAUAUUUAAUUAUUAUAAUGGUUUGAUGACAUAAUUAUAUGUAUGUAUGUGUCAAACUCAUGAUUUGUCUUCUGUAUUUUGGACUGCUGCAGGGCAAUGAGCAGACAAAAUAAUACGUUCACUUGUUGCUAUAUCCUCGAAGACUACCAGAAGGAAGAUGGUGUCGAAGUGCAAGGGGAAAAGAUUUCCUGGGAGAACUCUUAGGGGAGGACAAUCUUUCAUGGGUGGAAAGACUUUCAGGCCUUUCAAGGCCAAGCCAGCUCCUGAAGCCAAAGGGAAGAAAUCCAAGGCUUAGGUCGCGAUUCUUUUUUUUUUUUAAUCUGAGAUCUAAAUAGAUCUAAAUUUAGCUAAAGUCUAAAUAAGUCUGAAUAAAAAUUUUUGAAUGACAUGUUUGUUUUUUUUCUUUCAACAUCUGAAGAAAAAAACUUAAAAGCUAGUAGUGUGACAUAAAAAUUAUUUUAAGUAGUGCAUAUAUUUGUUCUUCACAAUUUAUAAUUUUUACAGGUUGAUUAGUUUGGUAGCAUUAAAAAAAAUACUAUAAUUGUUGAUCUUAAUUUAAUUUUUUAUUAAAAGAUGUAAUUAUAAUAUCAAACUUUAUUACAAAGUCAACAUUGUUAUUUUAUUUCUGAUUCAUCACAAUGAACAUAAUUUGAUUUGUUCAAGAUUUCAGUUUAGCUAAUGUUAUCAUGUGAAUAAAAAUUUAAAGCAAUUAAAAAAAUAACUUCAAAAAUAAUACAAAAAUAUUAGGUUUAUACAUAAAAUUGGAAAUACAUGAAUUGUUAAGGGUAUUUUUGAGAUUUGAAAUUAAAUUUUUUCAUUUAAACUUCAUACUUCAAAUAAAAGUGAACUUUUUCUACUUUUUAAAUUCAGAUAAAAUUGUUUGAAAAUAAGUGAUAAGUUAAAAAAACCCUAAACUAAACAAUUGUCUGAAAAAAAGUUAAAUUCAGACUUCAGAUAAAAAAACAAACAAUACCUUAGUUUAGUUCAUCUAUUAAAUCCCGAGAAACCAAUUGCAGAACUAGUGGGAAAUCAAAUAUUUGUUAGUGGAAACAAAUACGAAACUGGUCCUCAAAUUAAUGUGUAAUGCAUUUUGCAAGAAAUUUGAUAGCCUGAUUUUGUUGUCCCCGUCCUGAACUUUUCAAGUUACCAAACCAGACAAUUAUGAAAUUUUGCUACUCAAUCUUGUAUUGUUGUAUUUCUUUGCUUCCAGUUUUCCUGAUCAGAACAAACAGCAUAAAUAAUGAUGCUAUAUUAAAAAAAAUUAAAAGAAUUUCACUCGCCCUUCAUUUGUUAUCAACAAUAUGAUAUUGCCUGGGAUCUUUCGGCUUAAUCUUCCAGUGCCCAUUAGCCAAACUUGCAUUCUCAGCAAUUCUUCUCCAUUUCUUAAUCCUUUUAUCCAUAUGCUUUGUUAAUGCACAGUACUGUUGCAAUUUCUUAGGCAUUGCAUCAUAAACUUGCCACCAUUUCUUAUGAGCUGAAUCACUGGCAAAUACAUGGCGACUCACCAUGUCCCAAUUGCAAUCAUAGUCCUUGUAACACAUCCAUGGCUUUAACCCCAGAUAAUGAAUUGCAUAAAGACCAUCACCCACUUGAUUUUCCUUAUCGUCUUGCUUUGAAAACACCUUCAAAUGGUUUAUUCUCUUAGGCAACCUAUGCCACCAUGUGAACACUUCAUUAAGAAACCCCUGGUCGCCCCCAUUGUACGACGAAACCUUAAAGGAUUUCAACAUCAAAUCUUCAAACUUGCACAAUGAUGGCUCAAUCACCAUCACCCAGAGUUGAACAACACUUUGUCAUUACCUGCUGCUGAUAAUUCAGGGUAAAAGAAGAACUCAUCGAUGUUUUUGAGUACUAAAAGAUCAGAAUCAAUGAAGAUAAUUUUAUCAUAUUCAAUGAGUUGCCAUACUCUAAGCUUGCUAUAAUUCCACUCAUUGUAUGAAUCUUUCUUGGCAAAGGGGCUCCGUAUGCGCGAAAUCCACUUGGUUUUCCAUCCGGCAGCUCUCAGGCCGCGUAGAGACUUGCCACUUAUUGAUUUAUCGUGAAGGAGAACGAGAUCCCUGCUCGAGUUUUUUUGGAUUAUGCUUUGCGCUAAAGCUAUUGCUCCACAUACAUAAGCUUCUGAUGAAUGUUGAACUGUUACAUAAGCUUCUCUUUGAUGGUACGUUGUGUAGUUCAGUUUUGCUAGUCUCGCUUGUGACAUAAAAUAUCUCCAUAUUUCUUUGCCUGUAAAUCAAAAUAAAAACACUCAAAUAUUAAUUUCAGGUUAAUUUUGGAAAAUUAAGAAAAAUGAAUUACAUAUGAAGGUUUUGAAGAAGUCGUGGCGUCUGAAUUACGUAAUACUUUCACGGAAAUUGAAAGUGCAAUUCUCUGAGUUACCAAAUUUUGAUGCCUUGCCAAAUUUUCACACAAUCAGAAUCAUGACUGCUGGCUGUAUACAUUCUGUAUCUGUAGAUUAUUACAACUCUUUAAGGAUAUCAAAAUUGAAGAAUAGGUCAAAUUUAAACCAAUCACACCUAAGCACGAGUUAUGCAUAUUUAAUUUGGAUUUGUCUCAUUUAUUAAUGCUGAACGAAUAAUUUACUAAAACUUGAAACUAAAGAAAGCAGUAAAUUAAUGACCCACCAUGACCAGAUAAAUCACCCACUAACCUUUUUUUUUUUUUUUUUUUCCUUCGGAACACCUCAAAUUUCCGAAGAAAAUUUAAAUAAAAUCUCCUGCAUCCAUUUCUUGUGAUCAUUUUAUAUUUUUUUAUAUGCAACAAGCUUUCAUUAAAAUUUAAGACUCUAUCCUCUAGAAUAAACUCCAAAACAUAUAUCGAUUAAAAUCAUAAUAUUUUCUUUCUCACCAUAAAUUCGCCUAUAUAAGCGACCAUUAAAGUAGGAAAAAAAAAAAUAACAAUAAGAGCUUAAAUACUACUUCGUAAAUAAUUAAGAAAUAUGACAAGCAUGGUAACUACACUAAAAAUACUAAGCAGACAAGAACAACAACCACAAAUUCAAAAAGAUUUUUAUGAAAUUUUAAGGCACAUUUGGUUAGAAAAUUGUACUUGGGAUUUUCUUCUUCAAGUGAUCACUAGCUUUUCUUCUGUUUCCAAACUACUCACUAUCUAAAACACAAACAAAAUAUUUUCGAAAAACCGGGGCCAAAAAAAAAAAAAAAAAAGAAGCAAAACUCACCUGUUUGAGCAAAAGCAGGAGCAAUUUGGCAUGACCCAACAGGCAUCAAUACUUUAUGUUUCAAUCGCCUCAAGUCAGGCUUCUAAACCAAGUAAUCCCCUGCAUUCUCCACAAGAUCAUCACACCUGAACAUCUCCACCAUGGCCCCACAAGAACCCACAAAGACAACGUACGCCCCCCGAUCAACAUCUGGUUUCACCCAUCCACUCUCCACCGCUAGAUUCACCACCACGAGAUUCACUUGCAACCUAAACACAUCCCUCAUCCCACCACUUGCAUCUCCAUCUCCUCGGCAGGGAACCCUAUCCACUAUCACGUCGAGGUACCGGUAAUCCUGCGCCGGCAUGGGCAUCUCCGGGCACGCCGGUGGGGCCCACUUGUGAUCUUCAUCAAUCCACUCCGGGAAAAAGUCUUCCCACUUUUUAUCCUUGCCCACAUGGUCGAAACGUACGUGAACAGUUUCAACAUGCAUGUCACCACGGACGCUAUUAUAAUCAUCAUCAUCGUUUAUAUUUACUAAACCAACUUUAAUUUUGUGACCCUUGAUGUGUUUUUGGAUAAUUUGGGUCUGUGUAAUAAGUGGUUAGUAUUAUAUUUAUUAUUUGGCUCGUAAGCCAAAUGGGUUGUUGUUUAGGUUUGAAUGACAAAACGACGAGGAAAAGCGAGAAGGAGAGGAGAAGAAGAGAGAUUAUGAAGAGCUUUUGACUGAAAUUUGUGGGUUUGUUAGAAGCAGAUGGUGAAGAUGAUGAUGAAGCUGCAGCCAUUUGAUCGAAUUUUGCUUCACGUCUUUGUAGAAAGUUGAAAGAUUUGUUUUGAGUCGACAUUUUGUUUUAGGAAAAUGAUAUUCGGCCCACCACGAGAACAUAACGAAGCCAGAAACGCAAGUUUCCUCUGCCGUUUCAAAGUUUUAGAUUUAAAAAUUAAAAACAAAAUUUACCAUUAAAAAAAAAUAAAAGCUAAUGAAAAGAAAUUAAAAAAUCUAAAUUAUUAUCCAUCCCCUCACUCACCCCCUCUCUAACUCACCCGCUCUGUCUCUCUAAUUCUUAUCCCUCCUCUCAGUCACCCCCUCUCUGACUCACCCGCUCUGUCUCUCUCACUCUUACCCACGAAGCUCGUUCCCCUCACACUCACCCGCAAGCUCACUGUCAAAAUUUUGCUCAGAUCUCAGCUAACACAUCAUCAAAACCGCAACGAUGACGCUAGGCUCAGGAGGAUCCAGUGUUGUGGGUCAGUUUCUUCUCUGAUCUUGCCCUUUUUUGUUCAAUCUGUUUAUGCCCUUGAUUGAUUUAUUCUCUUUGUUUUGGGUGGUUUUCUGCAGUCUUAUGAACAUUUUUUUUUUUGGCAUAAAUGCAUGCGGGUUGCUAAGUUUAAUUGUUAAUUAGACCUGAUCCGCAAUUCUAUGCGUUUUUUGAAUUUUUGAUCGCGAAAUUUAGUUAAUUUAAUUUAAUAGUGUUGGAUCAUCAUCACUAUUAAAUUAAUAGUUAAAGAAAUUCUUUUGACACGGGCUUUAUGAAACCUUGUAUGUGAUACUUUGCUUAUAAAAGUAUUUGGAUUGUUUUUUGUAUUUAUAUUUUAAAAUUACUAGAAACAAGUUAUUUGAAGUGUGAUACUUUGUGAAAUGUUAAAACCUUAUGAUUUGGUUGUAAUUUUGUUUUUGCUUAUAUAUGUUUACGUUUGUUGGCAGUAAAGCAUAUAUUGCUAAUCCAGUAAUUGCAGCUUGAUUCUAAGGUUCUUUUACCUUAUUAUGCAAGGUAACAAAAUUAGUCAAAUUAUGAAUAAAAUCUUUUACACUACACAAAAAUUUAUGCCAUUUAGUCACGUAAGAGAAAAGUUAUUUGUAUUAUACAUAACUUGAUUGAAAUGAAAUAAUAUAAUUGUAAAAAUUAACAAAGUCAAAUAAAUUAUACGCAACAAUCUAAAUCUUAUAAAUUCUUAAAAAUUCCUACUCUUUGUAUAUGGUAAGGUAAGAAUUUUGAGAUCAGUCUUCAGUUUGACAAAAAAAUUAUAUCCGAACUCAUAGUCUUUCCUUAGUGAAGCAAAGAAAUUCGUGACCAAUAAUGUGAUCAUAUAACCACUAGGUAAGAAAAUUAUGUAUCAUACAUAAGUCAAUAAUUAUAUUUUUUAAAAGUUAAUUACAGUAUAAUUGAAUGACAACCUAAUUUUCUCCUACCCAUGUGAGCUAAGCGCUACAUAAGAAUGAUAUUUUUUGAAUAAUAACAAAAAGUACAAGUAAAUAAAAUAUAUUUAUUUAAGCUAAAUGCUACGUAAGAAGUUCCUUUUAUAUACUAGUCUAUGUCUCUCUUCCUCUCUCUCUUUCUCUCUCAUACUAGUCUCUCUCUCUCUCUUUCUCUCUCAUACUAGUCUCUCUCUCUCUCUCUCUCUCUUAGGAGUAUUUUAUCGUACAAUCUAGGUAUUUUUUUAAGUUCAUUUUUUAAAAGAUUGGAGAGUGGAUCAAAUCUAAAUCGAUUUUUUUAGCCUUUACCUCCCCUAAAAUUCAAAAUGUAUUAACUAGCUAAAUAAAAAUACUUGAAAAUUGUUUGACUAAGUCAUUGAGGCCAUAAUUUAAACACUGAUAGAUAGUUAAAAAGUUCCAAUAAAAUAUGAUCAUCUAAUGGUGUCUUUACAGUUUUGUAACCACAACCAGUACAAUGUCUCUAUCAAAUGACAUGUUUCUACCCAGAAUCAAUUUCUUUUUUACUAUAUGGAAUUAUCUGCUCAUGGGUUGUCUGCUCAUGGUUUGUCUGCUCAUGAGUUCUCUGCUAAUGGAUCGUCUGCUCAUGGAUUGUCUACUCAUGGAUUGUCUGCUCAUGGGUUGUCUGCUCAAGGAUCGUCUGCUCAUGGGUUAUCUGCUCAUGGAACAUCUGCUCAUAGAAAAUCUGCUCAUGGUGCUAACUAAUCAGCGGCUUCCCACCAAACAAAUUUAAUGUUGAUGCAGGGAUCUGAGAUUCGAUCAACUCAUCCAGAUUUCGGCAUCAACAUCUAGUGCCGUCUGUGGGGACCGGUACGAGAAGCCAAUUUUUUGUCUCUAUCAAUUUUCAUCUAGUCGAAGCAAAUCAGAAUGUUACAGUGCAUAAAUGGAUGAGCUUGCUUAAACAAGGAUGCAAAAACCUUAAACGAGAGCACAUUGAAAGCACACGUUUGUAAAAAUCAGAACAAGUCAGAAGUUAAAUUUUUAUUUACAAGCAAUUUUUUCAUGAAAAUUUAAUUAUUUCUCUAAAUCCUGCUAUGUGAGAUGAGGAUACCUUAUAUUCAUUAAAUUGAUUGUGCUCAUGUUAGGGCUGACGGUAUAACUUAGUUAACUUGAUUUCUUGAAAGUUACUCAAUAUGAGAAUGAUUUAAGAAAGGAGAGCUAGGCUAGCGUUGAGAAGCCAAUCAAAGUUUACUAAUAAGGCGUGCAAAGGCUCCAAAGUCUCAAAGCCUAUUUUAUGGCGAGACAGGAAGCCAAGCAUGCCAGGAUCUUCUCGACCAAGUGAAGGCGAGCAGACCACCAAAGUUCCAAAAAGUUUCUAAGGCGUGCAAAGGCUCCAAAGUCUCAAAGCAUGUUUUAUGGCGAGACAGGAGGCCAAGCAUGCCAGGAUUUGCUCGACCAAGCAAAGGCGAGCAGACCACCGAAGUUCCAAAGAGUUUCUAAGGCGUGCAAAGGCUCCAAAGUCUCAAAGCCUGUUUUAUGGCGAGACAGGAGGCCAAGCAUGCCAGGAUCUGCUCGACCAAGCGAAGGCGAGCAGACCACCAAAGUUCCAAAAAGCUUCUAAGGCGUGCAAAGGCUCCAAAGUCUCAAAGCCUAUUUUAUGGCGAGACAGGAAGCCAAGCAUGCCAGGAUCUGCUCGACCAAGCGAAGGCGAGCAGACCACCAAAGUUUCCAGUCUUGAUUCGUUUCACUCUCAACACUAGAAACUAGGGGUGUUCAGAAUCCGAUCCGAUCCGUUCAAUCCGUCUGAUCCGUAAAAAUCCGAUCCGUAUAAAUCCGAUCUGUGGAUUGGUGGAUUGGAUUGGAUUGAAAUUUUAAAAAUCCGCAAUCGGUGGAUUGCAUAUGGAUUUACUUCUGUGAAUCUGCAAAAAUCCGUGAAUCCGCAAAAAAAAAUAUAUUUAUUUAUUUAUUUUAAAAAUAUUAUUAAUAUGAUAAUUAUAUAAACACCAUAAUAUAAUUUAGUCAUUAUUUAAUAAAAUUAUAAAAUAAAAAAUAUUAAAUUAAUAAUUAAAAAAUUAAAAUAAAGUAAAGUCAUCAAGUAAAGUAACAUAACAAUCAUUAUCUAAUAAAAAUAAAAAAUAAAAAAUGAUCAAAUCGGUCAAAAAUUAUUGAAAUAAAGUCAUCCUCAUCCAAAACCAAAACGAAAGUUAAAGCUUUUGUUAAAAAAAAAAGUAACAAUGACAUAAAGUCAAAAGUAAAUUAGAUAACGCCAAAAGCAACUAGCAUUAGCAAUUUAGCAUAACGUAAAAUCGCAAAUCAGUGGUCACGACCUGCAAACGAAAAAAAAAACCCUAAGCUGCUUCUUGCUUCCCUGCCAUUACAGUCACGCACGAUUCCGACGAGUACUAUUAAACCUUACCACGGUGUUUCUAUCUCCUUCUCCAGGUACAAUACUCGUAAACAUUCUCCUAAUUUAUUAUUUUGAUUUUAUCUUUGAUAACAUUUGUUCUGAUUUUUUUAAUUAUUAUUAUGUAUCUUCUUUUUUGUCAAUGGUGACUUAAGAUAAUGAUUUUGAUAUCCUUUUAUUAAUAAUAAGGUUGUUGGGGAUCGAGGGAGAGAAUUAUUUAUUGAUUGCAUGUCUUAAUUCGGUUGCUUUUGCUUUUUGUUCUGUGGUAAAACUGAAUUUGUUAAUUUCUUCUUUGAUGGGCUAUUUUUUUAAAAAAUGAAGAUUAAAGAGUUGUUGUGGGGGGUGGUUGAAUAAUGUUGCUUCUGUGAAUCUAACAAUCAUAUUGCCUUUUCUGGAUGUAACACAUGAAUUUCGUGAUUUUUCUUUUUGAAUUGGCUUCUUUUACUUUUCCUAACUAAACUCUUUUAAGCUUAAUUUGUUCCUGUCAUUUUUCAUAAUUAAUUCUAAUGAUUUUUCAUAUUGGUGGUGUAGAUGACUUCUCAAUUUGAUAAAGGAAAACGUGUAGCUGUAGAUUCAGCCCCCCCCAAGUUCUAAAUCAUCCAGUAAUGCUGAAGGUACACCAAAUAAAUCCACUACUUCAGAAGCUUGGGAGCAUUUUAUCCAAUUAAGUUCUGAUCCACUGCAUCCUAGAUCCAAAUGUCGAUAUUGUGGAAAAGAAUAUAAAUGUGGUUUUAAUAAAGGAACAUCUAAUUUAUUGGGUCAUAUAAGAGAGAGAUGUCUAAAAUAUCCUGGUCGAGCUCGAGUGGACAAAAAACAAAAAACUUUGUCUUACCAACCAGUGAAAAUUGGAGAGUCAUGUAGCCUUGUAUCAACGACCUAUAGUGUUGAGGCUUGUAGGGAAGCAAUUGCUAAGUUUAUUAUAAAAGAUGAGAUGUCAUUUAGAGUUGUAGAGGGUGAAGAGUUUAGGGAAAUGUUGGGAGUUUUUGAAAAUAGAUUUAAAGUACCAUCUCGCACUACUAUUGCUCGUGAUAUUUUGCAACUUUACAAAAAAACAAAGAAAGAUUUAACUAAUUUUUUUGUUAGUAGUCAUCAAAGAGUUUGCCUCACUACAGACACAUGGACUUCAGCUCAAAAUCUUUGUUAUAUGUGUCUUACAGCUCACUUUAUUGAUGAUAAUUGGACAUUACACAAAAAAAUAUUGAAUUUUUGUCAAGUUGCUGACCAUAAAGGUGAAACAAUUGGUAGGCAAAUUGAAACAUGCCUAUUAGAUUGGGGUAUUGAGAGAGUUUUUACAGUAACGGUUGAUAAUGCUUCUUCUAAUGAUGGUGUUGUCUUUUAUUUGUCAAAAGUUGUGAACAAUUGGAAUAGUGCAAUCUUAGGGGGUCAAAAUAUGCAUUUGAGGUGUAGUGCACAUAUAUUAAAUCUCAUUGUUGCGGAAGGGUUAAAAGAGUAUCAUCAGUCGAUUUCUAAGAUUCGCAAUGUUGUAAGAUUUGUUAGAUCUUCACCUUCUAGGACGCAAAAGUUUAAGGCAUAUGCAGAGCGAGAGAAAAUUUCUUCAAAUAAGUUGUUGUGUCUAGAUGUCAUAACUAGAUGGAAUUCCACUUUUUUCAUGUUAGAGGCUGCUGAAAAGUAUGAAAAAGUAUUUGAUCGGUUAGAGCUUCAUGAUGCACAAUACAUUCGUGAGUUUUGUUUGAGCUAGCCAAAAACGUGUCCUUCAUCAAUUGAUUGGGAAUAUGCUCGUUAUUUCAUUAAAUUCUUGAAGGUUUUUCAUGAUGCCACUUUGACAUUUUCGGGUUCUUUAUAUGUGACAUCCAAUAAUUUUUUGCGCCAAUUAUGUUUGAUUCAUACACAAUUGCAAGCUUGGAGGGAUAGUAAGGAUUUAUUUUUGAAGAUAAUGGCUGAAAAUAUGAAAAAGAAGUAUGAUAAGUAUUGGGGAAAUUAUGAAACAAUCAACCCUUAUUUGUUUGUUUCUAUUUUGCUUGAGCCUCGACAUAAAGAACGGUUUUUGAGAUAUUGUUUUGUAGUAUUGUUUGGUGAAUUUAAAGCUAAUGAGUUGGUUGUUAAAGUGCGAAAUAAUUUACAUAGUUUAUAUGAGGAAUACAAAUUGCUUUAUGGUGAUGAUGUGGAAGUAAUGGAUGCUGUCAAUGAUGAAAAAGAUUUAGAGGUUGAUACUGAGGUUGAUGCUAGGCAAAUGUUUGAUUCGGGUUAUAUGAGGAUUUUAAAAGACAACAUUUUUGUAGAGUGCAAAACAGAAGUGGAUCUUUACUUGUUAGAAUCAUGUGAGAACCCAGAAAAUGAGAGUUUUGAUGUUUUGGAUUGGUGGAAGAUUAAUUCUUCCAAAUAUCCAAUUUUGUCCUAUGUUGCUCGAGAUAUUUUGGCCAUGCCUGUUUCCACUGUGGCAUCUGAGUCAGCAUUUAGCACUGGUGGGCGUGUUCUUGAUCCACAUCGGUGCUCACUAUCUACAAGGACGGUGGAGGCAUUAAUUUGCACACAAAAUUGGCUACGUUCAACUCCGAUAAAUCUUGAUGAAGCAAUAGAUGAGAUUGAACAUAUUGAGACAGGUAAAAUGUAACAAUUUAACUUUAAUUUUAUUUUUUGAUUAUUAUUUGACUUUAUAUUGUUAUUCUAUUUUAAAAAUUGACAUUUUUCUUAUCUUAUACGUACAGAGAUUUUGGGAGCUGACAAGAACAUAUUUGAUGAAGCUUGAUGGCAUUUGAUGGGAUAUAAGGGUAAAUAUUUAUUAAUUUAUUUAUUAAAUAAAUUUUUUUAUUUAAUAAAUUUUUUAUUUGUUAUUUAUAUCAAUUAUGUUUAUUUUGUUUAGGCUAAAAUACGAAACACAAAUUGGAGAUGGAAGUUUUUCCUUUUGGUGUGUUUUAUUUUGAGACUUUCAAUGUAUUAUUGUGGCUUUAUUUGAACAAUUAAUUUUGAUAUUAUAUUAAUAUAUUAUUGUAAUUUUAUUUGAACAAUUAAUUUUGGUAUGUUAUAUUUUAAAACUUUAAACGUAUUAUUAUAGUUUUAUUUAAACAAUUAAUCUCGAUGUGUUAUAUUUUAAAAUUUUGAAUGUAUUAUUAAAACAAACAAUUAAUUUGUUUAAAUUUUAUUAAAUUUUAAAUUUAAUUGGUAGUAAAAUUAUUUUAUUUCGUAAAUCAAUUCGUAAAAUGAUGGAUUUGGAUAUGGAUUGAGUUAAAUCCGCAUCCGAUCCGCAGACGUAUGGAUUGGAUAUGGAUUGAGUCAAAUCCGUAUCCGAUCCGCAGAUGUAUGGAUUGGAUUUGGAUUGAAUUUAAUCAAUCCGUGGAUUGGAUUGGAUUGAAAAAUUAUAAUCCGUAAAAUCAUGGAUCGGAUAUGGAUUGAUGUCCAAUCCGUAAAAUCCGAUCCGCGAACACCCCUACUAGAAACUGGGGGACUGGUGUUCAGGGAAUGAAAUAGGGUGACUAAGAUAAAGGUGUUUGCUCAUACAUUAUCGUGCUCUCCUCAAAGUAAAAGUGAGCAAAUGGUUGAGCAGAUCACCUCGACCAGGAUGUUGUUUGGUGACCUCGAGCACAUCACCUCGACCAGGAUGUUAUUGGUCACCUCGAGCCGAUCAUCUCGACCAGGAUGUUAUUGGUCACCUCGACUAGAAUAAUAUGUGGUGACCUCGAGCACAUCACCUCGACCAAGAUAUUAUUGCUCACCUCGACCAGAAUAAUAUGUGGUGACCUCGAGCACAUCACCUCGACCAAGAUAUUAUUGCUCACCUCGACCAGAAUAAUAUGUGGUGACCUCGAGCACAUUUCCUCGACCAGGAUGUUAUUGGUCACCUCGACCAGGAAGUUAGUAGGAAGCACGAUUCAGUCAAAAUAUUUUCUCUGAAAUAUUAGGGACCAUAUUCUUAGUGGGCUGAAAAUUAGUAAUUUUCUUGAGAAUUCUAGGGGAGAGGAUAAAAACCGCUAUAGUUUCCUAUAAAAACCCUAGGAAGGGGAAGGAAAAAGGGGAUUCUUCGAGCUCUCUCUCUCUCUCUGGGCAACUGAACCCAUUAGGCCUUUUUCUCUCUCUACCACUGGGAAAUUUCUCUUUCGCUUAUGAUUUCUUUAAGAUUAAUUAUUCUCAAUUAUUUUCCUUUAAAUUUACUUAAAAGCUUUUUUGUUUAAAGCAAUCAUAAUUAAGCCACAUGAAUUGUGGUAUGGGUUUUUCUAAGUAAGACCCAAAUCGCUGACUUGAGCGUCUGAGGGUUCUCGCCGGAAAAACUUCCGGCACCUCCUGACUGUUGGUUGAGCUCACAGGCUCACAGGCUCACAGGUUGUCUGUUCAUGGAUUGUCUGCUCAUGGGUUAUCUGCUCAUGGGUUGUCUGCUCAUGGUUUGUCUGCUCAUGAGUUCUCUACUAAUGGAUCGUUUGCUCAUGGAUUGUCUACUCAUGGAUUGUCUGCUCAUGGGUUGUCUGCUCAUGGGUUGUCUGCUCAUGGAUCGUCUGCUCAUGGGUUAUCUGCUCAUGGAACAUCUGCUCAUAGAAAAUCUGCUCAUGGUGCUAACUAAUCAGCAGCUUCCCACCAAACAAAUUUAAUGCUGAUGUAGGGAUCUGAGAUUCGAUCAACUCAUCCGGAUUUCGGCAUCAACAAAUAUGAUAGUUACUAUUUUACGUUUGAAAUAUUAUGUUUCUUCUGAAAGCUACCAAUCUCAUUUACAUUUCCUAGUCAAAGACUUAUUGAAAUCAAUUAUUUAUGCUAUUAAUUCAGUUAGUUAAGGAUAUACUUUAAAGUUUAAAUGAUAUGACAUUUAAUCAACCAACAAUACAACAUUUAUCGAUUUAAUAUUAAGAUAUCUAAACAAAAUGAGAUGACAAGAUCAGUACUCAACAUAUAAUUUAAUUUUAAUAUAACUUCUUUCAUAAAUAUUGAUACAAUAAUAUUGUAUCAAUAUCAUGUCACUUGUUUUACUUUAUUUACUUAUUACUUAACUCUUUUAGCACUUAUACGUCACUCAUAAACUUGUAUAAAUUUUGUAUGCAUCGAAUUGUUGGGAUUAAAAUUCAUAGAGUUCAACUCUCGUGCACGAACUUAGGAUUUCUCUAUUAAGUUUACUUGAAUAUGAUUAUAUUUUUGUUAUAGUUUAUAACCUCUUUUCAAUUUUUUCGAUAUCUAUGAUUUUCAUUAAAUCACUACUCUAGUUGGCAUUUCGCAUCACCCCAAUUGAUUAGUUGCUCUCUAAUCCAACAAAAUUAAUAUGGAAAGAAAUGAAUGGCCAGCGAUAAAUAUUCCAACAUUAUGCAUUAAGCCAUUCCACUCCUACAAAACUGAAUCUUUGACAGAAUGCUUUUUCACGUGAUCAUGUAUGUGUCAAAGUUUUGUGACAGAUAUAUUAUUUUGCAGAUGUGGCAAACACAGUCGUUUCAAAAUCUUAGAGGCCUUCAAAUUUUGAUUAUUCUAUAAGAGGAUAGUUACAAAAUUCUGCUACAAAUAGUAAAAGUUAAGUGAUUCUUGACAGAAUACUAUCAAAAGGUUUAAAUAAAAUCUCACAUCUUAAUAUUUUACAAAAAUGUGUUUUAAAUAUUUUAAUUUUUUUACAUAAUUCUAUCAAUGAACUUUCUUUUUAAAUUUUUAAUUCCACGUAGACAUUGAAAAAUGACCUAGUUUUAAAAGAUUCCAAUGAUUUAACUGAUGUGAAUAUAUCUUCAAUAAGUCAACGACAAAAUUCUAUGAAACAAAAUUUACUAUUUUAAUUAUUUUAUAUUGCCACAUCAAUAAACUAAAACGAUGAUAUUUCAUAUGCUCAAAAAAGAAAAACUUAUGUAGGUCGAGUUCGCCAUCUCAUCAUAUUAAAAAGGCGUGUUCAACCAAUAAGAAUUUGCCAUCUAAAAAGUUCAAUGGGUCUUUUGAAAAGCUUGGCUCGAGUCUGAGCCUGAGUGUUUCAGGUCGGACUCAGCCUAAGCUCGGGCAUAAAACACAAUAAAUGCUCAAAAAAUAAAAGAAUAAAUAUUUUAUUUUUAAUUAAAAUACACUUUUUAAUAUAUGUUUAACAUAACCAGAAGUCCAGAACAUAUAUUUAAAGUUUUAAAUUUUUAACAGAACUUUUAAUACCUAAUCUAAUAAGAAAGUUUAUAAAUUAUAAAUUUAUAGAAUACAAUGAAAAAGGUUUAAAAAAAUUAAAGUAUAAAUAUGAGGUUUUACAAUAAAAUAUCAAAUGGUGGCAAAAUGGGCGGCCAAAAAGUGCGCCAAAUCAAAAUUAUUCAAAAUUCCUCUCUUCAAUGCCCUUUUUAUUUUAUGCACCGCUGAUAUAAAAUUAACACAAAAACAUUCUGAAAUCGAAAGCUUGGAACGAAUCUCACGCCUCUCGCCUUCUCUUUCUCGCAUUUCGCAUUCCUCUUUGCCUCUCUCUCUCUCUCUCUCUCUCACACACACACACACACAUAAAUGUUAACCUCACCAGUCCUCACAAAUAAGCCGUUUGCUUUUAUCACUUGCUGGGCAAUCAUCUCCAAAAAUGAAACAACUGAAAUUCAAAUGGGAUAUUUAUUUUUCUCUCCAGAUUCUUUUCUCUGAAAUAAUGCUAAAACAAUUUUUUUUUUGUUUUUUUUGUAUAAUUUCAGCAAAGGUCCAGAUCGCUCAAGGCCUAAUUUCAUCUCAAGGUUUGUCUUUUUCCUCUUGAUUGCCUUUCGUUAUUGGUUUCUCAUGUGACAUUACUUUACUUUGUUCUUUGCUUAUUGUAAAUUUAUUCACGGUUUCUACAUUAUAAGUUACGGUCUUUGUUUACUUUUAUUAAAAAUUAUGGUAUAUGAAUAAUAAGAAUAAUAAUAAUAUUGGCUUGUUUGCGUAAUUGUCUUCGAUAUUGACUGUAUUUACAAGAUUCUCUGUGACAUAUUUCUUAUUGUGAUUGUUUAAUUAGUCUCGAUUGCAAUUUUUACAAGAUUUGAUGAAUGUUAAAAUUUAAGUAACAAUUUAAAUUUGUACACCAAGUGUUUGUUAUAAUGCCGUGUGUUAUCUUCAAUAGAUUUUUUUUUUCUUUAACACGUAGUAUAAGCCUGAUAAUAUUUUUCAAUUUCUUUCCAAGAUGCAGUUUUUGAUAAAGAAUAAAACAAAUGAUUGAGACUGUUUCGAUGCUAAUUUUUCAAAUUAGCGCAUAUUAUGCUACUUCAUCUCAAGCAACCUAUGAUGAUAGCUAAUAUUGAUGCAAUAUUCUGCCAUGCCUGCGGAUUCAACUUGCUAAGAUUUUGGUUAUGCCUUCAGGUUCAAGCAUUGUUGCUGAUUAUGUGAGCUGUUGAGAUUUUAGUAUUGAGCAUGGCUGCUUUAGAUUCAAUUUGAGCAAAUGUAAUUGUUUCCUUUUCUGUCACUAUAUUCUUACAAGGACUUUUUUGAUAGAAUAAAAUUAUGUCAGUAACAUGGUCUGUGACAAAAAUUAUUCUGUCAAAAAAAAAACUCAAUUUUGUAGUGAUUCCAAAUAAUGGUUUAGUUUCUUUCCUCGUUUUGUCAAUAAUUGAUUCUAUUCCUGGUUAAAACAAGUUCUUUACUUCUCUAAAAAUGUGCAUAAUUUCCCCACUUAUAGAAGUGUCCAGAUAUUUUUGACUUUCUUUUUUUUUUAAGGACUAAUACUAAUUUAUUGUUUGGUUAUAAGUACUAGAAAUCAAACAGGAGAAAAUAAUUGAGUGUUUUUUUGUUAACUUAAAAAUACGUAUUAUAAAUGUUACUUAUACAAAUGCAUAUUACUAUUCAAAAUAAUAAAAAUUUUGCAUUGGAAACAAUUUUGAAAAAAAAAAUAAAAGUUUUUAAUGGAGAAAGGAAUUGUGGAGGGAAAGUUUGAUAGAAGAUGCACACUAGCUAAUUUUGGAAUUAUACCGUCAGGCGUCAGUCAUUUUAUAAAAAAAAAUGGAAAUAAUUUGAUCAGCCACCAGAGCUUUAGUUCAGUGAUUUUCUCAAUACGACGUACGGUCCUCAGAACCUUAUCAUGAUGCUUGUAUAUUCUAAGCUUCACGACAUCAUAUUAAAAACGUAUUGCUAAGGUAAUUUGAAAUUUAUUUUAUUCAAUGAAUGUUACAUUUACUGGUAUGUUUAAUAUUUUGUUUUGGUUAAAAAAUUUGCUAUCUAACAGCUAAUAACUGAAUUUGACUCAUUUUUAUGUAAAUUUUAUAGACCUACUGAUUCACCAUUUUUAUGUUAUGAUCAUUGUAGGCAUGUUAUAUUUUAAAUUAUGACUCCAUGUGAAAUCAAAAUUUCAAUUUCACCAUCUUUUAUAGGAUUUGGUUAUGAUAAUCAAAUAACACAAUAAACAAACAUAAGGAAAAAAAAUUUACGUGGUUCGACAUAUUAAUUAAUAUGCCUACAUCCACGGGUGGUGAUACCAAUAAGCCACUAUAUAAUGAAAAAGUGUACAAAUAAUAAUAAGCUCUCAAAUGCGCCAAAAAAAAAAAAAAAAAAGAACACCAAUCUCAACACUCAAAAUCAAUCAAUCCCCAGCAGUUUGGCCUCACAAGAGCUCUCUCUGUGUUGUGCUUUCCCUCAUUCAUUCUCUUUACAAAUACAAAGGCUCGCAAAAAAUACAAAACGAAUUACUGAAAGGGUAAAAGCUCGUUUAGUCCCUAUACUUUGAGGUUAGUGUCCGUUUAGUCCCUAUAUUUUUAAAAAUACCUGAAAGCAUCCCUAUCAUUAAAUUAUUGACAUUUUUGCCAUUACCUUUUGUUCAUUUUGACUUAUUUUUACAAUAUUACCAUAUUACAAUAAUGUUCCUUUUUUUAAACAUUAUUAAAAAGAAAAAUUAAAUUACCAGUUUAACACCAAAAAAUAAAAUAAAAACAAUAUAUAUAUUAACAUAAAUACAUAACAGAGUAAAGAAGCACGCGCCACGCCCGUCCCCCAAUUCCUGCUUUGCGACGCUGAAAAAUAUCGCUUUCCCCAACAAAACAAAUGAAUCAGUUAGACAAAUAUAUCUAAUUAUAAUGGACAUUGUUAAAUUAAUGAAGAAGAGUAGAGAGAGAACAAACGAGAAGGAAAGCGUAUACAAAUUAUAAUUACUAACCAGAGUUAUUAGCACCAUUAGAUAUAUAUCCGUGCUGAAUCCCCUCCUCUGUUCACCAUUCGUUUCUAAAAUGGAUUAAAAAAUAACUACUAAUUAAUUUUAAGUAAAAUAGAGUGAGACACGCAAUGCAUGCAGGAGAUCUAGAAAUAAAUUACCCGUCGCGGUGCCCGUGGGUGAUCGUAAUUGACUAAUUGCAGCCGCACACUUCACUCAAUCUCGAUGUUGGGAAUGUGGCGUAUCUUAGGCCAGUCCUCUCCUGUCUCCUCUCUGCAACGUUCUUCUAAAAUAGGACAUUCCCCCCAAAUCUCCAAAUUCCGGAGCGUUGACUUCUGAAGAAGGUGAUCGGGCAGUGCUUUUAAUUUACGGCAACUCCAAAUAAUCAAGGAAGAAAGACGUGGCAUGAUUAUGAUUUCUCCCUUUAUUGCUGUCCCGAAAUCCCACUCUUCCAGUUCUUCCAUAUUACGAAAUAUGAGCUGUUUCAAUUUGGGAAAGGCAAUAACUGAGGAGCCAUCCGUAUCACUUUCUACUCCCAGAAAUUCAUUACCUACUCUUUUCACGCUUUUCAUUCCUGCAAUAUAAAGAUCUUCAAGGGAUGGCAAUUUUCCCAAAGGAGGCAAAUGCUCACAAUUUCUGCAAUUGUAGAGAUAUAAAUACCUUAAGUUGGUUAAUGACAUGACCCAAUUUUUGGGAACAACAUUCCUCCUGCCUCUGUAUUUAUGUAUCUCUAAAUUCUUUAAAUUAGGAGGUGGUCCCAAGGCUUCAAGAAGCUGUUCAUCUUCAUCCUCCUCAUUCUCCCUCCUCCCAGCUUGUUCUUCAUCUCCAUCUCUUAAAUGAUCAAAAGUAAGUCCCAAAUCAAAGAGAUUUUUCUUUUUCUCAAGUUCAGCCCUUCUAGACUCCCCCGCAUCUGACACACCACCCCGCCCACAUAUCCAACAUUCUCGAAGGAGGUUAAGCUUUUUAAGAGACCCAAGGCUACAUGCUCUGCCAUAUCCUCCACCCACAACAAACUUUGUCACUCUCCGAAGCCUGAUUAAUUCCCCAAUCCCUACCGGCAAGUACCUUAAAGAUUCAGUCCGGUCAUUGUCUAAAUACAUCAGCUUUCUUAACCUCCCAAUCCCUUGAGGUAAUUCUCUAAGUUUUGCACAACAACUAACAUUUAAACGUUCUAAAUUAUACAACUCACACAACGUCUCGGGUAAUGUUUCUAUCUCCCUUUGAUUGGCCAAACUAAGGUAUUUCAAAUGUAAUAAUUUUUCUAUAUUUGUUGGAACUUCUUUGAUGAAAUCCUCAGGCGACCUCUCAUCAUGCACCUCUAAUUUUAAUGCCCUCAAACAAGUUAAUUUAUCAAAUAAUUGAGGUAGGAUUACGCUAGAACGUUUAGUACUUUCAAGUAAGAGGCUACGCAAUCCUCGCAAUGCUUCAACAUUGUCGUAAACGGGCAUCGGACCGCAGCCUAUAGCUAACAUCAAAUGAAGGAUUUUUUUCUCCGCAAAAGAACUCAUAGCUAACUCUUCACCACUAUGGAAUUCUACUAUUAAACAUUCAUUACUACAUAAGUAUUCGGCAAAGUCGUGCACUAUGUCAUGCAUUUUGCAUAGAAAUAAUUCACCAUCAUAUCCUCUUCCAAAUUCCUGAAAGAAUGAACGGCUAGCUAAGACAUUGAAAUACUCUUCACCAAUUUCCUCCAUCUCUUUGUUUCUUUUAUUGUUAAGGAAACCUUGAGCCAUCCAUAGUUCAAUUAACUUAUCUUUCUUUAGUAUAACGUCUUUUGGAAAGACCGCACAAUAAGUGAAACAUUGUUUUACCUUAGAGGGUAAUUCAUUGUAACUCAACAAUAGAGGGGCUAAAAGAUUUUUCUCAACCUGUUCUAUCUCCCAUAUCUCACUCUUUAAGAUAUUUUGCCAUUCUUUUUCAGUGUUUUUAGACCGCAAGAGACUAGCAAUUGUCUUUGUAGCUAAAGGUAAGCCCUUGCACUUUCUUGUAAUUUCUCGACCAAUUUUUUCUAAAUUCUCACGUUCCUCCAUGGACUUACCAGCAAAUGCUAACGACUCAAACACCGACCAGCAUUCCAUUUCAGACAACACAUUGACAGAUAUGAUGUCAGUUGAUCCCAUAAUACGGGCAACUGCCUCUUUACGUGUGGUAAUUAAAAUUUUACUUCCAUGGAGACAAUUCUUUAAGCAGUUGUUGAAUUGCUCCCAUUUAUGGAAAUUUUCAUUCCACACGUCGUCUAAAACAAGAAGAAGUUUCUUCCCGGCUACAUGUUUUUGAAUAUGUUGCAUGAGAGAUUGAAACUCAACAAAAUUAGGGGCACAACCUGUUAGAGCCUCAAUGAUUGCUCUAGCGAUUCUGAACUCAUCAAAAGGAUCUGACACGCAGACCCAUAUUCUUUUUUCAAAAUUCUUUUCAACAUCACCGUUGUUGUAGGCAAAUUGAGCAAGAGUUGUUUUGCCUAUGCCCCCCAUCCCAACAAGUGAGAUGAUAUGGGGCCCCUUUUGUUCUAUACUAUUCUCACAUAUUAACCUAUCAACCAGUUCGUUCUUCUCAUCUUUUCUACCAAAUAUCUCGGACUCAUCAAUUGAGGAGACACUUGGUAUUCGCUCAUCUGCUCUCUCACUACUCUUAAUAACAUUCACAGCAAAACCAAACUGGUCUUUCUGUUUGGCAAUAUCAUCAAGACUUUCAUUGAUUUCUUUGAGCUUGAGAGCAAUGUCACGACGUAGAAAAAGUCGUUUGCAACCAAAGCAAGAGGCAGCAGGAAAGAAGGAGCAUACCUUCUUGUUAGGAUCGAGAGCAGCAUUCUCAUGAUCAUCCACUCCAUCGAUUUUCAGUUUGAGCCUUGCAGUGCUCCACUCCUCCAACACAUCUUCCAUGUUGUAAGAUACGUCUCUGAGUUGAUCGAGCCAGAGUCUGACACUUUCCUCCUUUACUUGCCUUUUCUCUGCAUCAUGGAGCACAGCUUGAAUGGCUUGGAGAUUCCUGCUCAGCUUCUUCACUUCCUUUCCGACACCCGUUACCAGCCUCACCUGUUCCUUUGUCUCUUCAGCAGCCAUGGUAGUCAGCUGCUGCAAGAGAGGGGAAAUGAUCGCAUCAACCAUGGUGAAAGAGGAAAAAGAGAGAGAAGAGUUGUAGCAACAGUAAUUAAUGCUGAAAGAAAUGAAGGAGCUAAAAAUGUGGUGAAAAUGCAGCCGUAUUCUUUCAAUUCUUAUAGUACUGCAAGCAAAAUUCCAAUUUAGAAAUAUUUCAUUUCAGCCCUUGUGAAAGAAGCUACUGUUAUUAUUAUUACUAUUUUUUUUUAAUAGUAAUAUUUGUGAACUUGACAAAAUUGUUAGAUAAUAUUUGUGAUCGUGUCGUCAUAUUGAGAUUUGGAAGCAUUUGCUUUACAAUCACCCAUGAACUUGAUAAUUUUUAGAUUGUUUGAUCUGAAUUAUACGUGUUUUAUUAGCUUAGAAAUACCCUGACCAUCUCUUUCUGAUUUUCUUUUUCUUUUUUUCAAAAUUUGACUCGUUUGCAUAAUUAGUUGAAAGGAAAGAAUGAACAUAUAAUUAAACUAUGAAAACGCUGCCACAUAAUAUUCUAAGAUUCAUAUCGAACAGCUUUAUUUAGAUUUGUCAUUUCUAAUAGUGGGAGUUUAGAGUUUAAUCUCUAACUUUGAUUGUGAAGUGUGAAAAAUCAAAUAAUCUUUUCUACUAGUUUUUCAACAAUAAUAGACGACAAUUCAUCAUCAGUUAUUUCUCAUUACGUAUAAAAUGAUCAAUCUAGAGCUAGAUAUUGACAUAUUUUUUCUAUUUCUAAUCAUUUCAAAAUUUAAUAUAAACUUUAAAAAAAAAAUUAAUCUGUAAUAAAGUGACAUAAAUAUAAAAAAACGAAAAUAAAAAGUAAAAAUUGCAAUGCUGAAAAAAGACAAAACCUUUUGUUUGUUCUAUUCAUGGCAUCUAAAAAUGAGAAUGAUGGGUUGAUUGUCAUUGUGACCUACCAUAUAAUUCAUGGACCCAUGCAUCCUCUGUUUUUCUAAUUAUUCCGCGUAGAAGGCUAAGGUUUAACAUGUGAUUUUCAAAUUCAUUGUCAAGUGAUGUGAACGUUUUAACAAUCAGCGCUUCAUUUUCUUUUUGAUGGAGCACAAUAACAACUUGAAGAUUCCUGGAAGUUGCCUGCAGUUCAAAUAUUUUCUACAGACGAAAACCGUCAAUAAUUUCCAAACUUAGAAGAUAUUUAUUUUUUUUCCCAUAACCCACCAAAAACUUUUUCAUUUAGUGUAACUUUGUAAUUUUCUUAGAUGAUACUUAAAACUGCUAAUAUCUUCUAAUUAUUGUUUUAAAAAUCUAAAUAAUUGUAUGCCCAAUUAACGGAUCAGUAGUCUCAGUUCGACAUAUUUAUUUAAAAAAAAAAAGAAAUACACAGUUGUUUGAUGACUCUGGAAUUGAACAUCGGGAAAUAAAGAGAAAAAAUAACACACUUUAUGACGAUCAUUGCAAAUGACAUAACAGAUGUCAGUAUUUAUUACCAAUUAAUUGACAUUCUUAUUAUCAAGUAGUUGUUUUAGACUCGAAUUCAAAAGCUCUGCUCUGCUCUGCCCUUCGGUAAUUCCCCUGUUCAAAAAAUAAUAUUGUUUUAAAAAUCUCAAUAACAACAUGCCCAACAAAUCAGUUUGACAUGACAUUUUAAAAAAAAAAACGAUCGAGCAACACCGUAAUUUUUGUUAUAACGACUUUGUUGUAAUUGAAAUAUUAUUGGGAAAUUAAUGAAGAGUAGAGAGCAAUUAGAAAGCUAAAUUAAGCUAAACAAUUUGAUUAUUAACUGUCUGGUCUCUCUUGCAUCAUUCCAGUUAUCCUCUGAUCGAUCAUACAAUCCAAUGCAUAAUCUAUUCUUUAGCAUGCGGCUUUAGACACAGCUGUUAUAAACUUGGUCAGCUUAACAAAUAUAACGUAUCAUAUGAUAUUGUUAAGUAAAUAAGAGCACCAGCUCGGCCAUGCCAUCAUCCCUACCCCGGGGUGAACCACCUCAGCCGAACAGUACGAGCAGAACACUGAUCAUGAGCCUUCUACAAACAUGAGCCGACCAGAGACGGGUACAACCAGGGGAAUAUACCAACCAGAUACAUAUACCGAGCCGAUACCCAUCCCCCAAAAAAGCGGGAACACGAUCCCACAGAAUCACGGUAGUUGCGCUUUUCCCAUAACCGUUGAGGGAGACGCGAGAUCCCACGUUUGCCCACAAUGUAGCAGUUAGAGUCCCAUGAGGGGCUGCCACCACCCGAAAAAAGAGGGAUGAAGGGUAAACGGAAACGUGGGACAGCGGCUAUAAAAGAGGAAGAAAUCGAUGAAGAAAGGAGACAGAAAAACUGAGAGAAGGAAAAACGCUGCCAAAUUGUAACCAGGCACUUUUCUAUGCAAAACUUUGAAUAGAUUAUAAACCAUCCUUAAAUCCAAAUUGCACUGUUUUCCCGUAAACACCUUGUGCUAACUUAGGCAUCGGAGGGUUUACGCCGGUAAAACCACCGGCAUCUCUGAUCCGUUUUUGGUGAACGCAGGUCUAGUAAGAGAAAAGAGGGUGAUUCUUACCCCAGUGGUUCGAGCAACAGUUGAUAACAUAAACGCUGGUGAAAGGAUCUGAUCGGGUAAAGGGCGAGCAGAUUUCAGCAUCACUCUCCGGGAAAUUGCAAAUGAAGCCCGAGAGAGGAUGACGCAAGAUCGACUGGAGCGGAUGGAGAAACAAAUGGAGACUUUCGCGGCUAUACUGUAUGAGCUGAGGGAUGAGCGGAGAAGGGAUUGUGAAACCCCCGUGGGGAGAGAUGAGGUUGGAGCAGAACCCAGCCUCCGGAAGCGUAGAGUCGAGGAAAUCCCUCCGCCGGCAGACCAACCUACUGGGGUACAUCCCCACAGAAGCAAUGGUCGGGUUUCAGGAGAACGCGUAGAUGAAGGGAGGGACCAACCUCGCCCCGGACGGGUACUGGAAACUGAUGGCCGAGGGGCCAAUGUUGAUGAAGGAGAGCUCAGACAGCGGUUGCAGAAUGCCGAGCAGGAGUGAGAUCAGAUAGCUGCGCGUGAUCCUGACCGUGAUGUUGAAUUAGAGGGAGAGGUGCGCAGAUUAGCGCAAGUGAUAGAGGAGAUACAGGGCAAGAGGAAGCCCCCAAGCUGGAGGAUAAUGCUAGAUGAAGAAUCUUCAUUAUCAACUGAGAUCAUGGGUACUGUAAUCCCAAGAGAUUUCCGCUUCCCUGACCUCAAAUACUCCAGGCGAAGUGAUCCACUGGUGCAUAUUGAACGUUUCAACGACAUGACGGGUGUUCAGGGGUUGACACCAGCUCAGAGGUGUAGGGUGUUCCCAUUGACACUGGAGGGACGAGCCCGAGAAUGGUACCGCAAGCUGUCACGGGGAAGUAUCAGAGGGUACGAGCAGAUAUGCCAAGAGUUGGCCGAACAGUUCCGAGGAGCAGUGGCCCCCGAGGAUGAUAUGAUGGAACUAAUGGGGAUGAAGCAGGAGGAACAAGAAUCCCUUCGAGAUUUUGUAAAACGAUACCACCGGGCCGUGCUUGAUUUGGGAGCUUUCAAUCACCCGCAGGCGUUGAGAGGAUUAAAGGAGGGUGUGAGGAUAGGCCGGCUAUGGUAUAACCUGAGAAGUCCCCUGGUGCAGAAUUAUUAAGCGGGGUAUGAGCAGGCGAAGAGAGACAUUGAAAUCGAAGAGGAAAAAUCGGCAAGGAUAAAGAGUGAACAGCUGAAGGAGCUAAGACGAAAGGAAAUGAGAACCCCAAGUGGGAGCGAGUCGGGAAAGCGGGCUGGGGAAUCCUCAAUGAUGGGUGCAGUAUCCACUCGGUCUCGCCCUUACCCCAUGGCUCAGAGACCGCAGCAGGUCCAACACAAUCGGGCUCAGCCCCCACGCCCCCCAUUCCUGGAGCGUCAACGAGAAUUCCGGCAGUUGGCUAACCAUCCUUAUCACAAAGCUCCCAGAGCACUACAUACCGCAAACUCCAGAACGGGGCGGUCAGGUCAGCUACCUUCAAUAUCCGCUCAGGACGAUACUCAUGAUAGUCGAGCAGUCCAGCUGAUUGAUCAGAGCUCGGCGUACAGACAAUACACCCCGUUAAAAGUCCCUAUGGAGGAGUUGUAUGAGAGAAUCGAGGGACGAGGCCUGCUGUACCCUCCAGCCCCUAUAACAAAACCUGCUCACCGACGGGAUAAGAGCAGAUUCUGCAAAUUCCACGACACUCACGGUCACACUAUCAGCCAAUGUCGUGACUUAAAGAUUCAGGUGGAGGAUUUGGUGAGAAACCGUUACUUGGAUGAAUAUGUAGAUGAGGUGUCCCCCGUCAUUGAAUCACAGUACACGCGGGAUGAAGGAGCUGAGAGGGGCCUGGAACGUGAACAGUCGACUAUCCGUGUGAGAGCAGGAGGGCCAACAUUGGCUGGGGAUUCGAACAGGGCACGGAAGAACUAUGGGAGAUACGCCAUGACCAGCAAAAAAGUGCUUUUCAAUUUGCCAGCAGCCAAGAAGGCAAAAGUACGGCAAGUUCCCAUUAUGUGGACAGAUGACGACGAAGAGGGUAUUUUAUAUCCUCAUGAGGAUGCACUGGUGAUUAAGGCAAUGGUGGCUGGUACAGAAUUACGACGAAUACUGGUAGACACGGGCAGCUCGGUUGACAUCCUGUUUAAGUCGGCCCUAGAUGAUAUGGGAAUUGCAGACUUGAAAUUGGAACGGACAAAUACAUCCUUAAAGCGAUUUGGAGGGGGACGGUUAACUCCCAUGGGGAUCAUUGAACUCCCGAUUACUGUGGGGACAAAGCCGUUUGAAAGAACGAUGAUGCUGGACUUUGUCGUGGUAGAGGAAAGAAGCCCUUACCAGAUGAUACUGGGGAGACCGUUCAUGAGGAUAAGCCAAUGCGUUAUAUCCACGCAUUAUCUGGCACUAAAGUACAGAGUAAAUGGAGUGGUUGGCGUAGUAAAAGGCGACCAGAGGAUGGCAAGGAGUUGUUAUGUUACAGCAGCCAAGGAGACACUACAGGUUACUUCUCUAGAUAACCGAGGAGAUUCUAAAAAUGGUCGCCAAGAACCUGUUGAGAAGCUAGAAGAGAUUGUGGUAAGCAAAAGCAACCCGAACAGAGUGGCUAAGAUCGGAUCAGGAUUGGUUGGGGCAGUAAAAGGCGAGCUGGUAAAGUGUCUACAGUCUCAUGCAGAUAUAUUCGCCUGGUCUCAUGAGGACAUGCCAGGAAUUGAUCGCGGGGUAACUUGCCACAAGUUGGCAAUCAAGAAGGGGGGCGAGGCCGGUGAGGCAGAAGAGGAGAUGCUUUAACCAGGAAAGGUACGAGGCCAUAAACGCCGAGGUGGAGAAGCUGUUGAAAGCAGGAUUUAUAAGGGGGGCCAAGUACCCGGAGUGGAUUUCCAAUGUAGUACUGGUAAAUAAGGCCAACGAGAAAUUGAGAAUGUGUGUGGAUUUCACAGAUCUUAAUAAGGCAUGCCCGAAAGACAGUUUUUCCCUACCAAAGAUAGAUCAAUUGGUGGACUCAACAGCGGGUCACAGUCUGCUGAGCUUCAUGGAUGCCUUUUCGGGAUACAACCAGAUACCCAUGGACGAGCAGGAUGAGGAAAACACCACCUUUAUAACUAACAUGGGUUUGUUUUGCUACAGGGUGAUGCCUUUUAGCCUGAAAAAUGCAGGAGCUACCUAUCAAAGGUUGGUGAACAAGGUCUUCAAGCCCUUGAUCGGUCAUACUAUGGAGGUAUAUGUGGACGAUAUGAUCACAAAGUCCAAGGAACCGAGGGAUCACGUGAAACACUUGGAAGAGACCUUUGAAUUGCUGAGGAAGUAUUAAAUGAAGCUAAACCCAGAGAAAUGUGCAUUUGGGGUCAGCUCGGGCAAAUUUUUGGGAUUCCUGUUGAGCCACCGAGGGAUCGAGGCCAACCCGGAAAAAAUACGGGCGGUAACAGAAAUGAGGUCCCCACGAACAGUUAAGGGGGUGCAGAGCCUGACAGGAAAAUUUACAGCAUUGAACCGAUUCAUCUCGCGGGCCACAGACAAAUGCCACUAUUUCUUCCAAACCAUAAAGAAAGGGAGAAAGAUGGAGUGGACAUCAGAAUGUGAGGAGGCGUUUGGGCAGCUGAAAGAAUAUCUGGCCCACGCCCCGUUAUUAUCAACUCCGAGAGAGGGUGACCAGCUGCUCUUGUACCUGGCAAUUUCUAAAUGGGCAAUCAGCUCGGUCUUAGUCAGAGAAGAAGAAGGGAAGCAACAUCUGGUAUACUACACAAGCAAGGCUCUGGUAGAUGCAGAAACCAGAUACCCACUGAUGGAGAAGUGGGCGCUAGCUCUAAUAACGGCAGCACGAAAACUCCGACCAUAUUUCCAGGCCCACCAGAUUAUUGUGAUGACUGACCAGCCCCUUCGGCAAAUGCUUCAAAAACCGGAUGCAUCUGGUCGGUUAGUGAAAUGAUCCGUGGAGCUGAGCGAAUUUGACUUAUCCUAUAGGCCCCGAGGAGGAAUAAAAGCCCAAGUCCUGGCUGAUUUUAUGGUUGAUCGUGCUGAACCAGGGGAAGAGAUUCAGGAGGAACAAGCAAUAGAGCAAGAGAAACCAGAGGGGGUGUGGCUGGUGAUGGUUGAUGGGUCGCGUAGUGAACAGGGAUCUGGAGCAGGAGUUGUAAUAUGGAGCCCAGAAGGGGUCGAGAUAUCCUACGUAGUAAAAUUCGAGUUCCAGCUUACUAAUAACCAAGCUGAAUAUGAGGCCUUCAGGAGGAACAAGCAAUAGAGCAGGAGAAACCAGAGGGGGUGUGGCUUGUGAUGGUUGAUGGGUCGCGUAGUGAACAGGGAUCCGGAGCAGGAGUUGUAAUACGGAGCCCAGAAGGGGUCGAGGUAUCCUACGUAGUAAAAUUCGAGUUCCAGCUUACUAAUAACCAAGCUGAAUAUGAGGCCUUCAUUACUGGGCUCGGGCUUGCACACGCGCUACGAGCUGAAAGAGUAGAAAUCCGAGCAGAUUCCCAGCUAGUCUACAAUCAGCUCUGCGACCAAUUCCAAGUAAGGAAAGAGAAGUUGGGGCUCUACUUGAAGAAGGCGAAGCAAAUGGUUGAACUCUUCAAAGAGGUAGAGGUAAAACAAAUAUCCCAGAAUGAGAAUUACCGAGCGGAUAUGUUGGUUAGGAUGGCUGCAAUUGCAGAUCCAAAAUUACCGAAGUCAGUUCCACUAGAGGUGAGGACCUCACCAAGUAUAGGGAAGGAAGUAGAGGUGAUGAGAGUGAGCACUAGAGAAUCCUGGAUGGACCCAAUUCGCGCAUACAUCCGCGAUGGAGUUUUACCAGAGGAUAAAAGGCAAGCCAGAAAAUUAAAGUGCCGAGCAGCGAGGUACACGCUCCUUGAUGGAGUGCUGUAUCGCCGAUGGUUCGCCUUGUCCCUUUUGAGAUGUUUGGACGAGGAGGAGGCAGAUUAUGUACUGAGGGAGAUUCAUGAAAGGAUAUGUGGUAAUCACUCGGGAGCAAGAACUUUAGCCUUCAAGGCACUCCGGCAAGGAUACUUCUGGCCUACCAUGCACCAGGAUGCGAAAAGGAUGGCAAAGAACUGUAAAACCUGCCAAAGCUUCUCUGAGGUUCCCGCACAACCCCCAGAAAAGCUGACCACAAUGACAUCCCCAUGGCCUUUUGCCCAAUAGGGAAUCGACCUGAUCGGUCCAUUACCUAAGGGCCGAGGAGCGCAACACAUGCAAUUGUAGCGAUAGACUACUUCACCAAGUGGGUAGAAGUGGGAGUCCUCAGCCAAAUUACGGAGAGAAAGACAACGGAUUUUAUUUGGAAGAAUAUCAUCUACAGAUACGAGAUCCCCUAUGCCAUCAUUACUGACAAUGAGAGGCAAUUUGACAACAACAACUUCAGAGAAUUUUGUCGGAACCUGGGGGUGGACCUGAAGUUCUGCACCCCCGCACACCCCCAGGCGAACGGACAAGCAGAAGCAGCCAACAAAGUGAUAAAGAAACUCUUGAAGACUAGACUAGGGGAGAAGAAGGGAGCUUGGGUUGACGAGCUACCAGGGGUAUUGUGGGCUUACCGGACAACUCACAAAACCGCUACAGGGGAAACCCCGUUUGCUUUAGCCUUCGAUCAUGAGGCGAUAGUCCCAGUAGAAAUCGGAAUAAGAACACAUCGGACGGAAUACUUCAAUGAGGAGCAAAAUGACGAGCAGAUCUGCUUGAGCCUAGACCUGCUGGAGGAGAAAAUGGAAGGGGCCUCGCAGAAAGUGGCCCAGUGUCAGCAAAGGGUCAUGCGUUAUUACAAUAAGAACGUACGCGUGAGGCAAUUCCGAGUAGGGGAUUGGGUACUUAGGAAGGUGAACCAAAACACCAGGGAUCCUAACCAUGGUGUUCUGGGCCCGAAAUGGGAAGGCCCGUAUAGGGUGAUACGAGCGAUCGGACCUGGAGCUUACAAGCUAGCGUACCCAGAUGGACGAGACGUGAAGAGGUCGUGGAACACCGAGCACCUGAAGAAGUACUUCCAGUAAGCAAAAUGCUCUACUAAUUUUUAUUUUGAGAAGUUAUUUCUGUUACAUGCAUAAUGAUUUGUUACACAUGCAUAUAUGCCGCAUUUCUGUAACGCAUUCAAAUUUCAAUAAAGAUGAAUUCAGCAUGAAACCCUUCUGUUGGCAAGACCAUUAAAUUUUUACAAAGGCAAACAAGUGCAUGUUCCUGCUCGGUCAACGAAAGAUCAGCAGGCAAUUUUUCAAAAUUCUAUAAAGGCAAACAAGUGCUUGUUCCUGCUCGGUCAACGAAAGACCAGCAGGCAAUUUUUCGAAAUUCUAUAAAGGCAAACAAGUGCCUGUUCCUGCUCGGUCAACGAAAGACCAGUAGGCAAUUUUUUGAAAUUCUAUAAAGGCAAACAAGUGUCUGUCCCUACUCGGUCAACGAAAGACCAUCAGGCAAUGGUUCGAAAUUCUAUAAGAGCAAAAAAGUGUCUGUUCAUGCUCGGUCAACGAAAGACCAGCAGGUAAUUUUUCGAAAUUCUAUAAAGGCAAACAAGUGCUUGUUCCUGCUCGGUCAACAAAAGACCAGCAAGCAAUGUUUUGAAAUUCUAUAAAGGCAAACAAGUGCCUGUUCCUGCUCGGUCAACGAAAGACCAGCAGGCAAUUUCUCAAAAUUCUAUAAAGGAAAACAAGUGCCUGUCCCUGCUCGGUCAGCGAAAGACCAGCAGGCAACUUCACGAAAGUUUUACUAAGGUAAGUAAGUGCCUGUCCCUGCUCGAUCAACGAAAGACCAGCAGUUAAUUUUACGAAAAUUUUACUAAGGCAAGUAAGUGUCUGCUUCUGCUCGGUCAAUGAAAGACCAGCAGCUAAUUUUACGAAAAUUUUACUAAGGCAAGUAAGUGCCUGCUUCUGCUCGGUCAACGAAAGACCAGCAGCUAAUUUUACGAAAAUUUUGCUAAGGCAAGUGAGUGCCUACUCCUGCUCGAUCAACAAAGGACCAGCAGGAAAUUUUGCGAAAUCCUACUAAAGCAAACGGAUGCCUAUUCCUGCUCGGUCCACUAAAGAACCAGCAGGCAAAAUCAAAUAAAUUGUCAAGUUAAUUUGCAGAAACAAUCCGUGAGCAAAAAUCAGACAAGAAAGCCAAUAGAGAACAUCUAAAAAUUUAUAGACGUUCAAAUGUUUACAAAACAAAUAAAAAUCUAGAGUUUAUACAAAAAUAGACUUAAAGAUUAGGAGGGUCAACAGCUCCAGCAGGUGAAGGAUCAGCAACCUCGGGAGAUGGAAGAUCAGCAAUACCAGGAGGAGGAGGAGGCACGGACCCUUGACCUACUUCAAAAGCACGUCCCCCAGCUUCCCCCUCCUGCACCCCAUCUAAAGGAGCUUCCACCUGAUCCUGCUCACCCUGCUCCUUAUCUCCCUGGCCGGCCUCAGCGAUAUAUCUCUGCACUCCAGCCUCCAGCUUGCUCAUGUCCAGCUCGGGAUAUUCUUCCUUAAACACAGACAUGAUGUACUUAUAGCAGAAAGCGACCCCUGAAUCAUACUCGGCAUCCAGCCGAUCAUCCACAUCAGGGGAUUUGCCCUUCACCUCAGCCAAUUGCUCACUCAGGGAUUUGAUUUCUCCCUCAAGGGCAGUCCUCAAGGUAUCCCUCUCACUUUGAGCGGCCUGCAGAUCAGACUUCAGGUCACCCAACUCGCUCUCAAGUUUGGAUGAGGUGGACUCAGCAACCGCGACUUUCUCCUCGAGGUCCGUCAUCUGCUUGUUCAGCUCAGCCAGCUUCUCCUUCGAGCGAUCAGCAGAGUCAGCUCUUUUCUUCAAGUCCUGAUUGUCAGCUUGAAGUCUCCUCCCAUGGCGCGUGGCCUUAUUCUUGUAACAAGAAACUAGAGUGGCCAGCUUGAAGGAUACCCUCUGAACAGAACCAGCCAACUCACUGAGAUCCAUGCUCUCAAUGUCCUUGACCAUUUUGGGUCCCACUGACUUCCCAUAAUCCCUUUGGUACGGAGUCAGAUAGUCGCCCUGACCCCGAGACAGAAGAGGAGAAGAUCGGUCUCCAGAAUAAAUGCUGACCUCGGGACUCUUCUUAGAAGUUUUCUCCCCGCCACUCUUAAGAGGUGGAGGAGGGGGCAGAGCAGGAACAGGAACCUUGGAAGGGUCGACGCUGGACUUCUUUGGAGGAAGAGGAGGAGGGUUGUUGGAGCUGCUCGAAGCCCGACCACGCUUUCUGGACAGAGCACUGAGGAUCUUGUUAUCCAUUCCGGCAGCUAUGUCCACUAAACCCGAACCGACCAGAUUUAUUGGUGACAAGAGGUCUUGGCAGGUAGACGCGUUCAAUAGAGCCGUUUCCACCUGAAGCAAAGGUCGGUCUUCAAGCCCCCCGAUCAAACCCCACGACUCUGAAAUAGCAAAAGAGGUUAAAGAACCCAAUAAGUGGCAAUUUGAUUAAGAAUAUAGGCAAAAAUGAACGACCUGGGGUGACAAAAUGCGUUGGAAGGUAAAUAUCCCCACCAAGCGACCGGAGCGAUGGACACCAGUUCCCUCCAGCAAAAAAGAAUUUGUUCUUCCAAUUUUUACAUGAAGAGGGAAACCCAGUGAUCGGUUUCCUCUUUGCAGAGCUGGACAUGAAGUAGUCCCAGCCCGCUUCCUUGGGGCUACUCCGCAGCUGGUACAGAUGCUUCACUUCAACAAGGGAAGGCUCCUCUGACCCACACCUCUCCCAUAGCACAAACAUAGCUGAGAGAACCCUCCACCCAUUUGGAUGUAGCUGACCUGGGGCCAGGUGCAUACCGCCCAGUAUCUUGGCAAAAUAACUUUGAAGGGGCAGCCGAGCUCCUAUUCUGAAACUCUCCAAAUGCAUCGUCACAUACCCUUUCGAAGGCUGACUAGAAACAUCACCUUUCCCAAGAACUACGAGGAGAACUUUCUCAGGGAUGUUGUAGAGGUUCCUAAGCUUGAAUAGAUCAGUUGGGGUGGUAGCACAAGUUAUGAAAUCAAUAGGGUAGGAAUCCGCCUCCACCCUAUGGCCAAGGUUUCUCUUUAUAGGAGGUCGGCUCGGCUCGGAAUUGCUUCCCUCACCGUCACCCACUUCUUCAGGGAUCCUAACCCCACCAUAACUAUGGUUUUCACUAGAGCCGGAUGCGGACCCACCUCUAUUCCCUACAAGCUCUAACUCAGGGGAAGGUGAAAUGGUCAGGGGGCGUGGGUACUCAAGGGUAUCCCUACCACGGGAGGGACCUACACUACUGGAAGGACUUAAAAAGUCAGUGGGUAACAACAAAUUAAGGUCUGAAUCCCCUGUCUCUUCAUCACUCUCAUCGGCAAUUAACUUCCUUUUCCGAUUUGACAUAUCGGAGUCCCAAAAGGAAACCAAAACAAACCCAAGUACACGAAUACAAAAAGGGGCAACACAGAACCCAAUCAACAACAACCAAAGAAGAAGUUAAAGGCUGUACCUGGAAUAGACUGGCACUGAUAAUGUUGCUGUGAUGGAGGAAAGACCCCGCAAACAGAAAUCCCAGACGCGGAAAGUAUGAACGAAGUUCGUAGGAGUUGUCUCACAACAGAGAAGCGAAUAGAACAACGAUGGUGAUCUCAAUCUAGGGAUUUGAAAUGAAAAGGGGGAAAUGGAAGCGUUUAAGUGAUGGGAAUGCCAGCUCACUCACCGUAUAUCGAGGACGGAUAGCCCGUCAUUUCAAAUUUCAAAAACGAAGAGUCGGGAAGCACCACGUCACUAACCGUUAUAAAAGGCCUGACGAGACGUAGGCCCAAAUAUGUACGAGAGAUAUUCAUAAAGGCCCAUACUCGGAUAAAAAUGUCCUCAGACAAGAUAGGGAACCUCAGGUCCAUCCUAGUAAACAGUAGACCAGACGGGGAGUUCCCCGGGCCGGUAAGAUUCUAUUAUCAGUUUCUACUCUCAACUCGUUGCACUCGUAAGACCAGAAACUGGGGGACUGGUGUUAAGGAAAUAAGAGCACCAGCUCGGCCAUGCCAUCAUCCCCACCCCGGGGUGAACCACCUCAGCCGAACAGUACGAGCAGAACACUGAUCAUGAGCCUUCUACAAACAUGAGCCGACCAGAGACGGGUACAACCAGGGGAAUAUACCGACCAGAUACAUAUACCGAGCCGAUACCCAUCCCCUAAAAAAGCGGGAACACGGUCCCACAGAAUCACGGUAGUUGCGCUUUUCCCAGAACCGUUGAGGGAGACGCGAGAUCCCACGUUUGCCCACAAUGUAGCAGUUAGAGUCCCAUGAGGGGCUGCCACCACCCGAAAAAGGAGGGAUGAAGGGUAAACGGAAACGUGGGACAGCGGCUAUAAAAGAGGAAGAAAUCAAUGAAGAAAGGAGACAGAAAAACUGAGAGAAGGAAAAACGCUGCCAAAUUGUAACCAGGCACUUUUCUAUGCAAAACUUUGAAUAGAUUAUAAACCAUCCUUAAAUCCAAAUUGCACUGUUUUCCCGUAAACACCUUGUGCUAACUUAGGCAUCGGAGGGUUUACGCCGGCAAAACCACCGGCGUCUCUGAUCCGUUUUUGGUGAACGCAGGUCUAGUAAGAGAAAGGAGGGUGAUUCUAACCCCAGUGGUUCGAGCAACAGUUGAUAACAUAAACGUUGGUGAAAGGAUCUGAUCGGGCAAAGGGCGAGCAGAUUUCAGCAUCAACAGAUAUUAUUAAAAUAUUCAAUUAUUCUCUUGGAAAGAAGUAAAUUCACUCAAAUUUAAAAAAGGUUGGUAAAGAUAAAAAUAUUUUAUAUUUUAUUACCUAAUAAUAUCAUAAUCUUAAGAUGCAAUUGGCAUUGUUUUUGUUUUGGUGUUCUUUGGUUUUUUUAACGAUGAAGCAAUCUAAAAUUUGUUUGGAUAACUUGUUUUCAAAUUGUAUUUAAUUCUAAUAGAGAAUGAUUUGUUCUAAUUUUUCAACAGAAGAAAAGUGGAGAGCAAAAAAUUGAUGUUUUUUUUACUUUUUAUUCUCUAAAUGAAUCCCACAAUCCUACUUGCACAAUAAGAAAAUAAAAAACCUAUUUACUUUACAAUACAAUUUUUCUUAUUUGUUUAGUCGUUUGAAUUUUUUUCUAUGAUGGUAAUGUAUUAUUUUAGUAUUUUUUAAAGAACUUUGAUAUUCUCUAAAAAUAUAUAUUUUACCUCAUGUUUAUAAAAUAAAAAAAUUCACAAUAACAAAAAAAUACAAAAUGGUUAAAAAAAUAUAGUCUGUUAAAAUUUUUUCAUUAUGAUACUUUUCUCACCCUCAUUCAAUGUCUUCACUUUUUCAAACAAAAAAUCAACAAUAUUUUAUUUUUUCAUAUUUAAACAUUAUUAGAAACAAUCAACUAAACAUAUUUUUAUUUUCACCUAAAAAUUAAUUACUUCUAAUUUAUAAAAUAAAAAUAAAAAUAUCAUGUGAAAAACAAUACCGAGCACACUCUUAAUAUUUAAGCUUUAACCUAAAUUAUAAUAUUACGUGUCACUCAUUUGUUAAAUAAUUAUAUUAAAUUAUUUAUUAUUUUAUUUUAUUAUUUAAUUUUUUACUUUUCUAUUCUAUCAAAAUUCUAACAUAAAUAAUCAAUUAAAGAAAUAUCUUUUAAAGGGAGCCAGUAAGUUACCGCUACUGUAAUUUAUAACUUUAACAUUAUGUAAACAGUAUUAAUAGGUGGUGGGGUAAUUUUAAAGGAACUAUAAGUUACUUAAAAAAUCAUAUUUUAAAAUGAUCGUGCGAGACAACACAUGCCAACCCCGGCCUUAUCCGAGUUUUUUUUUGAAGUCUAUCAUACACAGAUGUUACUGACAUUAUAUCAGAUAUUAUAAUUAAUAUUUACAAUCAUACUAUAUAACUAGGGUCACCGUCAUACAUUGAUACACUGAAGUACUUGUCAAGAUAUUUUAAAUCAUCUCUCCACUCACAUUUUAUAAAAGAGAUACUGUCUCUACUUAAUUAUGUUAAUAAUUAAGAGAGUACUGAAAUUAACCCCCAUAAAACUCUACUUGAAUUCUUAUACUAAAUAUUGUAAGUGUAAAAUUUUUUUCAUUGGACCAAAGUUCAAUGGGCCUUAUCCGAGUUCAAGCUUUAUCAUUGCCAUGUCUUUUCACUAUUCAUAUAUGUAGUGGCAGACAUCGGUGGCCAAUUACGGGAUGAACACAACCACUCCACCAAAUAAAUCUUGACGCGUGUGCUUUUAUUUCCAAUUAUUCUACUGUCUUUUUCUAAUUACUUUUAUCGCACAAGUAAUUAAUUCUGAAAGAAAUGAAGGAGCCAAUAAUGUCGUGAAAGUGCUGCCACAUUCUUCCAAUUCUUAUGCUGCAAGCAAAGCUCCAAUUUACAAAUUUUUCAUUUCAAAAGAAGUUAUUGUUAUUAUUAUCUUUCUUUUUUCUUUUUAAUUUUUUUGAUCAGUGUGGACUGGAAAAUAUUGUCAGGUCCUACAUCCGCGAUUCACGCAGUAUAUGAACUUGACAAAGUUGUUAUAUACUACUGAACAAGUUGUUGUAUAAUAUACGGGCCUUAUUAUGUUACAGUUUUAUGUGUGUAAUAGCCCAUGACCUGAUAAAUAAUUUAUUAAGAGAACACCAUGUGUAAAAAUUUAAUGAUUGUAUAAAUAAUUCGGUAACAGAAUUCUUUUCACCCGUUAUUAAUCGCUUGCAGAUGACUUACUGAAAUUACAAAUACCUUAAACAGUAUUUGACUGUGAAGUUGUGAAAAAUCAAAUAAUCUUUACUAUUAGUUUUGCAAUAAUAAUAAACAACAAAUCAUUGUUACUUAUUUCUUAUUUAUUAUGUAUAAAUUGAUCUAUUCAGAGCUGCAUAUUUACAUAUUCUUCUAUUUUUAAUUAUUUUGAAAUUUAAUAGAAAUUUUUUUUUAAAAAAAUCAAUUUGUAAUAACGUGUCAUAGAUAUUAAAAAAUGAAAAUGGAAAGUCAAAAUUGUAAUGCUCGAAAAAGACAAAACCUUUUUUUCUUUUUUCUUUUUCACGGCAUACAAAUAUGUCACAGGUAGUGGAAUUUAUACCCCACAAAGAGAAUUUUCUUCCACAAAUGAUAUGAGAAGUCGGGUGAAAUAUGUGAAUGGGAAACUGCCUUACGAUUGCAGCAUGUGAACACUUUAAUUUCUUUUUGACAAAGCAUAAUGAUAACUUACAUGUACUGCAAUAUUGCAUGAAGAUUCCAGGAAGUAGCCUGCAAUUCAAAUACUUUUCUUUUGGACAAAACCCACCCACCAAAAACUUUUUUUCAUUUAGUGCAACUUUAAUUUGUAGUUUUCUUAGAACCGCCAAUAUCUUCUAAUUAUUGUUAUAAAAAUCCCAGUUGCGGGCCCAAUUAACAAAUCAGUAACCUCAGUUAGACAUAUUAAAAAAAAAAAUCACACAGUGGUUUGAUGACUUUGUAAUUGAUAUACAUCAGGAAAUGAAGAGAAAAGGGAACACCCUUAUGACCAUCAUUGCAGAAAAUAUAACAUACGGGGGGUUUGGAAGCUGUAGGCACAAAGCUGUUAAAAUUUGACACGACUCAAUUAUCCGAUAAGAACACAACACGAAUAAAUGAGUAUGGGUCGUCGAAUUUAACACGAUUAUUAAAUGGGUUGGGUCCGGGUCGACACGAUUUUUUUCCGUGUCAGGUUAGGGUUAAAGUUUUUGACCCAUUUAACCGAUCAAUGACCCGAUUAUAUUUUCUAUUUUAAAAUAAUUUGUAGGUUUUUAUUAUCAAAACUCAAAUAUUAAAGAUGAUUCUCUUUUUUAUUUUUAUUUUUUGAAAAGAUGAAUAAAAACAUAAUAUUUUAUUUAUAAAAUUUUAUGUACAUUUAGAGGUUCAAUAAUGUAAAUGUGUAAAAUAUUAGUGCACAAGUAUAUUUUAUAAUAUCGAUGUAUGAUAUUAUUUACAUAUAUAAUUAAAAUUUCAAUAGUGUAAAUGUGUAAUAUUUUGGUAGAUAUGUACAUUUUAUAAUAUCGAUAAAUUUUGUAUGUAUUUAUAUAUGUAUGACAGUGUGUAAAUAUUUGAUAUAAAUUUUGAUUAAUAUAUAGAUCUUAAGUGGGUUAUUGGGUAACCCGAUUAUUUUUUCGUGUCGGGUUUGGGUUGACCUAAAUUUAACACGACACGAACACGACCCAAUAACCUGUUUUGCCAGCUCUAGUUGUAGCCUUUAGUUGGCUUAGGUAGAUAUAGUUUGUAAUUAUGGUUUAAAAGUAACUAAGGAGAUUUUAAUUUAUUCCGUGUACAAUAGUUUAAUGAAAAAUUUAUCACAAUUUUAUUAUUUUUGUUAAAAUUAUUACUUAAAAGUAAUGUCCAUCGAAUGUUAUCAAUUCUUAUUUUAAUAAUUAUAUCUAUUUAAUUUCACAACUUUGUAGCUUAAAAAUACCAGCAAUAAAAUUCAAAACGAAGGCUAAAUCUAGAAGGUGCAAAUGCUGCCGAAAUUCUCAAACUUUGGAUGGUAGCUUAAUUUGGUUGUGAUUAUUUGAUUAUCUUAUGCUGAUCUAAUAUAAUGAGCUAUUAUAUAAAUAUAAGACAGCAUUUGGCAGGAAUCGAACAGCUGCUACUUACUACAUUGUAAUGGGAUUCAAUUAAUUAUGGAUGCAUGAGAUUAAGGGUCUAUUUUGUAGUCAGAUAUGGUUUUUUAAGUUAUAACUGUUGUAUGAUAAAAACAAUAACUACUAAAAAAAAAGGAAUAAUGGGAAUUGGGUAAACUUUCAUUUGUAAGUAUUAUGAGUAAUUAAUAAUUUGUAUUUUCAAAAGGAGAAGUAUACAUUUUUUGACAUGCCUUGAAAAUCUGUAUGUAACAUUAUAUCUAAAUAACUGAUCAAGUAUAUAUCAAGUAAUCCAAAAAUGGGCUGGGACUGAUGGUAAUUGCAGACGUUUUGACAAUGAGUGAUACUCUGGGCACCCCUCUAGAAACCUCUUAAAACUCCUUUCCUUUAUUUAUUCCACUAAAAUACUAAAAUAAUAUAAAUUAUUACCUCCAUUAAUAACAUAAAUAGCCUUAAAUAAAAUAACUCAUGGGACCGUAGUAUUUCAGUUCUUUCUUAUUGUUCAAACACAAUAAUUCAAUUCAGUGUCCCACUGUUCAAAUCCAUUAUUGAAAGACUAUUUUCUUGGGAUUGUGGAAUUUAUUCAAUUCUAGCAAUUGAGUCCGAUCUUCUCCCGUCAUUGAAUUCAAUUGUCAAAGUGCAGAAAAUCUGAUUAUAAAGGAAGAAGACAGCAGAAAGGAAAUAGGAUGGAUCAUUAACGAGAUUGGGAUUUUUUUUUUUCCCAUUCUCACUAACAUGCUUUGGUUAAAAAGCCUUUUAGUUUUUCAAUUUAUGAUUUUUAUUCCUAAUUAUUUUCAGCAGAUAAACAGGUCAUUCAAAUUGUUUGUUUGGUAGGCUUGUAAGGGUAGCAGUUCGAACCCUCCCAUAAAAGUAUUGUGGGGAUCAAUUUCUUUUUCAAUUAUAUAAAAUAAUUGAGUGAAGAUAAUUUUUUUUUUUUCAAGAUGUGACUGAAGUAGACAUCACUCUUUCAAAUAUAUGUAAUUCGAUAGAUGUUCCUCUCUUAAAUAUUUGAAAGGGUAAAAUUUAGGCAUCAAUAGUCUCAUGUAGUUCCAAAAAAAAAAAACAAAAAUGGAAAGCUUCUUCCAGGGCAGAAAUCAGAGAAAGCAACACAUAUGUGCCCAUCACAGCAGAGGGUGUCCUAGACAAGUAUUUUGCAGCAAACUUAUCAUACUUAUCAAGCAUCCAGUAAUUUCAAAUUUAAAAAGUGAAUAAAUUAGAUAUCUAGCUAAUCCAUAAAUGCAAGAUAUUAAAACUCUUGACAAUGACAUAAAACUUUUUGUACUUCUUAAGUAGAUUCCAGUUCUUCUUGUUCUGAGAUUACCAAAAGCAUUAUAGCAGACGAAACCAAGCCAGCCCAGUUUCCAGUAUGGAGCCACCGUUUAGUGCUUCGCUUCCCAAUCAGUAAAGGCAACAGCCCUAUGCUAUGCUAGCCUUUCUGUCUGAGUUGGCCCAUUUACACCCUUAUGAACACAAUGCCUUUUUGGUCAUCCAUCAGACAAGGUUGAAAAAGGAACUAAAACUGAACAGUAGAACAGAUUACCUGGAGGUGAUGGUAUAUGCAGCCGUUUGAGGCCUCCUAAAAGACUUCUCCUGAUCCCUUGAAAGUUAUGAAUUAAGACGUUAGGUCUGCUCUUGCUCCCUUUCUGUAAACUUUCAUUUAAAAUUGGUCAAUUUCAGUAAGCGAGCCUUGAAAAGUCAUCAAACAGCUUAAUAGCCAAAUGAGUUUGGACUUGUGAUUGGUAUAAUGGUUAAAAGAAUAUAGUAAGCAAUCCCCACUCAAAGCCAAAGUAAGUAAAAGAAUAUGCUAAUUAACCUCAAUCGACAUCAACUUAAUUUUGAUCGGCGACCAAAGCCUUAGUGGUCUCCUCAAUACCACCCCUGGUAAAUAGAAUGGGAUCUGCACCAGCUGCUACCACCUGAAUGAGUACCAAAUAAGCAACACAAACCUAGCAUACUUGUUAAUAUUAAUCCAAGGCAUCUAUAUUUGUACACAUUUUAGUAACAUGAUGUUACCAAUAUUCACACCUUUAGCAUUCAGAACUCGCUCUAGAACAGUUACUGCGGCCGGUCGUCCUAUUGCAGACGAUAAAUUUGAUCUUUGAAGCGGCCUUCCUUUUACCAACCUAGCUCCGAAUAAAUUUUUCGACAUGCCUUGAAAAUCUGUAAUAUUUUAUCCAAAUAAUGAUCAAGUAUAUAUCAAGUAUUCAAAAAUGGGCCGGGUGUAAAAAAAUUAUGUGACGUUAAAAUCAAUGGGUCCGUACAAAUUUAGUAACCACUAACACUUAUCUUGUUCUUAUUACUCCACAGAAUGAUCAAGGCUAACAUUCAAUGACACAAUCACAUAAACUUGUGCUUGUGGCUGCAAAAUGUUUAUAUGGUUAAACUAACAUAAAUUUUGUAUUACAUGCCCAAAAAAUAUGUUUCAGUUUAACAUAUCAAAAAAGAGGAAAAAAAAUCACGGAGUGCUGUGCUGACAUUGUAAUUUAAUAUCAAGAAAUGAAGAGAAAAUGUAACACACUUAUGACCAUCAAAGCAGAUGAUGUAGUAGAUGAGUAUUUUGCAGCAAGCUUAACAUACUUAUCAAGUGAUUAGUAAAUUGUAUUUUAAAAAGUAAUUUUUGAAGUCAUUAGAUAUCUUAUCUGUAAAUUCAAACUACUGAGUCCUAAUAAUUACAUAACACUUGUUCCACUUCUUAGUGAGAUUCUAGUUCUUCUUCCCAGAUUACCAAUAAUAAAAGAGCAGACGAAAGAGACAUGUGAGGAGAAGGUUUCAUUCACAACCUUGUCAUUACUUGGUUUUUAACUUGCAGAAGAAGCCAAAGCCGAAGAACUGAAAUUAAAAAAAUAAAAAGUAAAAAUUUAAAGUAAAAUGAUUAAUGAGCUAGAAUUAGUGUUGGCCGAAAUCCAUCUCUAUGUUUUCACACAGUGGGAAUUGUCGGGUUCAAGAUUAAUUGCUUUCGUGUUCUUAAUCAGAUACUAUCUGUGAAUAAUAUAACUCAAUACCUCACUUCAUGCAAGCUUUGAUAUAUUAUUCCUUCCUGCUAUAUAUCCACUGCUAAUUGUUUUAUCAAAAAGUUGGUGUGCUGAAGUGAACCCAAUAACUUCUAGCUAGAAGCAACAAUGUCCAAUUAAACCGCUAAUCCAAUCAAUCAAACAAUAAGGAAAGGAUCAACAACACAAAAAGCACACGCAAGGCACAAAGAUUUACAUGAUAUGUCCACAGGUGGUGAUGCUGGUAUCCACGAUACGCGUGAUGAAAACAAGUGCGUAUAUAUAAAGAACACCACCUGUCUCCUCACAAUAACCCUCGAGAAUACAAGCACAAAUAAAAAUGAGGCAAUUCCUGCUCUGCUCUGUCCUCAUGUACGUAAUUCCUCUGCUAAGAAAUAUUGCCUUAAAAUAUCGGUAGCAUAUGCAUGCAUGACCAGCAAAUCAGUUAGACAUAUGAAAUUAUCAACCACACAGGAAAUCAGCAAAUCAGUGGUUUCAUGAAUUUGUAAUUGAACAUCAGAACAUGAAGAGUACAGAGCAAUGGGAAAAAAUAAUUAACUAACCAAAGAAUUUUAAAUCCAAAUAAUAUAAUUAACGUGUGAAAGCAAGGUUGAAGCACACCUUAGAAGUUUCUGUCUAUAAAGGCCAAUAAAUCUCCUGCUAUCUGCUUGCUUAGAUCUUCAUGUAUUUCCAUACACCUUUUACUCUACUCUGUUGUUCAACCUUCCUUGGUUUUAUGUAUCUAUUUUAUGUGUAUUGAGAAGGCUAGUUACUAGGUGUCAACUCUUCUCUUUAAAAGAUAAAGUUUUGACAAAUGGAAAGAAAGACACCCACGGCCAACUACCAAAUCCAAGGCAAAAUUGGUCUUCCCGAUUGAGUGAGUGAGCCCUGAAAAUUCAUCACCCAGCUUAAAAGCCAAGUGAAUGUAGUCUUGUGAUUGGUGUAAUUGGUUUUAAAGAAACUAGCAUGAAUCGCCACUCAAAGCCAGUAAAUAGAGUCGAAGAAGAUGCUAAUGUACCACAGCUAACGUAAACAUAAUUUGAUCAGCCGAAUGACUACCAAAUGAAAAAUCAACAUAAACUUAACAUAACCGUUAGGAUUUAAUCCAAGCCAUACAUAUCGGUAGACAUGUUAGCAACAUGAUGUUACCAAUCUUUAACACCUUUAGCAUUCAAACCUUUAGCUCAAGGACAACUGCUGUGGUCCGGUGCUGCAGGCCAAAAUUUUUUUGAAAUGCCUUGAAAACCUGUAACAUUAUAUCCGAAUAAUUAUCACAUAACUUGUGCUUGUAACGUAAUGCGAUUGCAGUGCAUUCGUUAAGUGUACACUUAUCUGGCCAUUUGGUCGGAACAAAUUCUUUUGCUUCUCUCAAAAUGUGCAUAAUAAAUAGUAAUAUGAACAAAUACCUAUUCAUGAGUGUUAAGAUAUUUUUGCAUAUCUUUUUUUUUAAGGACUAAAAGUGAUAAAUGGAGAAUGGAAUUGAGCAGGGAAAGUUUGGUAGAAGAUGCACACACGGAAUUAUACCGUUAGUCAUUUUAUUAAAAAAAAUAAAAUAAAAAUAAAAACCUCGUUGAAUGAUUAUUUGCUAGGAUUAUAAAAAUUUAUGUGAUAAGCAAAACGAGAUGAAACCACAAUCUCGUUUAUAAAUAUUAAUGUACCUCAAUUUUUUAAACCAACUUUAAUUUUGUGAUCCUUGAUGUGUUUUUCGAUAAUAUCGAGCCAUUUGGGUCUGUGUAAUAAGUGGUUAGUAUUAUAUUUAUUAUUUGGCUCGUAACCCAAAUGGGGUUGUUGUUUAGGUUUGAAUGACAAAACGACAUGGAAAAGCGAGAAGGAGAGGAGAAGAAGAGAGAUCAUGAAGAGCUUUUGACUGAAAUUUGUGGGUUUGUUGGAAGCAGGUGGUGAAGAUGACGAUGAAGCUGCAGCCAUUUGAUUGAAUUUUGCUUCACGUCUUUGUUGAAAGUUGAAAGAUUUGUUUUGAGUCGACAUUUUGUUUUAAGAUUGCAUGGCAGCACGUUGAGCGUUGUCAAAUUGUUUUCUUAUGUGUAGGUAUUUUAUUUUCACGCGCAUUUGAUGCGCGUGGGUAGAUUUAUUAAAUGCACUUCAUUUUUUUUUAUUAAGAUUAAAAUGUACUUCUAAGUUGUCAAAUUAUGCUCUUGUUAUCUUAUAUAACAAGGUACACUUGUCACCCAUUUCCAACUCUCUCACAAAUUUCCACGGCCAUUAGAUUUUUAUUAAACAAUAGUUAUUUACUUUAUAUUUGUUAUUUUAUUAUGCAAGAUAACAAAACCCGUCAAAUUAUAAAUAAAAUAUUUUACACUACACAAAAAUUUACACCACAUAGGAAUAAGGUUUUUGAAAUAAUAACAAAAAGUACAAGUAAAUAAAAUAUACUUAUUUAAGCUAAACACUACAUAAAAAGUUUCUUUUAUAUUCUAGUCUCUCUCUCUCUCUCUCUCUCUCUCUCUCUCUCUCUCUCUCUCUCUAUAUAUAUAUAUAUAUAUAUAUAUAUAUAGAUAUAGAUAUAUGCAAUCUAGGUAUUUCUUUAAGUUCAUUUUUUAAAAGAUUGGAGAGUAGAUUAAAUUUAAAUCGAUUUUUUUUAGCUCAUACCUCCCCUAAAAUUCAAAAUCUAUUAGCUAACUAAAUAAAAGUACUGGAAAAUUAUUUAACUAAGUCAUUGAGAGUAUAAUUUAGACACUAAUAGAUAGUUGAAAAUUAAUAUAGAAAAUUAAUAUAGAUUAGUUGAUUGGUUGCUUUCUAAAUUCUAAUCCAACAAAAUUAAUAUAGAAAGAAAUAAAUGACGACCGAUAAAUAUUCCAACAUUAUGUAUUGCGCCGAAGAUUAAUCUCCCUACUACAAAACUGGAUUUCUUUGACAGAAUGCUUUUUCACGUGGUCAUGUAUGUGUCAAAGUUUUGUGACAAAUAUAUUAUUUUGCUGAUGUGGCAAACACAAUCGUUUCAAAACCUUAGAGGCCUUUCUAUAAGAGAAUAGUUGCAAAAUUCUGUCACAAAUAGUAAGUUAAGUGAUUUUUGACAGAAUACUAUCAAAAGGUUUAAGUAAAAUCUCACUUUUUAAUAUUUUACAAAAAUGUGCUUUAAAUAUUUUAAUUUUGUUUGACAUAAUUUUAUCAAUGAACUUUCUUUUUAAAUUUGUAAUUCCACGUAGGCAUUGAAAAAUGGCAUAAUUUUAAAAGAUUUCAAUGACUUAACUGAUGUGAAUAUGUCUUUAAAAAGUCAAUGAUAAAAUUCUAUCAAACAAAAUCUACUAUUUUAAUUAUCUUAGAUUGCCAAGUUUGCCACCUCAUCAUAUUAAGAAGGCAUGCUCAACCAAUAAGAAUUUGCCAUCCAAAUUUGCCAAGUUUCUUGAUCUAGUCCUCAGAAAUAAGCCGUUUACUUUACUUUGUUCUUUGUUUAUUAUAAAUUUAAUCACGCUUUCUACAUUAUAAUUUACGGUCUCUGUUUACUUUUAUUAAAAAUUAUGAUAUAUGAAUAAUAAUAUUGGCUUGUUUGCAUAAUUGUCUUCGAUAUUGACUGUGUUUACAAGAUUUUUUUGGUUGCAAUCUUUCUUAUUGAGAUUGUUUAAUUAGUCGCGAUUGCAAUUUUUACAAGAUUUAAUGAAUGCUAAAAUUUAAAUAAUAAUUUAAAAUUUGUACACCAGGUGUUUGUUAUAAUGCCAUGUGUUAUUUUCAAUAGAUUUUUUUUAACAUGUAGUAUAGGCUUGACAAUGUUUUAUAACAUUCAUUAAAUCUAAUUCUCAUGAUGAAAUUAGAAUAGGUUAAUUGGCCUAAACCUAAAUAGUAUGUAAUAUUUACUUUUAAAAGACCUAUGGCAUUAGAUUCAACUUGCUAAGAUAUUGGAGAAGUGUUGAUGCAAUUUUCUGUCAUGCCUGCGGAUUCAACUUGCUAAGAUUUUGGUUAUGCCUUCAGGUUCAAGCAUUGUUGCUGAUUAUGUGAGCUGUUGAGAUUUUAGUAUUGAGCAUGUCUUUAGAUUCAAUUUGAGCAAAUGUAAUUGUUCCUUUUAAAGCGAUGUAAUUGGCGUCGGGAGAGGAUUGUAAUCUCCAAUGAUUUAUGGUUCUGGCAAAAAGAAAUUUUCUUUACGUUAACUUGCGACAAAAUGUAUGUAAUUUUUUAUGAUAUCAGCAAAUAUUUAAUAACAGAAUAGUUGAAAUAUUUUUAAAUUGCAUUGUGGUUUUUAAAAAUAUUUAAUGGAUAAAAAUGAUUUUAUAAUCGUAAGGGAACUACAAAAAUAAGGGUUGUUGGUAAUUGAAAAGAACAAAUUAAUUAUUUUAAGAUUAAUAAUAAUAAUAAUAAUAUUACCUAAAUUUUUGACAUAAAUUAAGCUCAAAAAAAUGACUCAGCAUAAAAUGUCACAAGCAUAAAACUUAUUUGCCAUCUCAAAUGCCAUGUUUGCAAAUUGAGAUGCCAUGUCAUUUGCCACGUCAGAUUCCAUGUAAAUAAAGAAUUGUAGCAUAAUUCCUUGACAGAAAUAUUUUGUCAUUAAUUGUUGAAUUUUCUAUCGCUAUAUUCUUACAAGGACUUUUUGGACGGAAUAAAAUUAUGUCAAUAACAUGAUCUGUGACAAAAUUAUUCUGUCAAAAAACCCAAUUUUGUAGCGGUUCCAAAUAACAAUUUAGUUUCUUUCCUUCUAGUUUUGUCAAUAAUUGAUUCUGUUCAUGGUUAAAAUAAAUUCUUUACUUCUCUAAAAAUGUUCAUAAUUUCCCCACUUAUUAAGUGUCAAGAUAAUUUUGCCUUUCUUUUUUUUUUUUUUUUGAGGACUGAAAAUCAUUAAUUAUUUUCUUAAGUGAUGCCCAUUUGCAAUAUAUAUAUAUACGGUAUCUUGAUAAAUGAUCCCCGUGAUAUGAUCAUGAGUAAGCAUCUACCCUUUCAGAUGAUAUUUGGUUGGAAAAUUGGACAGGAAUAGAGAAAUAAAAGGAGAAACAAAUGGAAUAAUUAGAGAGAGGAAUGAGAUUCUAUUUAUUGUUUUGUUAUAAGUACAAGUACCGGAAAUCAAACAUGAGAAAAUAAUUGAGUGUUUUUUUUUUUUUUGUUAACAUAAAAAUACGUAUUUUUGGUAUUUGAUAUUUAAUAGAAAAUUCAAAGUAAAAUCAAAUCCAUUUGUAAUAUAAGUUCGCUUCAUUCAUAAAAUAAACGUAUAGAAUAAAAUUUAUAAAUGUUACUUAUACAAAGGCAUACUACUAUUCAAAAUAAUAAAAAUUUUGCAUUGGACACAAUUUUGAAAAAAAUAAAUAAAAGUUUUUAAUGGAGAAAGGAAUAGAGCAGGGAAAGUUUGGUAGAACAUGCACCAUAGUUUUGGAAUUAUGCAGUCAGUCAUUUUAUAAAUAAUAAUAAUAAUAAUAAUGUGAUCAACAUAAUUUGAUCAGCCACCAGAGCUUUACUUCAGUGAUUUUUUCAAAACGAGGUACGGUCCUCAGAACCUUAUCAUGAUGCAUGUAUAUUCUAAGCUUCAUGACAUCAUUUUAAAAAAGUUUUGCUAAGGUAAUUUGAAAUUUGUUUUAUUCAAUGAAUGUUACAUUUACUGGUAUGUUUAAUAGUUUGUGGGUAAUUAUUUAUUUUGUUUUGGAUAAAAAUUUUGCUAUCGAACAAACUAAUAACUGAACUUGACUUAUUUUUAUGUUAUGAUCAUUGUAGGUUUGUUAUUUUUAAAUUAUGACCUCAUGCAAAAUCAAAAUUUUAAUUUCACCAUUUUUUAUAGAGUUUGGUUAUGAUAAUCAAAAUCGAAUUGGAAUGAAAAGAUUGCAUGGCAGCAUGUUAAGCUUUGUCAAAUUGUUUUCUUAUGUGCAGGUAUUUUAUUUUCACACGCAUUUGAUGCGCGUGGGUACGUUUAUUAAAUUCAUUUCCUUUUUUUAUUAUUAAGAUUAAAAUGUACUUCUAAGUUGUCAAAUUAGACUUCUGUUAUCUUAUAUGACAAGCCAACAAAUAUAAUACAUUUGUUACCCAUCUUCAACUCUCCACAAAUUUUACUAUUUUUAUCUUAUAUUUCCACAAUCAUUAGAUUUUUAUCAAACAAUUGUUAUUUACUUAUAUUUGUUACCUUAUUUUUCAAGGUAACAAAACCCAUCAAAUUAUGAAUAAAAUCUUUUACACUACACAAAAAUUUAUGUCAUUUAGUGCACAUAAGAGAAAAUUCAUUUGUAAAAGAUUAAAUAAAAAUAACUUGAUUGAAAUGAAAUAAUAUAAUAGUAAAGAUUAACAAAGUAAAAUAAAUUAUACGCAACAAUCUCAAACUUAUAAAUUCUUAAAAAAAAUUACUCUUUGUAUAUGGUAAGGUAAGAAAUUUGAGAUCAAUCUUCAGUUCGAUAAAAAAAUUAUGUCCAAACUCAAAGUCUUUCCUUAGUGAAGCGAAGAAAUUCGUGACCAACAAUAUGAUCAUAUAAGUACUAUGUAAGAAAAUUAUGUAUCAUACAUAAGUCAAUAAUGAGAUUUUUUUAAAGUUAAUUAUAGUAUAAUUGAAUGAUAACUUAAUUUUCUCCUACCUAUAUGAGCUAAGCGGUACAUAAGAAUGAGGCCUUCUGAAUAAUAACAAAAAGUACAAGUAAAUAAAAUAUACUAAUUUAAGCUAAAUGCUACAUAAAAAGUUCCUUUUAUAUACUAGUCUCUAGGGUUGGCAAUGAGACGGGAUGGGAUGGGAUUUACCAAUCCCAAUCCCAUCCCGUAUAUGCAAAUGGGAUGAAAAAACGUCCCAGUCCCGUCCCUAUUUUUUUUUUGGGACAAAAAUAUGUCCCAAUCCCGUCCCAAAAGAGAUGAGAUCCUGCGGGAUCCCAUCCCAAUUGGAAAAAUUUCCAUUCUUAAUCGGUAAUGAGACGGGAUGGGACGGAAUUCUUCAAUCCCACUCCCGUCCCGCAUAUGUAAUUGGGAUAAAAAAAUGUCCCACUCCCGUCUCUAAAAUUUUUAUGGGACAAAAAUAUGUCCUAAUCCCAUCGGGAAAAAUUGCCAUCCCUACUAGUCUCUCCCUCCCCCCCGGGCCCCGCGCAAUCUAAGUAUUUUUUAAAAGAUUGAAGAGUGGAAUAAAUCUAAAUCGAUUUUGUUUAGCCUUAACCUCCCUUAAAACUCAAAAUCUAUUCGCUAGUUAAAUAAAAGUACUUGAAAACUAUUUGACUAAAUCAUUGAGGGCAUAAAUUAGACACUGAUAGAUGAUUAAAAAAUUUCAAUAAAAUAUGAUAAUCUAAUGGUGUUCUUAAAGUUCCGUAAUCACAGCCAGUACAAUGGUUCUAUCAAAUUAAAUAUUUCUAUCCAAAAUCAAUUUCUUUUUAUCAUAUGGAAUUAAUCGAUUUGGAAUUGUGGAUUUUUAAUAGUUAUAAUAGAUUAUCCCAAGUAUUAUGAUAAUAUUCUAAAAUUAACGUUGAGUUAGCGCGUGGCUUUGGGCGUCACUGUCAUGAACUUGGUCAGUCUAACAAAUAUAACGUAACCCAUGGUAUCAUGAAAAUAUGUGCAACCUUGCUCAGUUGAAACCAAAUCAGAUUAGGGCAAAUUAUCUCUGUUGCCUUGAUCAAUCUUUUGUGACUUCAUCAAUAGAUAUAACAUAUAGCCACGCCACAAUUUUUAAUUUAAAUUGGAAUGCUUAGAAGUCUAUUAAAGAUUAUAAUGUCACCUAACUAAGAAUAAUAUCAAUUAUUCUAUUUUAAUAUAAUAUUUAAUUAAACUAUUGUCAUUAUUUUACUUAGUCAUGGCUCAUAUAUAUGUGGAUCCACUAAUUGUUUCGCACCGUUGAUUGAUUGAGGGAUGGUCAAGAUUUGAUUAAAUAUUGGAAUUGGUAUGCGAUCUCACUAAAGUUGACUUCUAAAAUUGCAUCCUCAAUUAUUCAGAUUUAAAAAACAAGAAUGAUAAUAUGUUAGUUACUGUUUUACGUUUGAAAUAUUAUGUUUCUUCUGAAAGCUACAAAUCUUAUUAACAUUACCUGGUCAAAGACUUCUUGAAAUAAAUUAUUUAUGCUAUUAAUUCAGUUAGUUAAGGAUAUACUUUAAAUGAUAAGACAUAUAAUCGACCAACGAUAUAUCAUAUAUUGAUUUAAUAUUAAGAUAUCUAAACAAAAUGAGACGACAAGAUCAGUACUCAACAGAUAAUUUAAUUUUAAUAUAACUUCUUUCAUAAAUAUUGAUACAGUAAUAUUGUAUCAAUGUCAUGUCACUUGUUUUACUUUAUUUACUUAUUACUUAACUCUUUUAGUACUUAUAGGUCACUCAUAAACUCGUAUAUAUUAAGUUUACUUGAAUAUGAUUAUAUUUUUGUUCUAGUUUAUGACCUCUUCUCAUUUUUUUUUCGAUUACAUAUGAUUUUCAUUAAAUCACUACUCUAGUUGGCAUUUCACAUCACCCGCAAUUGAUUAGUUGCUUUCUAAUCCAACAAAAUUAAUACGGAAAGAAAUAAAUGGCCACCGAUAAAUAUUCCAACAUUAUGUAUUACGCAGAAGAUUAAGCCAUUCCACUACUACAGAACUCAAUGUCUUUGAAAGAAGGCUUUUUCACAUGAUCAUGUAUGUGUCAAAGUUUUGUGACAGAUAUAUUAUUUUGCUGAUGUCGCAAACACAAUCGUUUCAAAAUCUUUAGAGGCCUUGAAAUUUUGAUUAUUCUAUAAGAGAAUAGUUACAAAAUUCUGUCACUAAUAGUAAAUUAAGUCAUUCUUGAUAGAAUACUAUCAAAACAUUUAAAUAAAAUCUCACAUUUGAAUAUUUUACAAAAAUGUGUUUUAAAGAUUUUAAUUUUUUUGACAUAAUUCUAUCGAUGAAAGUGGCUGCCCAAAAAGUGCGCCAAAUCAAAAUUCUUCAAAAUUCAUCUCUUCAAUCCCCUUUUUAUUUUAGAGGGAAAAAAAUUUUAUGUACCGCUGAAAUAAAAUUAACCCAAAAACAUGCUGUAAUUGAAAGCUUGGAACGAAUUUCACGCCUCUCGCCUUCUCUUUCACACAUUUCGCAUUCCUUUUUCGCAUUAACACAAUUUGGUUGGAAAAAUGGAAAUGAAUAGAGAAAUAAAAGGAGAAGCAGAUGGAAUAAUUAGAGAGGGAUGAGAUUCCAUUUAUUGUUUGGUUAUAAGUACUGGAAAUGAAACACGAGAAAAUAAUUGAGUUUUUUUUGUGUUAACAUAAAUAUACAUAUUUUCUGUAUUUGAUAUUUAAUAGAAAAUUCAAAGUAAAAUCAAAUCCAUUUGUAAUAUAAGUUCACUUCAUUCAUAAAAUUAAACAUAUAGAAUAAAAUUUAUAAAUGUUACUUAUACAAAUACAUAUUACUAUUCAAAAUAAUAAAAAUUUUGCAUUGGAAACAAUUUUGAAAAAAAUAAAUAAAAGUUUUUAAUGGAGAAAGGAAUUGUGGAGGGAAAGUUUGAUAGAAGGUGCACACUAGCUAGUUUUGGAAUUAUACCGUCAGUCAUUUUAUUAAAAAAAUGAAAAUAAUUUGAUCAGCCACCAGAGUUUUACUUCAGUGAUUUUCUCAAUACGACGUACGGUCCUCAGAACCUUAUCAUGAUGCAUGUAUAUUCUAAGCUUCACGACAUCAUAUUAAAAAUGUUUAGCUAUGACUGUAAUUUGAAAUUUGUUUUAUUCAAUCAAUGUUAAAUAUUUUGUUUCGGUUAAAAAUUUUGCUAUCUAACAGCUAAUAACUGAAUUUGACUCAUUUUUAUGUAAAUUUUAUAGACCCACCAAUUCACCAUUUUUAUGUUAUGAUCAUUGUAGGCAUGUUAUUUUUAAAUUAUGACUCCAUGUGAAAUCAAAAUUUAAAUUUCACCGUCUUUUAUAGAGUUUUGUUAUGAUAAUCAAAUAAUACAAUAAACAAUCAUAAGGCAAAAAAUUUACGUAGUUCGAGAUAUUAAUUUGAAGAAACGUGUUUUCAUUUCUUAAAUAAAGCAUUAUACAUUGAGAGUUAUUUAUAGAUGCAGAGGCUACAUUUUUUUAAAGAUUACAUAUGUGAAUACGGAAGGAAAUGUGUCAAUCCGUUCGGCGAGGAUCUUGUCUUUGACAAGUGCAGAUUACCCCUUUGACAAGUGCAGAUUCUGUCUUUGAAAGCUUCAUUCAAUGCCGUUUUAUUUGAUUCUCAACACUCCCCCUCAAGCUGGUGCAUAGAUGUCUUGCAUACCCAACUUGUCUAGGAAUUUUGUAAAUGCCCUGCUUGAAAUGGCCUUCGUUAAAAUAUCUGCAAGUUGAUCUUCUGAUCGAAUUUUCGGCAGUUCUAAGAUUUUUUCAUCUAAUUUCUCCUUGAUGAAAAAUCUAUCUACCUCCACAUGAUUUGUUCGAUCGUGUUGAACUGGGUUAUGAGCAAUAUCUCGUGCAGCGUUGUUGUCACAGUAUAGUUGUAUUGGUUGUUGUGAUGGAUAGCCCAAAUCGUUUAAGAUAAAACUUAUCCAUAGCCCUUCACAUAUCCCAAGGGCCAUGCCUCGAUAUUCUGCUUCAGCGCUCGAACGGGCAACGACAUGUUGUUUCUUGCUUCUCCAUGUGACAAGGUUUCCUCCCACAAAGGUAAAGUAUCCUGAAGUAGAGCGUCUAUCACUAACUGACCCGGCCCAAUCUGCAUCAGUAUAAACUUCUAUGUUGCUGUAAUCUUCACUUUUGGAAAAUAAGAUUCCUUUUCCUGGAUUUGUCUUCAGGUACCUCAGGAUCCGCAUUACUGCUUUCAUGUGUUGUUCUCCGGGAUUAUGCAUAAACUGGCUUACAAUACUCAAUGCAUAAGCAAGAUCUGGCCUUGUGUGGGACAAGUACAUCAAUUUUCCAAUCAGCCUUUGAUAUCUUCCUUUGUCUACUGGAACUUGGUCUGAAGUAAUACAAAACUUCAGUCCUUCUUCUAUUGGGGUGUCAAUAGGCUGACAAGUUGUCAUUCCCGUUUCGUGCAAUAGAUCUAAGGCAUAUUUCCUUUGAGACAGAAAGAUUCCUCCCUUAGAUCGAGAAACCUCAAUUCCAAGAAAGUAUUUUAAGGCACCUAAAUCCUUCAUCUCAAACUCUCUUGACAAGUACUUCUGAAGAGCCUCUGUUUCUUCCUCGUCGUUGCCUGUAACUACCAUAUCAUCCACAUAGACAAUAAGGGCAGUGAUUUUACCUUGUCGUUUUUUAAUGAAUAAGGUAUGAUCUGAAUUGCUUUGGUUAUACCCAAAACGAACCAUAGCCUUUGUGAAUUUCCCGAACCAUGCUCUUGGGGAUUGCUUCAACCCAUACAAUGAUUUCUUCAAUUUGCAUACUUUCUGAUUGAGUCGUUCUGGUCCACUGCAUCCUGGUGGCAGAUCCAUAUAAAUUUCUUCAGACAGGUCUCCAUGGAGGAAAGUAUUCUUUACAUCGAACUGUUGCACUGGCCAAUCCAAGUUGACUGCUAAUGACAAUAAGAUACGAAUAGUAUUAAUUUUUGCUACCGGUGCAAACGUAUCAGUAUAAUCAAUCCCGUAGGUUUGGGUGUAACCCUUAGCUACGAGUCUUGCUUUGUAUCGUUCAAUAGAGCCAUCUGCUUUGUAUUUUAUAGUGUAGAUCCAUCGACAACCCACUGGUUUCUUUCCUGGUGGAAGAUCAACUAGUUCCCAUGUUUGAUUUUUCUGAAGAGAUCCCAUUUCAUCAUUCAUAGCCGCUUUCCACUUUGGAUCUUUUAAAGCUUCCUGCACACUGUUAGGAAUAGAUAUAGCAGAUAAUUGAUUCACAAAUGACUGAUUUGAUUCUGACAAGCGAUGGUUAGACACAAAAUGACUCAUAGGGUAUUUGACUCUACUAGAGAAGUCAGGCUCAUAUGUGGGUUUAGGGAUACCUCUAUUUUGACGCUGGGGAAGAAUUCUUCUGAUUGGACUUGUGGUAGGAACAUCCUCUGCAGACGAUUGGUUAGGUAUUUCUUCAUGUGACUCAUUCUCGAUUGCAGUUGUGUCUGAGUUAUUGUGCUCCCCAAAUGUGUCUUCACAUAUCUCAGCCUGCGAAUCAUCACCAUUUGCUUUUCCAGUAUCUUAAAGGUUUACUAUCUCAAUGGAAGAUUGACUUUCUUCAGGUGGAAGAUAUGUAAGAGUAUGAAUUUCCUCUUCAUUAUACUCCCCCUGAAAUUCAGACUCUGACAAGUAGUACAUGAUAUCUUCAUGAAAAACGACAUCCAUAGUGAUGUAUAUUUUUCUUGAUGGUGGAUGAUAGCAUCGGUAUCCCUUUUGAUGUAAGGCAUACCCUACAAACACACAACGCAAUGCUCGAGGAGAUAAUUUGUCUUGUUGCGGCAAAUGAACGAAGGCAACACAGCCAAACACAUGUGGGGGCAGAUUCGGCACAUUUGGUGACAUAAUUGCAUCAUUCAGAACUUGGAAAGGAGUCUGGAAUCCAAGGGAGCUUGAAGGUGUUCGAUUGAUCAAGUAUGCUGCGGAUGCCAGUGCUUCUCCCCAAUAAGAUAAUGGCAUGUGGGCUUGGAUUAGUGAUGCUCGAACAGCUUCUAGUAAAUGUCUACUUUUUCGUUCAGCAACGCCAUUUUGUUGGGGUGUCCCCACACAAGUGGUUUGAUGGACAGAUCCUUGUGAUUUCAGAAACUGUUGAAUUGCUGUGCUCAUAUACUCGCCUCCAUUAUCAGUAUGUAGAACUCGAAUUUGUGUCUGAAAUUGAGUUGUCACCAUCUUAUGAAAUCUUUGAAAUAAAGAGUUUACUUCGUCUUUCGAUUUCAUCAGAAAAAUCCAUGUCAUUCUGCUACAAUCAUCAAUAAAUGUAACAAACCAACGAGCACCUCCAAUUGUAGAAACUUUAGAUGGCCCCCAUACAUCAUAAUGUACUACCAUAAAAGGAACUGGAUUUUUAUUUAAGGACAAUGGAAAAGUAGUUCGAUGGCUUUUUGAAAGUUCACAAACAUCACAUUUAAAGUUACAAACAUCAAAUUUCAGAAACAAACUAGGAAAUAAUUUUUUUAAGUAACCAAAUGACACAUGCCCUAAACGUCUAUGCCAUAACCAAAUUUCUGAUUUCCCUUUUUUUAUGGAACUAUCUGCGACUAGUGCGGGGCUUAGCUUUCCAGUGUUUGUUGAUGACAUCUCCAAGUAGUACAAGUUGCCUCGUCUAAUACCAUAACCAAUCGUUUGCUUCGUUUGGAUGUCCUUAAACACACAAUGAUCAGGCCAAAAAAUUACAACACAUGAUAAGUAAGUGGUUAAUUGAGACACAGAUAAAAGAUUAUAAUCUAAAGAUGGAACAAUUAACACAGCGUCUAAAUUUAAUUCAUUUGUGAGUCGUAAAGAUCCUUCCCCAAUAACUGAGGUUGUGGUUCCAUUUGCAGUGGAAAUAUGUUUUUGUGAAGAUGGUUUCAAUUGAGAAACUUGUCGAGAAUCAAAAGUCAUAUGAUCAGUUGCCCCAGAAUCAAUUAUCCAUGUACUAUUAAUAACAGGUGUAAGAGUUUUAAGGGCCUUACCUGGACUGACAGAGGUUGCGAUUUGCACUGAAGAUUCUUUUCUAAGAUCUGUAGUGGAUGUGGAUUCAGCUACUGCAGUUUUUGAUCCAUGCUUGGUGUUCUUCUUUCGAGUAUCCCACCAGUCAGGAUAUCCAAUGAUUUCAAAACAUUGUUCUUUCGUAUGACCCUUCUUUCUACAAUGAGUGCAAUGGAGUGAUGACUUGUCAACAAACUUCCUUUGAGGCUGCUGUCGUGAUAUCAUAGCAGACGUUUCUGAGUCGACCUUCUUGUUUAGUUUGCUUUGCCGUAUAUCUUCUCUUCGGAUCAGAGAAUAACAUUCUUCUAAGUCUGGGAUAAUGUCUUUUCGUAGAAUUUCUCCACGAACUUGGUCAAAUUCUUCAUCUAGCCCAGCAAGAAAAAUGUGCACUCUCAAUCUUUCAACAGACCUUCUGUAUAUUACAACAUCUUCUGGAUCCUUCAUGACCACUUUAUCUCGGUGAUCAAGUUCUCGAAAUAUUUCGACCAAUUCUCCAUAGAAUUUAGAGAGUGGUUGUCCAUUUUGCUUGGUAGAGAAUGCCUUCUGGUUUAGAGUGAAAACUUGUAAUUCAUCGCUUCCAUCAUAGAAGGCUUUUGAUAAUGCAUCCCAGAUUUCGUAGGCUGUAGGAAUUCGUAAAUAUCGCUUCAUGAUCUCCGGAGACAUGGAUAUGAGUAACCAUCUUUUUACUUUUUGGUUCUCACUAUACCAUUUCUCAUAUUCCUUUGAAGAUUCCUCAAAUGGCUUUGUGCUGCUACGAAUAUAUGAGAGUUUUUCUCUUUCUGCAAGAUGCAUCUCCAUUAUUUGAGACCAAACAUCGUAGUUUGUCUCAGUGAGGAUAAUUCCAGCAUUAAAUACUCCAUCAGAUUGAACAGAUUGAAUGACAACAGGACUAGAUUCAGUUGGAGUUUUCUCCAUUUUUUUGUUUUUUUUUGUUUUUCUUUUUUCUCUUUUUUUUUCUUUUUUUUUGUUUUUUUUGUUUGUUUUCUUUUUUUUUAAUUUUUUUUUUCCGUCUAGAUUGAAAGAAGAAAAAAAUAACCUUUUUAGGUAACAAAACGACAGGUCGUUUGGCCACUGCUUGCCAAACCGACAUGUCGGUUAUGGUGGAAUAUAAACGACAUGUCGUUUUAAUCCUGCUGCACUUCUGGAGACUAAGCGUCACGUCGUUUUAUCUAUAAUUUAAAAACGACAUGUCGGUUUUAAUAUAAAAAAAAACAACACGUCGUUUUUUGACUGCCGCACUUCUGAGAUGAAAACGACAUGUCGGCUGACGUCUUCUUCAACCUCUGGAGCGCGUGAGAGCGCGUGAAUGAUGACAGAGGCGCGUGGUUGACUGGCCGUGGCUUCGGGUGGCGCGUGGGAGCGCGUGGGAAUGUGUUUAAAUGUGAAAUGUUUACAGUUUCCUCACUGAAAAAUGAGAAAUUUGAUGGUGUUCUUGGUUUUUGAGGAACACACUCUCGGAAAAUUGAUGGGAUUGUUGAUAAAUUUGUAAACUCAAGUUUUUUACGUAUGGGUGGUUUGUUUCUUGAUCGGCAUGGAUAUCUGUAAUGGUAGGAAUGGGUUUAAGAAAGAAAAUGGUGGGAAAAAUGGUUGUGGGAGGAAUUUGGUUUCCUCUGUUUUUGUUACAAACAGAGCAGCGGAACUUGAAGAAACUUGAGCGUAUUCAUGGCUCUGAUAUGAUGAAGAAACGUGUUUUCAUUUCUUAAAUAAAGCAUUAUACAUUGAGAGUUAUUUAUAGAUGCAGAGGCUACAUUUUUUUAAAGAUUACAUAUGUGAAUACGGAAGGAAAUGUGUCAAUCCGUUCGGCGCGGAUCUUGUCUUUGACAAGUGCAGAUUACCCCUUUGACAAGUGCAGAUUCUGUCUUUGAAAGCUUCAUUCAAUGCCGUUUUAUUUGAUUCUCAACAUAAAUAAUAUGUGUACAUCCACAGGUGGUAAUACUAAUAAGCCACUAUAUAAUGAAAAAAGUGUACAAAUAAUAAUAAGCUCUCAUAUGAGCCCAAAAAAAGAAAAAAAGAAACACCAAUCUCAACACUCAAAAUCAAUCAAUCCCCAGCAGUUUGGCCUCACAAGAGCACUCUCUGUGUUGUGCUUUCCCUUAUUCAUUCUCUUUACAAAUACAAGGCUCUCAAAAAAAAAAAAAAACAAAACGAAUUACUGAAAACAUACAUAACAGAUUAAAAAAGCACGCGCCGCGCCCGUCCCCCAAUUCCUGCUCUGCGACGCCAUUUCGUAAUUCCUUUUUGGCUGAAAAAUUAAGAUCGCUUUCCCCAAAAAAAAAAAAAAACAAAUGAAUCAGUUACACAAAUAUAUCUAAUUUUAAUGGACAUUGUUAAAUUAAUGAAGAAGAGUAGAGAGAGAGCAAACGAGAAGGAAAGCGUAUACAAAUUAUAAUUACUAACCAGAGUUAUUAGCACCAUUACAUAUAUAUAUCCCUGCUGAAUCCCCUCCUCUGUUCACCAUUCGUUUCUAAAAUGGAUUAAAAAAUAACUACUAAUUAAUUCUAAUUAAAAUAGAGUGAGCACGCAAUGCAUGCAGGAGAUCUAGAAAGAAAUUACCCGUCGAGGGAGGUAAUGAUGAUUUUGGGAAUGUGGCGUAUCUUAGGCCAGUCCUCUCCUGUCUCCUUUCUGAAACGUUCUGCUAAAAUAGGACAACCAUUAAUCACCAAACUCUGGAGCGUUGACUUCUGAAGAAGGUGAUCGGCCGGUGCUUUUAAUUUACGGCAACUCCAAAUAGCCAAGGAAGAAAGACGUGGCAUGAUUAUGAUUUCUCCCUUUAUUGCUGUCCCGAAAUCCCACUCUUCCAGUUCUUCCAUAUUACGAAAUAGGAGCUUUUUCAAUUUCGGAAAGGCAAUAACUGAGGAGCCAUCCGUAUCACUUUCUACUCCCAGAAAUUCAUUACCCACUCUUUUCACGCUUUUCAUUCCUGCAAUAUAAAGAUCUUCAAGGGAUGGCAAUUUUCCCAAAGGAGGCAAAUGCUCACAAUUUCUGCACCUGACGAUAGAUAAAUCCCUUAAGUUGGUUAACGACAUGAACCAAUUUAUGGGGACAACAUUCCUCCUCCCUCUGUAUUGAUAUAUCUCUAACCUCUUUAAAUUAGGAGGUGAUCCCAAGGCUUCAAGAAGCCGUUCAUCUUCAUCCUCUUCAUUCUCCCUCCUCCAAACUUGUUCUUCAUCUCCAUCUCGUUCUUCAUCUCCAUCUCUUAAAUGAUCAAAAUCAAGUUCCAAAUCAAAGAGAUUUUUCUUUUUCUCAAGUUCAGCCCUCGCAGCCUCACCCGCAUCUGACACACCACCCAGCCCACGUAUACCACAUUGUUGAAGGAAGUUAAGCUUUUUAAGAGACCCAAGGCUACAUGCUCUGUCAUACCCUCCACCCACAACAAACUCUCUCACCCUCCGAAGCCUGAUUAAUUCCCCAAUCCCUGCCGGCAAGUAUCUUAAAGAAUCAGUCCCCACAUUGUCUAAAUACAUCAGCUUUCUUAACUUCCCAAUCCCUCGAGGUAAUUCUCUAAGAUUUUCACAAUCAUCAACGUUUAAACGUUCUAAAUUAUAUAACUCACACAACGUCUCGGGUAAUUUUUCUAUCUUCUUUUGACCUUUCAAAUUAAGGUAUUUCAAAUGUAACAAUUUUUCUAUAUUUGUUGGAAUUUCCUUGAUGUCAUUCACACUUGACAACCUAUCACACACCUUUAAUUUUAAUGCCCUUAAACAAGUUAAUUUAUCAAAUAAUUGAGGUAGGACUUCACUAGACCAUGAAUAUUCAUCACUUUUAACUAAGAGGCUACGCAAUCCUCGCAAUCCUUUAACAUUACCCCAAAUGGAGAUCGGAACCGAAGCCCCCGUACGUAGAGUUAAUAGUAAAUGAAGGAUUUUUUUCUCCCCAAAAGAGCUAAUAGCUAACUCUUCACCACUAUGAAUUUCUACUGUUAAACAUUCAUUCCUACAUAAAUAUUGGGCAAAGUCGUGGACGAUAUCGUGCAUUUUGCACUUAUAGAUUUCACCAUCAUCAUCUUUUUUAAAAUCCUGAAAGAAUGAACGGGUAGCUAAGAUGUUGAAAUACUCUUUACCAAUAUCCUCCAUCUCUUUGGCCCCUUUCUCACUAAGAUAACCUUGUGCCAUCCAUAGUUCAAUUAACUUAUGCUUCCGUAUUUCAUAGUCUUUCGGAAAGAUGGCACAAUAUGAGAAACAACGCUUUACCUUGGAGGGUAAUUCUUUGUAACUCAACAAUAGAGGGGCUAAAAGGCCUUUCUCAAUUGCUUCUAGUUCCCAUAUCUCACUCUCUAAGAUAUUUUGCCAUUCUUUUUCAGUGUUUUUAGACCGCAAGAGACUAGCAAUUGUCUUUGCAGCUAAAGGUAAGCCCUUGCACUUUUUUACAAUUUCUCUACCAAUUUUUUCUAAAUUUUCACGUUUUCCUAUGGUCUUACCAGAAAUUGCCAACGACUGAAACACCGACCAGCAUUCCAUUUCAGACAAUACAUUGACAGAGAUAACAUGAGUUGAUCCCAUAAUACGGGCAACUGUUUCUUUACGUGUGGUAAUUAAAAUUUUACUUCCAUGGAAACCACUCUUUAAACAGUUGUAGAAUGGUUCCCAUUUAGAGUAAUCUUCGUUCCACACGUCGUCUAAGACAAGAAGAACUUUCUUCCCGGCAACAUGUUUUCCAACAUUUUGCAUGAGAGAUUGAAACUCACCAACAUUAGGGGCAGAAUCUGUUAGAGCCUCAAUGAUUGCUCUAGCGAUUCUAAACUCAUCAAAAGGAUCUGACACACAGACCCAUAUUCUUUUUUCAAAAUUCUUUUCAACAUCACCGUUGUUGUAGGCAAAUUGAGCAAGAGUAGUUUUGCCUAUUCCCCCCAUCCCAACAAGUGAGAUGAUAGAGGGGCCUUUCUGUUCUUUACUACUUUCACAUAACAACCUAUUAACGAGUUCCUUCUUCUCUUUUUGUCUACCAAAUAUCUCGGACUCAUCAAUUGAGGAGAUACUUGGCACUCGUUGAUCGGCUCUCUCCGUUCUCUUAAUAACAUUCACAGCAAAACCAAACAUGUCUUUCUGUUUGGCAAUAUCAUCAAGAGUUUCAUUGAUUUCUUUUAUCUUCAGAGCAAUGUCACGACGUAAGACAAGUGGUUUGCAGGCAAAGCAAGAGGCAGCAGGAAAGAAGGAACAUACCUUCUUCUUAGGAACGAGAGCAUCAUUCUCGUGAUCAUCGACUCCAUCGAUUUGCAGUUUGAGCCUUGCAGUGUUCCACUCACCCAACACAUCUUCCAUGUCGUAACAUGCGUCUCUGAGUUGAUCGAGCCAGAGUCUGACAGUUUCCUCCUUUAUUUGCCUUUUCUCAGCAUCAUUGAGCACAGCUUGAAUGACGCGGAGAUUGCUGGUCAGCUUCUUCACUUCCUUUCCGACACCCGUUACUAGCCUCACUUGUUCCUUCGCCUCUUCAACAGCCAUUGAAGUCAGCUGCUCCAAGAUAGGGGAAAGGAUCGCAUCAACCAUGGUGAAAAAUAAAAAGAGAGAGAGAAGAAAUUGAUGGUGAAUUGUUGCAAAAGUAAGUAAUGAUGAAAGAAAUGAAGGAGCUGAUAAUGUGGUGAAGAUGUUGCCGUAUUCUUUCAAUUCUUAUAGUACUGCAAGCAAAAUUCUAAUUUAGAAAUAUUUUAUUUCAUUUCAGCCCCUUGUGAAAGAACCUACUGUUAUUAUUAUUACUUUUUUUUUUUUGAAAGAAAAAAGCCUUCAUUUCACAGAAGAGUGAAAAUGACGUAAAGUUGUGGACAGGAAACAAUAUAUUGUUAGGUCCCACAUCGGCGAUUCACGCGGUAUAUGAAACUGACAAAGUUUUCUGUGAUCUCUUUUUAAAUAAUUGAACAAGUUGUUAGAUAAAUAUAUAUGAUCGUGUCGUCAUAUUGAGAUUUGGAAGCAUUUGCUUUACAAUCACCCAUGAACUUGAUAAUUUUUAGAUUGUUUGAUCUGAAUUAUACGUAUGUUAUUAGCUUAAAAAUACCUUGACCAUCUCUUUCUUAUUUUUUUCUUUUUUUUUUCAAAAUUUGACUUGUUUGCAUAAUUAGUUGAAAGGAAAGAAUGAACAUACUAAUAAACUAUGAAAACGCUGCCACAUAAUAUUUUAAGAUUCAUAUCGAACCACUUUAUUUAGAUUUUGUCAUUUUGGCAGAUGUCUGAUUGUGGGAGUUUAGAGUUUAAUCUCUAACUUUGCUUGUGAAGUGUGAAAAAUCAAAUAAUCUUUUCAACUUGUUUUUCAACAAAAAUAGAUAACAAUUCAUCAUCAGUUAUUUCUCAUUAUGUAUAAAAUGAUCAGUCUAGAGCUGGAUAUUCACAUAUUUUUCUAUUUCUAAUCAUUUCAAAAUAUAAUAUGAACUUUUAAAAAAAAUCAAAUUGUAAUAAAGUGACAUAAAUGUUAAAAAAUGAAAAUAAAAAGUUAAAAAUGUAAUGCGGAAAAAAAAAAAACCUUUUGUUUGCUCUAUUCAUGGCAUCUAAAUAUGAGAACAUUGUCAUUGUGAACUACCAUAUAAUUGCAAGUGAAUACUAUCAAAGACAUAAUAAUUCAUGGGCCCAUACAUCCUCUGUAUUUCUAAUUAUUCCGCGUAGAAGGCUAAAGUUUAAUUAAGCUAAACAAUUUGAUUAUUAACUCUCUAGUCUCUCUUGCAACAUUCCACUAGUCCUCGGAUCGAUCACACAAUCUAAUGCAUAAUCUAUUCAUUUAAUUAAUCAAUUUGGAUAUAUAUUUAUUAAAGUCAAAUUUUUAGUAAUUUUAUUUGCUUUCCAGAGUAUGAUAUUUUUAGCGCGCGGCUUUGGACAUAGCUGUUAUAAAUUUGGUUAGUUUAACAAAUAUAAUGUAACCUAUGAUAUUAUAUAAAUAUUCAAUUAUUCUCUUGGAGAGACGUAAAUUCACUGAAAUUUAAAAAGAGUCGGUAAAGAUAAAAAUAUUUUAUAUUUUAUUACGUAAUAAUAUUAGAAUCUUAAGACGUGUUUGGUAUUAUAAAUGAUAGAAGAAAGAGGGGUUGAACGUGUGAACACUUCAUUGCAUGAAGAUUCCUGGAAGUAGCCGGCAGUUCAAAUUAAUAUUUUUCUUUUGGACAAAACCAACAAUAAUUUUAUUAUUAUUGUCGUUGUCAUUGUUAUCAAUUUAUUAAUUAUAACCAUUAUUUAUUUAUUCAUUAAUUAUUUAAUUAUCAUCAUCAUCAUCAUCAAAUGACAAUAAUUAUCAAAGGGUAUUUUGAUAAAUUAUUAAUGAUAUUACUUUUAAUAAUAUUAUUAUUAAUCAUUUUUAUUAUAAUAAUAAUAGUCAUUAUUAUAAUUAACUAAGGGCAUUUUAGUAAAUUAAAACAAUUCAGCUUAUUCUGAUUCCUCGAUUCUAAGAUAAAAUAAACAAAUCAAUGGGAUUUCAACCCAUUCCUAUUCCAAUUCUUGUAGUUCAAGUAAAUAAUUUAUUAUAAUUCUCAUUCUUUAUUCUCAUUCAACCCAUAAAUAUUUUAUAAUUCAUAUACAACAUAUAUAAUACGGUAUAUGAACUUGACAAAAGUUGUUGUAUAGGUAUAAUAUAUUAUCUCUCUUUUCAACAAUUGAACAAGUUGUUACAUAAUAUAUAUUAUCGUGUCAGAAGAUAAUAACAUUCACGCGGUUUAUGAAACUGAUUUGUUGGGUUUUUAGACUCGAAAAAUAAUAUUGUUUUAAAAAUUCUCAAUAACUAAAAGCCCAACGAACCAGUUUCACAUGACAGAUUUAAAAAAAAAGAGGAUAGAGCAACAAAGUAAUUUUUGUGAUGACGACUUUCUUGAAAUUGAAACAUUAUUCGGAAAUUAUUAGCAAUGAGAAAGCGCAAUUAGACUAAACAAUUUGAUCAUUAACUUUCUAUGCAUAAUCGAUUCAUUUAAUUAAUCAUUUUGAAUAUAUAUAUUUGUUAGUGUCGAAUUUUUAGCAAUUUUAUUUGCUUUCCAAAGUAUGAUAUCUGUUAGAAGACAGUAUGCAACAUUGAUCUCUGUGACAUACUCUGAGUGCCACGUUGGCGGUCGUCUUUCACGAGUUGACCGACGAACUUCUGGAGCCUCAGACUCGACUGGUUCUUGUUCCUCGUGCUCUGGUGCUGCUUCAGAAGAAUCUGAAUCUUCUGGAUUAUUUUCCACAUAUACCGGUAUAGUCUCUGACUUUUCUUUUACACUGCUAUCAUCCUCAUAUCUCAUUUGCAGUUGAUCUUCUAUAAAGAUAACAUCUCUGCUGAUGACGAUCUUGUGGGCAGUGGGGUCCCACAGACGAUACCCCUUUACUCCAUUAGCAUACCCCAAGAAGAUACAUCUUCUAGAUUUUGAAUCCAGUUUUGUUCUUUCUUGGGCAUUGUACAUCACGUACACAGGAUAUUCAAAUGCAUGUAGGUAGGAAUAAUCAGCUGGCUUUCCAGUCCACAUCUCCAUCGCUGUCUUCAGCCCAAUAGCUGUAGAUGGCGAUCGAUUUACUAUAUAACAAGCAGUUUUGGCUGCUUCUGCCCAGAAUGAAUUAGGUAGACCAGCAGUCCUCAACAUAGCUCUUAUUCUUUCUGUAAGAGUUCUGUUCAUCCGCUCUGCCACUCCAUUUUGUUGAGGAGUGUAUGCUACCGUGAACUGCCUCUGAAUACCUUCUUGCUUACAGAAUUCAAGAAACUCUCCGUCUGUAUAUUCUCCACCAUUAUCCGUCCUCAAGCACUUGAUCUUUUUACCAGAUUCAAGUUCCACCCGCGCUUUGUAUUCUUUAAACACUAGAAAUACAUCUGACUUUUUCUUAAUUGGAUACACCCAACAUCUUCUGGAAUAAUCAUCAAUGAAAGUCACCAUGUACUUUGCACCUCCCAUGGAUAUAUCCGGUGAUUCCCAAACAUCAGAAUGAAUCAAGUCUAGAAUGAAUUUACUUCUAGCAAUAGAUCUACUGAAUUUUAAUCUAUGCUGCUUACUUGUAACACAAUGCUCGCAAAAUGGUAAACUUACCAAUUUGAGCCCUGGAAGCAAUUUUUGCUCAGAGAGAAUCUUCAAACCUUGUUCUGACAUGUGGCCAAGUUUGAGAUGCCACAUCAUCAUUGACUCUUCUCCAUUUGACGCGACACACGCAUCAGCCUCCUGUAGUGUUUCUCCUUUAAGCAUGAAUAGAUUAGCACCGAUCUUUUCUGCCUUCAUCAAUACAAACGCUCCUUUAACAAUCUUCAUAAUUCCAUUCUCCACAUGAGUUUUGUACCCAUGACUAUCCAUUUGUCCCAAAGACAAUAGAUUUUUAUUCAGGCCGUUGACAUGUCGUACCUCCCCAAUUGUGCGAAUUAUACCAUCAAACAUUUUUAUUUUGAUAGUACCAAUACCAGCGAUCUCCAAGGCAUGAUCAUUACCCAUAUAUACAGAUCCUCCUGAGAUAGGUUCAUAUGUGUGAAACCAUUCUCUCCUAGAGGUCAUGUGCCAGGUAGCUCCUGAGUCUAUAAGCCAGACAUCAUAUAGUCGUUUUCUGCCUUCUGAAACAGUUGUUGCCUCGCUGUAGAGUAUUUCGCCAUCAUCUGAGGUACUUGCUACACACCCCUGAGCAUUUGAUGACUCAGGUUCUUUACCUUCUCUUCUCUUCUGGUUACUCCAACACUCUUUCUUGACGUGCCCUUUCUUGUCACAGUUGUAGCAUUUAAUAUUCUUCUUACUUUUGGAUUUUGAUCUACCAUGAUUGUGACUCCCACUAGGGCCACGUUCUGUUGAUCUCCCUCUCGUCACCGAUAGCACCUCCGCUUGCUGUGAACUUGCUUGUCUGUUUUCCUUAUUUUUCCGUCUGCUCUCCUCAUUUAAUACGGAGGCGGCAACAUCGUCGAAAACUAGACUGUCCACUGGAUUGUUGUUCGUCAGGUUGAUGAUGAGUUGAUCAUACGAAUCUGGUAGACUUUGAAGUAGAAGCUCUGCACGUUCAUUUUCCUCUAUAUUAUGACCCAACGUUGUGAGUUGUGAAAAUAGAGUCUUCAAGGUGUUGAUGUGGUCAAUCACCAUUGUAGAUUCCGCCAUUCGAAGAGUAUAGAGUUUUCUUUUCAAGAAGAUUUUGUUGUGUAGUGACUUGGCCUCGUACAAUUUUGUGAGAGUAUCCCAUAUUUCCUUCGCUGUGUUUUUCUCUGCCACACUAGAUAAUACUCCAUCUGCAAGUGCCAAGUGUAGAUCAGAAAUGGCGUUGCCGUCUACCUCGUUCCACUUGUCAUCAGUUAUCUCCAUGGGCCUUUCUCCAAUUGCUGCUAAGCAAUUAUUUUUCCUCAAUACAGCUUUCAUCUUCAUUUUCCACAACGAAAAAUUAUUUCCGUUAAAUUUCUUAAUUUCAUACUUUGCCCCCAUUUUGUUGAUAAUACUGCACACAAGCUAGUAUACCACCUUGAAUAGUUGUGAGUAUGUGUGAGAAUGCACACCAGGAAAGUUCCCAGGAAAGACUGGAGGGGUCACAAUGGUCCCACUUAAAACCCAGACUCCUUAAGCUCUUAUCGCCUUUGUGACAGAACUUUCCUAGACAUGUACAAAACCACACAGUUGCUUUACUCACACCACUAUUCCCUGUUUUGCACCGCAAAAUUCUUGGAUCGCUUACACCGUUUCACGUGAAUAGUACCGUAUACGUGAACAGUACCAUAUAUGUUGAUUGUUUUUCAAUCUAAUCUCCAAGUGGGAGAAAUGUCAAAGUCGGUGGUGGCCUAGCCAAAUCUUCCUAGUUUUGGCAGCCGCCCAAAGAAAUAAACGUGGGUUUGGCAGCUGCCCAAGGAAAGAAACAAAAGAGAAAGAAGAAAAAGAAGAAAGAGAGAAGACAAAGAGAUGUCGGGCCGAAGAAGGAAAAGAAAAGAAAAAUUAAUAAAAUAAUAAUAAUAAUUAAAUAUUAAAUAUUAAAUGAACAUUAGCUAAUUUUGGCUAUAAAAACGUUGUCUCCCUUCAUUUGUAAAUCAUCGAGUUCUGCAGUUCUUUUCUUUAUUUAGAGAGUGUUUUUAAGAGUUAUAGUGAUUUGAGAGUUUGGGUGUAUUGAGAUUUUGGGAAGUGAGCUAAAAUACUACAAUACUUGUAACUCCUUUUCACUAGUAAAAUAUUUUCUUCUGUCUUCGCCCGUGGAUGUAGGCUAAAAGCCGAACCACGUAAUUUCUGGUGUCCUCUAGUGUGCUUGUUCUUUAUUUUCUUCUAAUUUUAUUUUAGCUGCGUGUCUGCUUCACCCACCAAUUUCCUAACAAUAUCUUUAGCGCGUGGCUUUGGACAUAGCUGCUAUAAACUCGGUCAGUUUAACAAAUAUAACGUAAACUAUGAUAUUAUUUUAAAUAUUCAACUAUUCUGUUGGAGAGAAGUAAAUUCACUAAAAUUAAAAAAAAAAGUUUGUGAAUGUAAACAUAUUUUAUAUUUUAUUACGUAAUAAUAUUAGAAUCUUAACGCGCCUUUGGUAUAGCUUUUGUUUGGUGGUUUUUUUGUUCUUUAAUAAUGAAGCAAUCUUAACGAGCCUUUCUUUCUUUUUUUCUUUUUUUAAUUUUUAAUUUUUUUUUACCAGUGUGAACUGCAAAUACUGUCAUGUCCUCAAUCCGCGAUUCACGCGGUAUACGAACUCGACAAAGCUGUUAUAUAAUAUAUGGGAGCCCCUAACUUACAGCCGGCUGUAAGUUACAGCACACACAAAAAUUAUACCAUUUAUUACUGUUCAUGCAUAUUUUUAUGUGUGCUGUAACUUACAGCAGCUGUAAGUUAGCAUUUGCAAUAAUAUAAGGAUCCUUUGCUAUAAUAUAAGGAUCCGCCUAACUUAUGAAUAACAGUUCAUUACGUAAACUGUUUUCAAUAAAGGUCUGGAUAUAUUGGAAGCACUAUAAGGUAGAGCAUUUUUUUUAUAAUUAUACAAUUAAAAUUAUAAUUAAUUUUUUAUUAUUUAUCACUUAGCGUGUGUGGUUGAAAUUCAUACUCCAUUAUAAAUCCACUCCUACAUAAUCAUAAUCUUCCAAGAAUUGAACAAGUUGUUGUAUAAUAAUAUACGGUAACAACUUGUCUCUUUUCAACAAUUGAACAAGUUGUUAUACAAUAUACGGGUAACAGUUCAUGACGUGACAAAUAAUUUAUUAGGAGCGUGCCAUGCCAUGUGUAAAAAUUUGAUAACUAUCUCGUUGGAUCCAAUUUGGUAACAAGAUUCUUUUCAACCGUCAUUAACUGGUUGCAGAUGACAUACUGAAAUAAAAACUUAUCAUUAAUUACUUCUUAUUAUGUAUAAAUUGAUACUGAAAUUACAAUUGCAUUAAACAACUUUUGACUGUGAAGUGUGAAAAAUCAAAUAAUCUUUAUUAUUAGUUUUGUAACAAUAAUAAAUAAAAAAUUAUUAUUAAUUAUUUCUUACUAUGUAUAAAUUGAUCCAUCUAUUUCUAAUCAUUUCGAAAUUUAAUAUAAAUUUUUUUAAAAAAUCAAGUUGUAAUAAAAGUGUUAUAAAUAUAAAAAAAUGAAAAUGGAGAGUCAAAAUUGUAAUACCCAAAAAAGACAAAAACUUUUAUUUUCUUUUUUUCCUCGGCAUAUAAAUAUAUUGUUACAGGUAAUGGAAUUCAUAGCCCCAAAGGGAAGAUUCUUCCAUAAAUGAUAGGAGAACGACGGGUUGAACAUGUGAACACUUUUAUUGCGAAAUUACCUUACAAUUGCAACAUUUGAACACUUUAUUUUCUUUUUGACAAAGCACAAUAAUAAGUUACAGGUACUGCAAUAUUGCAUGAAGAUUCCUGGGGGUAAGCCUUCAGUUCAAAUUAAUAUUUUUCUUUUGGACAAAACCAACCAACAAUAAUUUUCGAACCUGAAAGAUACUCAUUAAAAGAUAGAUCUUCGUAGUUUUCUUAGAAGAUACUUAGAACUGCCAAUAUCUUCUAAUUAUUGUUUUAAAAAUCUCAGCUGCCCAUUUAACAAAUCAGUAGUUUUUGUUCGACAUAUUUAAAACAUAAAAAAAAAGCACACAUUGGUUUGAUGACUUUGUAAUUGAUACAUCAGGAAAUGAAGAGAAAAAGGAACACACUAAUGACCAUCAUUGUAGAUGAUAUAAUAGAUGUACGUAUUUAGUUGCAAUUAAUUAACUAAUAGUCUUAUGGAGUAAUUGUUUUAGACUCGAAUUAAGAAGCUCUGCACUGCCCUUAGGUAAUUCCCCCGCUUAAAAAAUAUUGUUUUAAAAAUCUCAAUAACUACAAGCCUAUGCCCAGCAAAUCAGUUUGACACGCCAUAUUUUCUUUUUUUUUUAAAAAAAAAAAAAAGGAUCGACCCGCACAGUAAUUUUGGUAUAAUGACUUUGAUGUAAUUGAACAUUAUUAGACAAUUAAUAAAGUGUAGAGAGCAACAAUAUCGAGUAUCGAAACUUCGGAAGAGUGGAAUGUAUGGAAGGCAAACUUUGCUCAACAGAUUUAUAAUUAGUGGAGAACAAGAUAGAUGACAUGGAAAAUGGAUGUAAUACUUAUUUUUAUUUUUCUGAAAUUUUGUUGUAUUUUAGUAUCUAUUGAGACUUUUGAAACUAUAUUGACAAUAUUAUUUUGAAUGUGACAAGUAGGAUUUAUUUUAUUACCACCUGUAAUUUAAUCUGAGUUUAAUUUGUCUGAUAUUGGUGCAAUUUUUAUGUAUAUGCAUUGAGUUUUAUAUGUCUAUGCAAGUGCAUAAGUUGGUUACUUAAUGCUCUGGUUGUGCAAAUUAAAAAUUUUGUUUGAUGUUGCUUUACACCUAAUUGACUAUAUUUUUACUGUUUAGUUUUUGUUUUAAUAGGUAAAUGGCAUCACAGCCUCCAAAAUCAAGAUUUUGGACCUUAGAAGAAGAUAUUAAGCUCGUGGAGUCUCUUUUAGACUUGUAUCAUGAUGGGAAAUUUUGUGCGGACAAUAACUUUAAAAGUGACUACUUAAGGGCUCUUGAGACUACUUCGAAAGCAAAACUACUUGGAUGUGGUAUACAAGCAAAACCACACAUUGAAUCCGUAUAAAAGACUUUAAAAUUGCAAUUCUGAACUAUACAUGAGAUGUUAACUGGACUGGAUUGCAGUGGCUUUGGUUGGGAUCCAAAAAAGAAAAUUAUAACUGCAAAGAAAGUUGUGUGGGAUGCUUAUGUUCUGGUAUGUGAGAUGUUAUUGUUUUAUUUGCUAUUUUUUUUUUCUAUUGUUGUUAUAGAUCAUUGAUAUUUUCAGCCAUUGUUUCACUCGCUAUUUUGCUAUUAUACUUGUUGGUUGCUGUCGUUUUACUUUCUGUUGUUGCUGUUAUAUUUGUUGGUUACUAUAUUUUUUACUAUUUUUGCUAUUUUGCUUGUCGUUUUACUUGCUAUUUGCCACUAUUAUACUUGCUGCUUACUAUUCUUUUUGCUGUUAUACUUGCUUGUUACUACUUUUUUUGUUGUUUUUUCUGUUUCAUUUGUUGUUUUUGCUGUUUCAUUUGUUGUUUUUGCUAUUUCAUUUGUUGUUUUUACUGUUAUACUUGCUGGUUACUACCUUUUUGUUGUUUUACUUUCUGUCUUUACAGUUAUACUUGCUGGUUAGUACUUUUUUUUGCCUUUUUUACUAUUUUAUUUGCUGUUUUUGCUUUUUUUGCUGUUUCAGCCAUUGUUUCACUUGCCAUUUGCAUUAUUUUUGUAUAAAGCUGCAGGAAUUAGAUAUUUAAUCAGUACUCGAGAUAUUACAAAUUAAAAAGUUGCAUACUCCUGACAUUAACAUAACAUAAAAUUUGAUCCACAAUUUACUCAAUUUCUGAGUAAGCUCACCAAAAGCACCGUAGCAGAAAUAACCAGACCUACCCAGGUCCUGAUAUGGAGCCACUCGGCGUGGUUCUCUUUGGAGUUAAUUAAGGUAAAAGCUUGAUCCUCUGUUAACCAAAAUGGUCGAACAAAGAUUAAACCAAAAUGUUGAAAUCUUUUCCUUUUGUAAUUCUAGCUCUAAACAUUAAAAAUCCAUCAUUAGGAAAUAGAGAGUUAAAUAGAGUUCCCAGUAAAGCGGACCAGUGUCUGUCACUGUCACCACAUAAAUAUAUCAGACUAGCUAUCCAAUGCAAUAUAUACAUUUUUUGUCCUUUUUUUUUUUAACCCUUUUUUCAUUCAACACGUCCAGAAAUCAAUAACAAAGCUUAGGCUCCUACGAUGCUUAGGCCUCAUCAUGAUCUAGUACUUGUACAGUAGCAACAUUCAAUGCAUAAACUUGUACUUGUGGCCUGCUAAACAAAUAUUAGUUUUUUCGAUUUCUCAAUUGGAUUAAAAAUAUAUAACAACAAAGUAAAAGGGGGCAGGAUGAAUAAAUUACCACAGUGUUGAUGCAGGGAGAGUGGGAGUGUGGCAUAUUUUGGGCCAGUUCUCUCCUGUCUCCUUUCUUUAACAUUCUUCUAGAAGAGAAAAGUCGCUAAUAUUCAAAAUUUGCACAGUGUUUGUCUUCUGAACAAAGGUGAGGGGGCAGUGCUUUUAAGAGAUAUAUACCUUGUCCACAUUUCACUAAUAUGUGGCAUGAUUUCUCCCUUUGCUGCAGUCUCGUAAUCCCACUCUUCCAGUACAUUGCAAAUAUGAGCUCUUUCAAUUUGGGAAAGGUUGAGGAGCCAAUGGAAUCAUCCGCAUCACUCUCUCUGUUCCCAAACAUUCAUUGUCCACCCUUUUCGCACUUUCCAGUCUGUAAAUAUAGAGAUAUUCAAGGGAUGGCAAUUUUUGCAAAGACUCAAAAAGAAUUUGAAAGAUAAAAAAGAACAAAACAAAAAACGAAUACAGAUUAAAAUUCACAAAUAUAUGUACAUAUAAAUAAUUGAACAUGCAUCGGCAAAUAAAUGAAGAGUAGAGAGCAAAUGAGAGGGAAAGCAUAUAGAAUUACUAACCAGAGUUAAUUCGAUCCUUAUUUGCACCACUAUUAUAUUUUAAUUCCUGCUGUAUCCUCUCCUCUGCACAGUGUUGGAUUUGUUUCAUCUCAGUCUCACGUCUGUCUGUUUUGGAUCCGCUCUUAAUUGAUUUUUCUCAUUAUUGUUGUUGAUCAAUUGGCUGAAAAGGGAAAGUCUCUUUAAUUUCAGUGCAGAAAGCAGAGGAAUUGACGACAUACUUAUAAUAAUUAAUUUCCAAAAUGGAUAAAAAAAAAUAACAACCAAUUAAUUUUUAAGUAAAAUAGAUUGAGCGUGCUGCAGGAGAUCUAGAAAGAAAUUACCGGUCGCGCUGGACGUGGGUGAUUGUAAUUUGAAAUUGCAGCCGCGCGCUUUGGGAAUUCCUCACUCAAUCUCGAUGUCGAGAAUGUGGCGUAUCUUAGGCCAGUCCUCUCCUGUCCCCUUUCUGCAACGUUCUUCUAAAAUAGGACAUCCAUAAAUCUCUAAUCUCUGGAGCGUUGUCUUCUGAAGAAGGUGAUCGGGCAGUGCUUUUAAUUUAGGGCAAUCAUCAAUUGACAAGAAAGAAAGACGUGGCAUGAUUAUGAUUCCUCCCUUUAUUGCAGUCCCGAAAUCGCACUCUUCCAGUUUUUCCAUAAAACGAAAUGUCAGCUCUUUCAAUUUGGGAAAGACAGUAACUGAGGAGCCAUCCGUAUCACUUUCUACUCCCAGAAAUUCGUUACCCACUCUUUUCACACUUUCCAUUCCUAAAAUAUGAAGAUCUUCAAGGGAUGGCAAUUUUCCCAAAGGAGGCAAAUGCUCGCAAUUUCUGCAGUAGGAGAGAUAUAAAACCCUUAAAUUGGUUAACGACAUGACCCAAUUUUUUAGAACAACAUUCCUCCUGCCUCUGUAUUCAUGUAUAUGUAAUUCCUUUAAAUCGGGAGGUGGUCCCAAGGCUUCAAGAAGCAGUUCAUCUUCAUCCUCCUCAUGCUCCCUCCUCCCAGCUUGUUCUUCAUCUCCAUCUCUUAAAUGAUCGAAAUCAAGAAGUAAAAAAACCAGAUUUUUCUUUUUCUCAAGUUCAGCCCUUCGAGCCUCACCCGCAUUUGACACAUCACCCAGCCCACAUAUCCUGCAGUCUCGAAGGAGGUUAAGCUUUUUAAGAGACCCAAGGCUACAUGCUCUGCCAUAUCCUCCACCCACAACAAGCUUUGUCACUUCCGAAGACCGAUUAAUUCCCCAAUCCCGACCGGCAAGAAUCUGAAAGAAUUAGUCCCCUCAUUGUCUAAAUACAUCAGCUUUCUUAGCUUCCCAAUCCCUUGAAGUAAUUCUCUAAGAUUUACGCAAAAACGAACGUCUAAACGUUCUAAAUUGUAUAACUCACACAACACCUCAGGUAAUCUUUUUAUCUCGCUUUGACCGAACAAACUAAGGUAUUUCAAAUGUAACAACUUUUUUAUAUUUGUUGGAAUUUCUUUGAUUGGAUUAUAAUCCCAGCCAUACGUCUCUAAUGUUAAUGCCCUUAAACAAGUUAGUUUAUCAAAUAAUUGAGGUAAAACUUUGCUAGACCAUGAAUAUUCACCACCUUCAACCGAGAAGCUACACAAUCGUCUCAUUCUCUUAACAUUAUUCCAAAUGGAGAUUGGAACUGAAGUUUUUUCUGCUCAAAGGAACUCAUAAUUGACUCUUCACCACCAGGAAUUUUCACUGUUAAACAUUCAUUCCUCCAUAUAAAUUGGGCAAGGUCGUGCACUAAAUCGUGCAUUUUGCACAUAUAGACUUCACCAUCACCAUCUGCAUUGAACUCUUGAAAGAAUGAACUACUAGCUAAAAUGUUGAAAUACUCUUCACCUAUGUCCUCCAUCUCUUUGUUUCCUUUCUCAUUAAGGUAACCUUGAGCCAUCCAUAGUUCAAUUAACUCAUACUUCCGUAUUUCAAGGUCUUUUUGGAAAAUUGCCAUUCCAUAUUUCAUAUUUCACUAAUAUGUGGCAUGAUUUCUCCCUUUACUACGGUCUCGUAAUCCCACUUAUCCAGUACAUUGCAAAUAUGAGCUCUUUCAAUUUGGGAAAUGCUGAGGAGCCAAUGGAGUCAUCCGUAUCACUUUCUCUGUUACCAAACAUUCAUUGUCCAAAGACUCAAAAAGAAUUUAAAAAAAAAAAAAAAAAAAAAAAAUCAAGGGAUGGCAAUUUUUCCAAAGACUAAAAAAAAAUCUAAAAAAAAAAACAGAACAAAAUAAAAAAAGAAUACAGAUUAAAAUUCACAAUGCAUGCAGGCGCCUAUCCGAAUUCCUGCUUUGCAACGCCAUUUACGUAAUUCCUUUUUGGCUGGAAAUAUUGCUUUUUUAAAAAUUCCGGUAACAUGCCCAACAAAUUAAUCAGUUAGACGAAUAUAAUUAUAACGGCUUGAUGACUUUAGAUGUAUGUAUAAAUAAUUAAAAAUGCAUUAUCAAAUUAAUGAACAGAAGAGAGCAAAUGAGAAGGAAAGCAUAUGUAAUUACUAACCAGAGUUAAUUUGAUUCCUUAUUGGCACCCCUAUUAUAUAUUAACUUGUGCUGAAUCCUCUCCUGUGUUCACUGUUGGAUUAAGCGUUUCAUCUCAUGCAUUCUCACAUCUGUACGUUUUCGAUCUGCUCUUAAUUAAUUUCGUCUCAUUUUUAUGUAAAUUUUAUAGCCCCACUGAUUCACCAUUGUUAUGUUAUGACCAUUGUAGGUUUGUUAUUUUCAAAUUAUGUCCCCAGGUAAAACCAAAAUUAUAAUUUGACCAUCUUUUAUAGAGUUUAGUUAUAAUAAUCAAAUAAUACAAUGAACACACAAGAUAAAAAAAUUUACAUGGUUAGACAUAUUAAUUAAUAUGCCUUCAUCCGUGGGUGGUGAUACUAAUAAUCCACUAUAAAGCAUACACACAAUAAGCUCCCAGAUGCAAAUAAAACGAAAAGAAACACCAAUCUCAACACUCAAAAUCAAUCAACCCCCCAGCAGUUUGGCCUCACAAGAGCCCAUUCUGUGUUGUGCUUUCCCUCAUUCAUUCUCUUCACAAAUACAAGGCUUACAAAAAACAAAACAAACAAAUUACUGAAAACAUAUACAACAGAUUGAAAAAGCAUGCGGCUAUAUAUCCCAAUUCCUGCUCUGCUACGCCAUUUACGUAAUUCCUUUUUGGCCGAAAAACAUUGCUUUCCCCAACAAAACAAAUCAAUCAGUUAGACAAUUAUAUCUAAUUAUAAUGGUUUGUGACAUAAUUAUAUAUAUAUAUAUAUAAAACUAAUUGGGCAUGCAUCAGCAAAUUAAUGAAGAAGAGUAGAGAGCAAACGAGAAGGAAAGCAUAUACAAAUUAUAAUUACUAACCAGAGUCAAUUUGACUCGUUUCCUUGUUGGCUCAGUUCACUGUUGGACUAGACGUUUCAUCUCAUACACUCUCGUCUCUGUCUGUUUUGGAUCCGCUCUUAAUUAAUUUGUUGUUAAUCAAUUGGCUGAAAAUGAAAAGUUUCUUUAAUUUCAGUACGCAGAAAGCAGAGCAAUUGACGACACUUAUAAUAAUUAAUUUCUGAAUUGGAUCGAAAAAAUAACAACUAAUUAAUUAAUUUUUAAGUAAUAUAGGAGAUCUGGAAAGAAGUUACCCGUGGCCGUGGGUGAUUGUAAUUGACUAAUUGCAGCCGCGCGGUUUGAGAAUUCUUCACUCAAUCUCGAUGUUGGGAAUGUGGCGUAUCUUAGGCCAGUCCUCUCCUGUCUCCUCUCUGUAACGUUCUCGAAAAAUAGGACAUCCCCCCCAAAUGUGCAAUUUCUGGAGCGUUGUCUUCUGAAGAAGGAGAUCGGGCAGUGCUUUUAAUUUAAAGCAUCCAAAAAUGAUCAAGCAAGAAAGACGUGGCAUGAUUAUGAUUUCUCCCUUUGUUGCAGUCCCAAAAUCCCACUCUUCCAGUUCUUCCAUGUAACUAAAUUUAAGCUCUCUCAAUUUCGGAAAGGCAAUAACUGAGGAGCCAUUCGUAUCACUUUCUAUUCCCAGAAAUUCAUUACCCACUCUUUUCACACCAUGCAUUCCUCCAAUUUGAAGAUAUUCAAGGGAUUGCAAUUUUCCCAAAGGAAGCAAUUGCUCACAAUUUUUGAACAAGCUGAGAGAUAAAUACCUUAAAUUGGUUAAUGACAUGAUCCAAUUUUUGGGGACAACAUUGCCUCUGUAUUUAGAUAUCCAUAAUUUCUUUAAAUUAGGUGGGGGCUGUAAGGCUUCAAGAAGCUGUUCAUCCUCCUCAUCGUCCCUCCUUUCUUGUUCUUCAUUAAUUGUACGAUCAAAACGAAGUUCCAAAUCAAAGAGAUUUUUCUUUUUCUCAAGUUCAGCCCUCCUAGCCUCACCCACAUCUGACACAUCACCCAGCCCAUGUAUCCUACAUUCUCGAAGGAGGAUAAGCCUUUUAAGAGACUCAAGGCUACAUGCUCUGUCAUACCCUCCACCCACAACAAAUUUUCUCACUCUCCGAAGCCUGAUUAAUUCCCCAAUCCCAACCGGCAAGUAUCUCAAAGAAUUAGUGUAAUCAUUGUCUAAAUACAUCAGCUUUCUUAACUUCCCAAUCCCUUGAGGUAAUUGUCUAAGAUUUGUGCAAAAACUAAUGGCUAAACACUCUAGAUUAUAUAAUUCACACAAUGUCUCGGGUAAUCUUUUUAUCUUUUUUUGAGAGGACAAAUUAAGAUAUUUCAAAUGUAUUAAUUUUUCCAUAUUUGUUGGAAUUUCUUUGAUGUAAUUAUCACACCUCCAUCCGCGACACUUUAUUAAUUUUAAUGCCCUUAAAUUAGUUAAUUUAUCAAAUAAUUGAGGUAGGACUUCGCUAGACCAUGAAUAUUCAGCACUUUCAAUUAAGAGGCUACGCAGUCCUCGCAAUUCUUUAGCAUUAUCCCAAAUGGAGAUCGGAACCCAAGCCCCCGUCUCUAUAGUUAAACUUAAAUGAAGGAUUUUGUUCUCCCAAAAAGAGCUCGUAACUGACUCUUCGCCACAAAGAAUUUCCACCAUAAGACAUUCUUUCCUACACAAAAAUUGGGCAAAGUCGUGCACUAUAUCGUGCACUUUGCACUGAUAGAUUUUGCCAUCAUAUCCUCUUUCAAAAUCCUGAAAGAAUGAACGGCUAGCUAAGAUAUUAAAAUACUCUUCACCAAUUUCCUCCAUCUCUUUGUUCUUUUUAUUGUUAAGGAAACCUUGAGCCAUCCAUAGUUCAAUUAACUUAUCUUUCCAUAUUUUAGAGUUUUUUGGAAAGAUGGCACAAUAAGUGAAACAUUGUUUUACCUUGGAGGGUAAUUCAUUAUAACUCAACAAUAGAGGGGCUAAAAGGUUUUUCUCAACCUCUUCUAUCUCCCAUAUCUCACUCUCUAAGAUAUUUUGCCAUUCUUUUUCAGUGUUUUUAGACCGCAAGAGACUAGCAAUUGUCUUAGCAGCUAAAGGUAAGCCCUUGCACUUUCUUAUAAUUUCUCGACCAAUUUUUUCUAAAUUUUCACGUUCCUCCAUGGACUUACCAGAAAAUCCUAACGACUCAAACACCAACCAGCAUUCUAUUUCAGACAAUACAUUCACAGAGAUAAUGUCAGCUGAUCCCAUAAUACGGGCAACUGUUUCUUUACGUGUGGUAAUUAAAAUUUUGCUUCCAUGGAGACAAGUCUUUAAACAGUUGUAGAAUUGUUCCCAUUUAUAGAAAUCUUCAUUCCACACGUCGUCUAAGACAAGAAGAAGUUUCUUUCCUGCAACAUGUUUUUGAAUAUGUUGCAUGAGAGAUUGAAACUCAACAAAAUUAGAGGAAGAAUCUGUGAGAGCUUCAAUGAUUGCCCUAGCGAUUCUGAACACAUCAAAUGGCUCUGACACACAAACCCAUAUUCUUUUUUCAAAAUUCUUUUCAACAUCACCGUUGUUGUAGGCAAAUUGAGCAAGAGUAGUUUUGCCUAUGCCCCCCAUCCCAACAAGUGAGAUAACACAGGGGCCUUUCUGUUCUUCACUACUUUCACAUAACAACCUAUUAACGAGUUCGCUCUUCUCUUUUUCUCUACCAAAUAUCUCGGACUCAUCAAUUGAGGAGAUACUUGGUACUCGCUCAUCCGCUCUCUCAUUACUCUUAAUAACAUUCACAGCAAAACCAAACUGGUCUUUUUGUUUGGCAAUAUCAUCAAGAGUUUCAUUGAUUUCUCUGAUCUUGAGAGCAAUGUCCCGACGUAGAACAAGUGGUUUGCAACCAAAGCAAGGGGCAGCAGGAAAGAAGGAACAUACCUUCUUCUUAUGAACGAGAGCAUCAACUCCAUCGAUUUGCAGUUUGAGCCUUGCAGUGCUCCACUCAUCCAACACGUCUUCCAUGUUGUAAGAUGCGUCUCUGAGUUGAUCGAGCCAGAGUCUGACAGUUUCCUCCUUCACUUGCCUUUUCUCUGCAUCAUGGAGCACAGCUUGAAUGGCCCGGAGAUUGCUGGUCAGCUUCUUCACUUCCUUUCCGACACCCGUUACUAGCCUCACUUGUUCCUUCGCCUCUUCAACAGCCAUUGAAGUCAGCUGCUCCAAGAUAGGGGAAAUGAUCGCAUCAACCAUGGUGAAAAAGAAAAAAGAGAGAGAGAAGAAAUUGAUGGCUAGUUGUUGCAAAAGUAAGUAAUGCUGACAGAAAUGAAGGAGCUGAUAAUGUGGUGAAAAUGUUGCCGUAUUCUUUCAAUUCUUAUAGUGCUGCAAGCAAAAUUCCAAUUGUCUUUUUCUUUUUUUUUAAUAAUUUUUUUACCAGUGUGGACUGGAAAUAUUGUCACGUCCUCCGUCCGCGAUUCACGCGGUAUAUGAACUUGACAAAGUUGUUAUAUAUAUUUUUUUGGCUUAAGCACGGGUAUCUUGGGGAGAGCCCAACUGUGGGAGGCACCUUUAAACCCGUACCACAACUCAGAUUAGAAGUUCCCGCUCGAGCCGGGAGGCACAGGUUCUCCCAACAAAGGCGACUUCCCUGCGACUCGAACUGAGGAGCAAACACAGUCAAGCCUCUUAAGGGGACUCCAUUAUCAGUAGAGCCAACACUUUGUUGGACAAAGUUGUUAUAUAAUAGAUUAUCUCUUUUCAAUAAUUGAACAAGUUGUUAUAUAAUUUACGGGUCUUACUAUGUUACAGUUAUGUAUGUAACAGCCCAUGACGUGAUAAAUAAUUUAUUAAGAGUGUACAAUGUCUAAAAAUUUAAUGAUUUGGUAACUGCCCCCGGCUCCAAUUUAGUAACAAAAUUCUUUUCACCUGUUAUUAACCGGUUCCAGAUGACUUACUCAAAUUACAAUUACGUUUGUUAAGAUAUUUGAAUUGAUUAAUUACGUUUAGCUUUCUGUUUUAGCUAGUUAAGUGAGUUUGUUACUAGUGCUGAUGUGGCAGCUGAGUCAGCUAAAUCUGUUAUGAUCGUUAGUUUAAACAAACACAUCACUCGCAUGCAGAGUGUAGAAUAUUCCAUACAGCCGUAUGUAUAAAUACUUGUAAUCCUGCUCAUUUGGGCAUGUGAUCAAUACAAUAUUCUCUCUCUGUUUUCUCAUUCAUUUUCUCUACAGCCAAACAACUCUCUUUUCUUUAACAACGUUAAACAGUGUUUGACUGUGAAGUGUGAAAAAUCGAAUAAUCUUUUUUAAAAAAUUAGUUUUGGAACAAUAAUAAACAAUAACUCAUCAUUAAUUAUUUCUUAUUAUGUAUAAAUUGAUCGAUCUAGAACUGAAUAUUUACAUAUUCUUCUAUUUCUAAUCAUUUCAAAAUUUAAUAUAACUUUUUUUUAAAAAAAGAAUCAAUUUGUAUAAAAUGAUGAGAAUAACGGGUUGAACAUGCGAACACUUUAUUUUCCUUUUGACAAGGCAUAAUAAUAACUUAUAGGUACUGCAAUAUCGCAUGAAGAUUCCUGGAAGUAGCCUGCAGCUCAAAUACUUUUCUUUUGGACAAAAAUCAACAAUAAUUUUCAAACUUAGAAGAUACUCCUUGAAAGAUGGAUAACCCACCCACCAAACACUUUUUUCAUUUAGUGUAACUUUGUCGUUUUCUCGGAAAAUACUUAGAACUGCCAAUAUCUUCUAUAAUUAUUGUUUUAAAAAUCUCAGUUGCAUGCCCAAUUAACAAAUCAGUAGUCUUUGUUCAACAUAUUUAAAACACAAAAAAAAAAAAAAAAUCACACAUUGGUUUGAUGACUUUGUAAUUGAUACAUCAGGAAAUGAAGAGAAAAAGGAACACACUUACGACCAUCAUUGCAGAUGAUAUAAUAGAUGUAAGUAUUUAGCUCUGCACUGCCCCUUGGUAAUUCCCCUGCUUAAAAAAUAUUGUUUUAAAAUCUCAAUAACCAGUAACCACAUGCCCAAGCCCAGCAAAUCAGUUUGACAAGCCAUAUUUUUUUUCAAAAAAAAAAAAAAAAGGAUCGACCAGCACACUAAUUUGGUAAAAUGACUUUGUUCUAAUUGAACAUCAUUAGAAAAAUAAUAAAGAUUAGAGACCAACGAGAAAGCGUAAUUAAACUAAACAAUCUGAUUAUUAAAUCUCUAGUCUCGAGCACCAUUCCAUUGAUCCUCUGAUCGAUCGCACAGGCCUGUCUUGUCGUGUUCCCUUCUACGCAUAAUCGAUUCAUUUACUACAUGAAAUUAAUAAAUUUGAAUAUAUAUUUAUUAAUGUUGAAUUUUUUAGUAAUUUUGUUGCUUUCCAGAGUAUGAUAUCUUUACCGCCUGGAUUUGGACAUAGUUGUUAUAAAAAAUUUGAUUAUUAACUCUCUAGUCUCUCUCGCACCAUUCCAGUAAUCCUCUGAUCGAUCACACAAUCUAUGCAUAAUCGAUUCAUUUACGAAAUGAAAUUAAUCAAUUUGAAUGUAUAUAUUUAUUAAUGUUGAUUUUUUAGUGAUUUUGUUGCUUUUCAGAGUAUGAUAUCUUUACCGCGUGGCUUUGGAUAUAGCUUGGUUAGUUUAACAAAUAUAACGUAACCUAUGAUAUUAUAUAAAUAUUCAAUUAUUCUCUUGGACAGAAGUAAAUUAACUAAAAUUUUAAAAAAAAUGUAAAGAUUAAAAUAUUUUAUAUUUUAUUACGUAAUAAUAUUAGAAUCUUAAACUGCGUUUGGUAUUGUUUUUGUUUUGGUGUUUCUUGUUUUUUUAAUAAUGAAGCAACCUAAAAUUGUUUGGAUAACUUGUUUUUUAAUAGUAUUUAAUUCUAAUAGAGACUGAUUUGUUCUAAUUUUCCAAUAGAAGAAAAGUGGAGAAUAGAAAAAUGAUGUUUUUUUAAUUUUUAUUCUUCAAAUGGAUCCCAUAAUGCUACUUGCACAAUAAUAAAAUAAAAAACCUAUUUACUUUAUAAUACAAUUUUUUAUUUGUUUAAUCUUUUGAAUUUUUUUCUAUGAUGGUAAUGUAUUAUUUUAGUAAUUUUUAAAGGACUUUGAUAUUCUCUAAAAAUAUAUAUAUAUUAUCUCAUGUUUAAAAAAUAAAAAACUGCAAUAACAAAAAAAAUAAAAUAUAUAAUGAUUAAGAAAAUUGAGUUUGUUAAAAAUUUUUCAUUAUGAUUUUUUUUUUCACUCUCAUUCAAUGUCUUCACUUAUUUAGACAAAAAAUUGACGACAUUUUUAUUUUUUUAUAUUUAAACACUAUUUUAGAAAUAAUCAACCAAACAUAUUUUUAUUUUCACUAAAAAUUAAUUAUUUCUAAUUUAUAAACAAAAAAUAAAAAUUUCAUGUAAAAAAUAAUUCUAAAUACAUUCUUAAUAUUUGAGGAGAUGUAUCUUAUUAUAUUAGUUGUAAGAUAGUAUUGGCCUAAAAAAUAUUGUGCGAGAUAGCACAUGCCAACCGGGGCCUUAUCCCUGGUAAAGCUUUAUCAUUGCCAUGUCUUUUCGCUAUUCAUAUGUUAGUGGCAGACAUCGGUGGCCAUUUAAGGGAUAAACACUGCUAUUCUUCUAAUUAAAUCUUGACAAGUGUGCUUUUUAUUUCUAAUUAAGCAAUUCCUAUCUUACAUGCAUGUAAGAUACAUCCCCUCACAUAAACAGUAUACCCACACAUGUAAGAUAAUGGGAUCCUUCUAAUUAUUCUACUGUCCUUAUUUUUUUCUUACACCAUUCAUAGUGGGAAACAGUCGUAAAACCCGAUAAAAGGAAUAAUCUUAUCCCAGCCCAUACGCAAGGAAUGUCGAAUGGCCUACAAGACGUAAAGGUAAUAGCCAUCUAAUAUGCUUUGCUGUCAGCCAUGUGUAUUUUAUUUAUGGAUUUGGCUACCUUACAUUUCAAGUAAGUUUUUAUAUAAUAUUUUAUCAUGUCGGCAGAUUCAUUGAGAUUUGGAGGCAUUUGCUACAAUCACCCGUGAACUUUAAAUAAUUGAACAAGUUUUUAUAUAAUAUGUUAUCAUGUCAGGAAAUUCAUUAAGAUUUGGAAGCAUUUGCUCACAAUCACCCAUGAACUUGAUACUUUUUAGAUUGUUAGAUCUGAAAUAUACAUGCAUUAUUAGCAUAGAAUACCUUGACUAUCUCUUUUUUUCCUUUUUUUUUUAAUGACUCGCUCGCAUAAUUAAUUGAAAAGAAUGAACAAGUUGGCACAAAAUAUUUUAAGAUUCGUCUCGAAUCACUUUGUUUAAAUCUUGUCAUAUUAGUAGACUUGUAAUAUUGGUAGUUUAGAGUUUAAUCUCUAACUUUAACUGUGAAGUGUGCAUUUCAUAUACUCGGCUAACAAAAGAAAAUCAUAUCUUAUUUAGUAAUUUAACGGGAUGAUAAUAUUGAAUGAAAAACUUAUAAUUAUUUUACUAUUUUUAUUAAAAUUAUUAUUUAAAAAUAAUGUUUAAUAUUAAACACUAAUCACAAUCUCUUUCACAAUUAUUAUAAUCUUAGGUGGCGUUUGUUUUUUAAUUUAAUGACUUAAAGUGACUUAACUUAAUUAAUUAAGUUAAUUAGAGAUAUUUAUUUUUAUAACUUAAUGAGACUUUUUAGAUAAUUUUGACUUAAUAAAAUAAGCCAAUUUUUUUUGCUUUUUACUUAAUGGAGAAAUCUCAAUUAAGUCAAUUACUUGCUAAUGUCAAAAAUAUCCCUGCUUUAUAAUUUAUUUUUCAUGUUUAUCCCAAAACUCACUCAUAGACAUUUACCCCACAUAAAAAUAUCCUUGUUUUUUUCUUUCUUAUAUUAUAUAAGAUAAAAUUUGAAAUUUAUGGUAUUUUAUAUAUUAAAAUUCCAAAAUAGUUAUGUAUUCACUUUAAUAUAGUUUUACUUAUAAAUGUUAAAAUAUUGUGGUAUUUAAUAUAUUAUUUAUUUGACAUUCAAAUUUAAUAAGGAUACAAAUGUAAAAGUACAUAUUUUCAGCUUUUUAAGUUGAAAAAAAAAAACAACUUAAUACUUAUUUUCCGAGAUUCAGACGAAAAAACAAACAUAUUAUUUAGAUUCAGACAUUCAGAUUUAUUGAGAAUUCAGACUAAUUCAAGUUUAUUCAGAUUUCAGACAAAAAAAAAAAAAAAACAAACACCACCUUAGUUUCAACCGAGGUAAAUAGCCGAACUCUUUUCUUUUUGAAGGAGCACAAUAACAACUUGAAGAUUCCUGGAAAUUGACUACAGCACAAAUAUUUUUCAUUUGAACAAAAACCAUCAAUAAUUUUCAAACUUAGAAGAUAUUUAUUUUUUUCCCCAUAACCCACCAAAAACUUUUUCAUUUAGUGUAACUUUGUAAUUUUCUUAGAUGAUACUUAAAACUGCUAAUAUCUUCUCAUUAUUGUUUUAAAAAUCCCAAUAAUUGCAUGUCCAAUUAACGGAUCAAUAGUCUCAGUUCGAUAUAUUUAUUAAAAAAAUAAGAAAUACACAGUUGUUUGAUGACUCUGGAAAUAAAGAGAAAAAAUAACACCCUUUAUGACGACCAUUGCGAAUGACAUAACAGAUGUCAGUAUUUAUUACCAAUUAAUUGACAUUCUUAUUAUCAAGUAAUUGUUUUAGACUCGAAUUCAAAAGCUCAGCCCUGCCCUUCGGUAAUUCCCCUGUUCAAACAAUAAUAUUGUUUUAAAUAUCUCAAUAACAACAUGUCCAACAAAUCAGUUUGACAUGACAUAAUUUUUGUCAUAACGACUUUGUUGUAACUGAAACAUUAUUGGGAAAUUAAUGAAGAGUAGAGAGCAAUGAGAAAGCUUAAUUAAUUAGCUAAACAAUUUUGAUUAUUAACUCUCUAGUCUCUCUUGCACCAUUCCAGUAAUCCUCUGAUCGAUCACACAAUCUAUGCAUAAUCUAUUCAUUUAAUUAAUCAAUUUAAAUAUAUAUAUAUAUAUUAGAGUGACGCUAUUGGCACCCCUCUAUAUCAAUUAAAGAAAUAUAUUUUAAAGGGAGCUCGUAAGUAAUUUACAACCCUUCAAACUUACGUGAACAGUAAUAGUAAUAGUAAGUGGUGGGAUGAUCUACUGCAUGAAUUUUAAAGGAACUAUAAAUUAUUUAACAAAAUCUUAUUUUAAAACGAUUGUGCGGGACACAGCACAUGCCAACCCGGGCUUUAUCCGAGUUGAAGCUUUUAUCAUUGCCAUGUCUUUUCACUAUUCAUAUAUGUAGUGGCAGACAUCGGUGGCCAAUUAAGGGAUGAACACAACCAACCACUCCACCAAGUAAAUCUUGACGCGUGUGCUUUUAUUUCCAAUUAUUCUACUGUCUUUUUCUAAUUACUUUUAUCGCAGAAGUAAUUAAUUCUGAAGGAAAUGAAGGAGCUAAUAAUGUCGUGAAAGUGCUGCCACAUUCUUCCAAUUCUUAUGCUGCAAGCAAACCUCCAAUUUACAAAUAUUUCAUUUCAAAAGAAGUUAUUGUUAUUAUUAUCUUUCUUUUUCUUUUUAAUUUUUUUGACCAGCGUGGACUGAAAAAUAUUGUCAGGUCCUACAUCCGCGAUUCACUCAGUAUAUGAACUUGACAAAGUUGUUAUAUAAUCCCAAUAAAAAGAGACCGUCUUUUUUUUUUUUUACAUUAUUCAUAGUGGGAGACAAUGGUGAGGGCCUAGGGAUGAAAGUAAAACUAAAAGUUUAAUAGUGUUUGGUUAACAUUAAUUGUUGUAACUUAAAAGAUAUAUUCAUAUAAUUUUUCAGCUGUAUAAUAAAAAAUUUAUUAUAUUUUUAAUAAUUUUAAUAAAAUUAUUAUUUAAAAUUUAUAUUCAUUAUAUUAUUAAGUUUUAUUUUAUAAUUACAGAUUAUGGGAUGUAAAGGAGUUUGGGAGCUGUAGCCUUUAGUUGGCUUAGGGAGAUGUUAAAGUUUUGAGAAAUGCUUAGAAAUUUAUUUUAUAAUUUGUUUUAAAGUUUAUUUUAUAAUUUAUUUAUAACGUAUAUAAUACGUUCUCAAUUUUAUUACUAUAAAGUUGAAUCUAUUUUAUUUACUUUAUAAUUUUUUUAUUCGGGUUCACUGACCGUGUACUACAGCUAGAUUCUAAAAACAAAAAAUGAAAAUAUAGUCUAGAGAAAUAACAUCGAACAGACUCUAACUUAUCAUCUUCACAUCAUCAUUUUGAAUUUCUUUAAUUAAUUCUUUUCAUUUUACUCUUCAAUAAUAAAUGUCACUUCAACUCGUGUGUGUACAUAAUAUAGGAUAGAAAAAUAAUGUCGAACAAACUCUAACAUAUCAUCUUCGAAUCAUCUUUUUGAAUUUCUUUAAUUAAUUCUUUUCAUUUUACUCUUCAUUAAUAAAUGUCACUUCAACUCGUGCGUUUGUAUAUUCAUACUGUAGAAAUUAAAAGUUUGAGUUUAACUAUUGUAGAUGAAGUUAUGUUUUAAUCAUUAUUACUAUUACUAUUAAUUAAUUUAUAUUAUUAUUAUUUAUUAAUUUUAUUAUCAUUAACUAUUACCUCUGAUUUAUUAUUGUAUUAUUAACCACAACAAAUAAAUAAUAAUAAUAAUAAUAAUAAUAAUAAUAAUAAUAAUAAUAAUAAUAAUUUAUUUGAGGACAAAAGUGAAAUUAUGAAAUUUAUAAGGUGGUAAAAUAGAGAGUUCAAGGAAUAGAAUCCUCUCAUAGAAAUCAAGUUUAUGUUCUUUAAUUCCCAAAAACACGAGCCCUAUAUGUUUCAUUCCCAUUUCUAUCUAUAUUUUAGUAAGUAAACAUCAUCAAUCAUUUUCGUUUUGAAUUAUGAUUUUUCAAUCCGAGCCAGUAAAAGAGAGAGUUAAACUUGACUCACCGGCUUUUCUAAUUGUUCUGAUUUGUUGUAUAAUUUAUUCUAAAGUUUAUUUUAUAAUUUAUUUAAAACGUAUAUAACACGUUCUCAAUUUUAUUACUAUAAACUUACGCUGUAUUGUCUAGUCUUAGUAAGUAACGACUCAAUUGGUUGUGGGAGGAUCCCUUCCGCUUUGACCAAAAAAACUGUUUCGAGGACAGUAUUCUAACUCAACUCAAGUGCGGAACAAAGAAAGAAACGCUAAGAACAUUAAUGAAAGUUAACAUACAGAGCAAACAAGUCAAGAGCACACACAAGAGGAGAAAUAAUUAACACUAUUAUUUUACAUGGUUGAGUUUCUCUAAGCCCACGUCCACGAAGACAGACACUUGCCCAAGGAAAUAAUUGACCAAGGAAUUUACAAGGAAACUCUCUUUUCCAGAAGUUACAAGAGCCCUGACACUAUUCCUCUCGAGGUCUAGUUCAAGUCGCACAGGCCUCUCGAGCUCCCUCAAGAACUCUGCUUUCUUGCUGUUCAAGAAAGCGCCUGAUUGGAAUCACAUGCUCCACGUGACAUCUGGCAUAACUAAAUCUGCUGCCGUACCCGGCCAGUUUAUGAUGCCACUUAUGAUACCCUGUCUCGUCAGCUUCCUUGCCCUGGGUCAUCAUAGGACCUUACAUCUUGGAACCUCCAUGAAAGCUGAAUCUCUAACAGCCCAUCAUAAAAGAUAUUAGUUUUAAAAUAGGGAAAUUACCAAAAAUACCCGCACAUUUUGAAAUUUGUCAAAAAAUGAAGAGUAGAAAGCAAUAGGAAAAUGUAAUUAACUAACCAAUUUGAUUCCUCUGAUUGCUUUCAUCUCAGGACUGUUUGUCUUCCCGUCCGUCUUCGAUUCCGCAAGACGAUCUUGGCUUGAAUUUAUACAUCAGAAGAAAAUAUCAGUAUGCCCAAAAUAAAAAGUUGCUUCCAGCGCAGAAAUAAGAGAAAUUGACACGCCUUUUUCCAUCACAGCGGAUGGUAUCAUAUGGAAGUAUUCUGUCGCAGACUUAACAUACUUAUCAAGUAAUUCAUAAUUCCUAGUUUAAAAAGUAGAGCAAUUGGAUAUCUAAUCCCCGUAAAUUCAAGAUAUAAUAACUCUUGACAAUUAUAUAUUCAUAUACAUGUUAGUAGCGUGAUGCUACCAAUAUUCGCACCUUUAGCAUUCAAACACUUGAUCAUUGAAAGAAUUUAAGAAAAAUGUUGUUUGGUUACUGAGAAAAUAUCUCAACAAAAUUUUCAGAGAACUUUCCAGAAUUCUUGCCUUUAUUUCACUUAAUGAAAAAUGUUACAAUUACAUUCAAUUUAUAUUCGAUGCUUUAGCAUUACUAAUCUAUAACUAACUCAGAACAUACUACACAUGCUUAACUACAGCUCAAUAUAUACAGAGUAAGUCAUAACAAACUUCUAACUACUUAUGCUGAGGUGGCAACUGAGCUGUUAUUCUGCUUAAUCAUCUGACGUCACCAACUUGCUGGUUUUCCUCAGCUUGAGCGUCUUCUUCCUUUCUGUACAAUGAGCUUCUUUAACAAUCAUUGAAGCAGCCUUUCUCUGUUUCUCGCCAACCUAGCUCCGACAUUAAUCUAUAGAGUUAUCAAGACUGACAUUCGAUGACGUAAUCAUAUAAAGUUGUGCUUAUGCCUACAAAAUGGCUGAAUAACUAACCAAUUCGAUUCCUUAUUGCACCAUUCCUGAAUCCUGUCCUCUGAUCGGUUUCAUCUCAGUACUGUAGGCCUCUUCCCGUCUUCCAUAUCGCAAGACACUUCACCUAGCCCAAAACAUACCGUUCUUGGCUUGAAAAUGGAAAGUCUCGUGCAGUGCAGAAAUCAGAGGAAUUAACCCACUUAUGACCAUCGUGUGUGUAUAUAGUAGACGAUGUCAUCGAUACUUAUUUUGUCACAAAAUUAGUUAACAUACACUCAUAUAUAAAGCUGAAGUAAUUAGAUUUCUAAUGAGUGUUUAAGAUAUUACAAAUUAAAAUGUUGCAUACUCUGGACAUUAACAUAACAUAAAAUUUGAUCCACAAUUUACUCAAUUUCUGAGUUGGCUUACCAAAAGUAUUGUGGCAGAAAUAACCUGCAGAUUCUGAUAAGCUGAUAACAGAAGCUUUACAGAACACUCCCCCAAAAAUCUUGGAUUAGAAUCAACAAGAUGCCUUACAAAGAUAACUAGAGAGCUAAUGAAUUAAUGUUCUAUUAACUAAGACCAAGAUUGUGUUUAGAAACAAACAAAGAAAUGAAUUGAAUACAAGAAAUCACAUAACACAGCUAGCUAACGUGGUUCAGUCAAUUUGCAUUGACUUACAUCCACGGGGGAACAAACUAAUCAGCUUUAUUUGAAUUAUCUCAAGUAUUGAUUACAGAGAUUACCAAGCACUUAACAAGAACAAGAAAACUCCUCUUUCUCAAGCUUUCUUUCUCUCGUUACAAUGCUCUCAGUCUCUCCACAACUCUUACUGUUUCCAGCUGCGUAUCACAGCUUAUAAAUCACCUCAGAGGCAUUUCCAGAAACACACGUGAGGACCAUGUGCAAUAACGGCUUCAUUAACAACCUUUUGUUUGCACGUGUUCUGCUCGUGUUUCAUUAACUCCAAAACGACAAGACUGUAUGUCGUUGUAACAAGCAAUUCAUUUACUUUAUUAAACGCAGUCUUUAUGCGUCGUUUUACUGAAGUUAUCAAGCAUCACAAAACGCAAGCCAACACUGUCGUUUCAUCCUCUUUGAUUUGAUUCACUGAAUACUCAACAAAACUCCACCUUGAAGCAAAUCAUCCCUGAUAACUUUCUCCCCAUUUUUGUGUGCAUUUCUCAGGAGCUGCACACGCCAGUCAAAUCCAAGCAGAGGUUGAAUUUGGCUGUAGGUACUACUUUUGUAAGCAUGUCAGCUGGGUUACUGUCAGUGUGAAUUUUAACCAUUUUGAUGACUCCUUUAGACACUUCAUUCCUAAUAAAGUGUAGCUUCACAUCAAUGUGUUUGGUUCUUUCAUGGUGUACUGGAUUCUUGCUCAGAUAGAUUGCACUCGAGCUGUCACAAUGGAUAUCAACAGACUGUUGCUUCUUGCCCAAUUCAGCUAACAUACCCUUAAGCCACAAAGCUUCUUUAACAGCCUCUGUAGCUGCAGUGUAUUCAGCUUCUGUAGUUGACAAAGCUACAAUGUGUUGAAGGCUUGCUUUCCAGUUGAUUAGACAACCAUUUAGCAUGAACAUAUAGCCUGUUAAAGACCUUCUUCUGUCAUUGUCCCCUGCAAAGUCUGAGUCUACAUAUCCACAUAGUCCAUUAUUUCUCCCCUCUGAUCUCCCAUAUUGCAGUCCAAGUCCCAAGGUACCCUUUAAGUAUCUCAGGAUCCAUUUCACUGCAUUCCAAUGCUCUUUUCCUGGUGUUGCCAUGUAUCUGCUCACAAGGCUUAAAGCAUAUGCAAGAUCUGGUCUGGUUAAUACCAUUGCAUACAUCAUGCAUCCAACAGCAUUUGCAUAUGGAAUUUUUAACAUUUCAGAUUUCUCUUCAUCAGUCUGAGGACAUUACUGAUUUGAAAGUCUGAAAUGUGAUGCUGGAGGUGUCAUGACAGGUUUACAGCUUUGCAUCCCAAAGGUGUCAAGUACCUUAGCUAGAUACUUCUCUUGAGUUAGAAAUAUCUUACCCUCCUUUCUGUUUCUCCUUAUUUCCAUGCCUAAGAUCUUCUUGGCAUGCCCUAAGUCUUUCAUGUCAAAUUCUGAGCUGAGCAGUAACUUCAAGGCAUCAAUCUCAUCUCUUUGUUUGCAGGCUAUUAACAUAUCAUCCACAUAUAAGAGUAAGUAUAUGUGGAGGUCUGCUUUUGUUGUUUUGUAGUAAACACAACAAUCAAAGCUGCAUUUAUUGAAUCCAUGAGAUGUUAUGAGCUCAUCAAAUCUGAGGUACCACUGUCUGGGUGAUUGUUUUAACCCAUACAGUGACUUCUUCAGCAAACACACAUGAUUUGGCUUCAUUUGGUCUGUAUACCCUUCUAGUUGUGUCAUAAAGAUUUCUUCUUGUAGGUUCCCAUGCAGGAAGGUUGUUUUGACAUCGAGUUGAUCAAGCUCCAUGUCAUAAACUGUUGUUAGAGCCAAUAAGACCCUUAUUGAUGCAUGUCUAACCACAGGUGAGAAUACUUCUUUGAAAUCAAUGCCCUCCUUCUGUGUGUAUCCUUUAGCUACCAGCCUAGCCUUAAACCUCCUAGGUUCUGAAGCUGACACCCCAUCUUUGAUUCUGUAUAUCCAUUUGCAUCCCACUAGCCUUCUGUUAUCAGGCUUUCUUACUAGCUCCCAUGUAUUGUUUUUAUAAAGAGAAGCUAUAUCUUCUUUCAUGGCUUUCUGCCAUUCAGCCUUGCUUGUACAGUUAACUGCUUCUUUGUAGCUCUUAGGUUCUGUUUCAUCAAUUUCAUGUGAAGUAGCAAGUGCAUAAGCUAUUAGAUCUGCAUAGCCAUAUCUCUUUGGAGGUCUGAUGGUUCUUCUUUCUCUGUCUUUUGCCAACUGAUACUCUUCAAGCUCAGUUUGAUUCUGGUGAUGUUGAUGUUCUGUAUUGUGAUCUUCAUUUUCAGAAUUAUCUUCAUCUGAUUCUGCAGCUUCAUUUGAAGAUUUCUGAAAUGAGUGCUCCACCUCAAACUGGAUACUAUUAGUACCUCUAUCUUGAGAUUCAGCAGCCUCAGCUGGGUUAUUAGAUGACAGCUCAGUCUCCUCAUUGAACACCACAUCCCUGCUUGUUAUGCAUCUGGGUGGAGUCAGUUCUGAACACCAUAACUUGUAACCCUUCACUCCAUCUAGAUAACCUAUAAACUGUCCCUUUAAGGCUCUAGGUUCUAAUUUUCCCUGGUUUGUGUGUACAUAUGUUGUACACCCAAAUACUUUGAGGUUGUUGUAGUUUCCAGGUUUACCAGACCAAAGUUCAUAAGGGGUCUUGAACUCAAUGGUUGUUGAAGGACUUAGGUUGACCAGAAGACAAGCUGUUAACAAGGUUUCUGUCCAGAGCCCUUUUGGCAGCUUUGACUGAAUCAUCAUGCACCUGACUUUAUUCAUUAAAGUUCUGUUCAUCCUUUCAGCAAGCCCAUUUUGUUGAGGAGUCAUUCUCACUGUUCUAUGUCUGCCAAUGCCCUCACUAGCACAGAAGUCAUCAAACAUCUUAUUACAAUAUUCAAGUCCAUUGUCUGUUCUUAGCUUUUUAACCUUCUUUCCUGUUUGGUUUUCAACUAAGGCUUUCCAAUCCUUAAACUUGCCAAACACUUGAUCCUUUGUUCUGAGAACAUACACCCAAACCCUUCUCGAAAAAUCAUCAAUUAUAGACAUGAAGAAUCUAUUCCCCCCCAUAGAUGGAACUUGAGAUGGCCCCCACAGAUCUGAGUGGAUGUAUUCCAGAAUGUCUCUAGUCUUAUGCUGGGAUUUCUUGAAACUAGCUCUUGUAGACUCCCUAGGACACAGUCUUCACAAAAAACUAAUUCCCCAAUCUUAUCACUCCCUAGAACACCCUGCUUAGCUAAUUCUUUAAUACCCUGAAUGCUCAUGUGCCCUAGCCUUAGAUGCCAUAACCUGGUUGCAUCCAUGUUAACCUUAGUGGAUACACUGGACUCUCCAGUUACCACUUCACCAUCUAAAACAUAUACACCAUUCUUUCUACUUCCUUUCAUAACCAGUGUAGCCUCAUUAAGGAUUUCAAUUUUUCCAUGUUCAAGCCUAACACUAUAACCAACUUGGUCAAGCAUCCCUAAGGAGAUUAAGUUUCUUUUAAGGUCUGGUACAUGUCUCACCUGCUUGACUUCUCUAAUGGUUCAAUUAUGUAGCUUAAGGCUUAUAUUUCCUAUCCCAAUGACUUUGCACACUGCAUUAUUUCCCAUCAUAACCUUUCCCCCAUCAAUCUUAUGAUAUUCAGAAAAGAAAUUUUGGCAAGGACUUAUAUGAAAUGUGCAUCCAGAGUCAAGGAUCCACUUACCCUUCUGCACUUCUUCUGUUGCCACACACACAUCAGCUGAUUCAUAUCCCUCUUCUUCAACAAUAGCUGCAUCACCAUUCUGUCCCUUCUUCUUGAAACUCUUCUCUGGGCAGUCUUUCUUGAAGUGCCCCUCCUUGUGACAUUGGAAACACUUCAGAUUUUUGUUCUUGUUCUUUGUCUUGCCUUGUUUCUUUUUCUUUCCAUCAGUCUUGUCAAUCUUUUCUUUCACAGUCAGCCCCUCUCCAUGUACUCUAUUUGCUUGUUUCUCUUGUAACCCUCUUGUAUUUAAAGCAGCUUUAACCUCAUCCAGGGAUAGGGAUUGUCUACCAUACAUGAGAGCAUCAACAAAGUUUGAGUAUGAAGGAGGUAGGGAGCUUAUCAAGAGUAGAACUUUGCCUUCAUCAUUCAGCCCUUCAUCAAUGGUUUCCAAGGUAUCACAAAUCUUAUUGAACUCAUCGAUGUGCUCAUCAAAAGAGGAUCCCUCAGCCAUCUUGAGUGAAAACAUUCUCUUCUUGAUGUACAAUCUGUUUGCCAGUGAUUUAGUCAUGUAUAAGCUCUCAAGUUUUGCCCAUAACUGUGCCACUGUCUUCUCCUUAGCAACUUCUCUGAUAACUGAGUCACUGAAACUCAAGAUUAUGGUGCUCUUGGCCUUCUUGUCAAUUUCAGCAAUUUGCUCAGGAGUGCAUGAUGAAGACCCCUCUUUACCUUCUUUCUUGGUUGCUGGUCCAAUGGCAUCACCCAGCCCCUGUGUGAUCAACAGUGCCUCCAUUUUCACUUUCCACAUGUUGAAAUCAUUCUUUCCAUUAAACUUUUCUAAAUCAAUCCUCGGAGCAGCCAUACUUGGAUUUAAUCUUUCAAUCUAGCUCUGAUACCAAUUGAAGAUUCUGAUAAGCUGAUAACAGAAGCUUUACAGAACACUCCCCCAAAAAUCUUGGAUUAUAAUCAACAAGAUGCCUUACAAAGAUAACUAGAGAGCUAAUGAAUUAAUGUUCUAUUAACUAAGACCAAGAUUGUGUUUAGAAACAAACAAAGAAAUGAAUUGAAUACAAGAAAUCACAUAACACAGCUAGCUAACGUGGUUCAGUGAAUUUGCAUUGACUUACAUCCACGGGGGAACAAACUAAUCAGCUUUAUUUGAAUUAUCUCAAGUAUUGAUUACAGAGAUUACCAAGCACUUAACAAGAACAAGAAAACUCCUCUUUCUCAAGCUUUCUUUCUCUCGUUACAAUGCUCUUAGUCUCUCCACGACUCUUACUGUUUCCAGCUGCGUAUCACAGCUUAUAAAUCACCUCAGAGGCAUUUCCAGAAACACACGUGAGGACCAUGUGCAAUAACGGCUUCAUUAACAACCUUUUGUUUGCACGUGUUCUGCUCGUGUUUCAUUAACUCCAAAACGGCAAGACUGUAUGUCAUUGUAACAAGCAAUUCAUUUACUUUAUUAAACGCAGUCUUUAUGCGUCGUUUUACUGAAAUUAUCAAGCAUCACAAAACGCAAGCCAACACUGUCGUUUCAUCCUCUUUGAUUUGAUUCACUGAAUACUCAACAUAACCAAAUCAACCCAGGUCCUUAUAUGGAGCCCCUGUGCGUCAAUUAAAGUAAAAGCUCGAUCCUCUGUUAUCCGAAAUGGUCAAACAAACAUUAAACCAAAAUGUUGAAGUCUCUUUCUUUUGCAAUUCUAGCUCUAACUGAUGAGAUUGAUCGAAAAGAAUAACCAACAUUAAGAUUAAUUUUUAUUUCCAUUACUAGGAAAUAGAUAAUUAAAUAGAAUUCUCAGUAAAGCUCACCAAUAUCUGUCUCCGUCAUCACAUAGAUAUAUCAGACUAGCUAUCUAAUCCUUUUAUUUUAUUUUUUUCCUUUUUCAUUCAACAGCUUCAGCAUAUAACAAGAAAGCUUGGGCUCCUACAAUGCUUAGGCCUCAUCACGAUUAAGUACUUGUACGGUAGCGCAAGUAGCAGGCCUGGCACCACUCUGGAUCUACUAGAGAAAUUUAUUUUACACACGUGCCCUGAAAAUCUGUUACAUAAAUUAUGUCCUAAUAAUCAGCAAUAAUUCAAAGAUGCGGAUAAAAAAAACACUAUAAUGUACAAACAUACACCUUGUUCAUAUUUUUUUGUAUCACAUGAGACAUAAAUAGGGAUGGCAAUGGGGAGGGUAGGGGAGGGGACCAAUCUCCCCGUACCCAUCCCCGAUGUUUUGCGUAUGUCCCCGUCCCCGUCAGAAUUACUUAAGAGAAUCCCCAUCCCCUCCCCGAAUAAUAAUAGGGGAUCCCCGAGGGUUCCCGAUCCCCGAAUAACUAAUACAUUUUUUUGUUUUCAAUUUGAAUUAAUCAUAUUAAAAUAAAAAAUUCAAAUAAAAGUAAAGUUCGAAAAAUAUCUUACAUUAAUAUCCAUUACAAUAGUCACAUACAUUAAAUUAGUAAGUAACGCAACAUGCAAGGGAUACAAACUUCUUUUACAAACUAUCAUGAACAAAUUAAUAGUCUAAUACAAAAUUGUUACAAAUAAAAUUGAAUUUAGAUUCAAAAUUAACUUUUUCAAUGGUGGCGUGGGCACUUUAUAAAUGUGGACUAUUCCCUUUACAGCACAAUAGUUAAGUCGGAGCAAAUCAAGAGCAAAUAUUAGAUUAGAUAUUAAAAUUGUGAUUUGUUGUGGGCAAUUAUAACAUCUAAAAAUAAAUAAAAAUUAGAUUUAAGUUUAAAAUAUUUAAUGAAUAUUAAAAUUAAAACAAAAUUUUUGGGCUAAUAGAAUCUAUCCGGUCUUUUUAAUGUCCUAAAUAAAAAUUUAGGACUUUAAUUAGUUAAUUAGGCCUAAAAGUUUAAUAAUAUAAAUAUUUUGAUAUUUGUUAUUUUUACCAAUUUUUAUAAUUUCAUAAUUCAAAUUUUAUUAUUUAUUUACUAGUAAUUUUAAAAAAUUAAAAAUUAAAAUUAAAAUGGGGAAAUGGGUAGGGGAUAGGGAUUCCACCUCAUCCCUGUCCCCUCUCCGAAUAAGAAAUUGGGUAAAAAAAUUUCCCCGUCCCUUCCCCGAAUAAGAAAUUGGGUAUGAAAUUAUCCUCAUACCCUCCCCGAAUGGGGAAAAUCCCCAAGGGUACCCGUCCCCGUGGGGAUUUUUGCCAUCCCUAGACAUAAACUCCUCAAGAGUCAAGUCCGACAUUUAAUUCAACCCAUAAACUUGUGCUUGUAGCCCGCAUAAAUGGUUAAACAAAUAUUAUAUUUUCGACUUGAAGAUUGGAUUACAAAUAUAUAAUAGGAAAGUAAAAUGGAGGAGGAGAAAGAAAUUACAUGUAGUAAUUGAGAAAUUACUGCCAAAAAUAAAAUUACCUGUAGGAAUUUUAUUUGGUUAGUAAUUGAGAAAGAAAUUACCUUAGGUGUUGGCUGAAAGGAAUUUAGAUCUAUCAAAAAUAGAUGUAAGCAAUUAAAAACUAAAAAUUAAUUACUUAAUUAAUUUUUUCAGAAGUACUGUUCACUGUUACUGUUUACGGUUCUGUUCACCACAACUGUUUACAGUUAUUGUUCAUCCGCAUAAAAAAUAUUAAUUUUCCAAAAACACAAUAAAAUGCAGAAAAUAAAUGACACAGAAAUUUUUACGUGGUUCGUAUUAAUCAAUCCUACAUCCACGAGGCCACGCCAAGAUGAAAAACAAUCACUAAGUUGAGAUGUUACAACUUAUGAAUUUACCAAACUUAAGACUCUCACUUACAGUUUAUCACCAUACAGUUUACUCAACCUUAGACUAAAUCUGCUUCUCUUAAAUAAUUGCUACCCCUCUUGAUCCACGAUCCUCAAGGCACUUCGCAAAGUGAUCAAUAGCAAUUCUUCAAUUUUUCAAUUCUUCAACGUCUAGUGAUCCAAGAUCGACAUAGAGUCUCAACAAAGAUGAAAAGAAGAUAAUAAAACAAAUCAACACAACAUGGUGCGCCAAAUUCGGAUUCUCUAGGGAGGAGGCCGAAUUUUGCUUCUCUGCUUUAUGCUUUGUGUUGUGCCUGUCUUCAAUUGUGAAAUACCUCUAUUUAUAUAGGCACUAGGGUUUCACCAAAAUAGCAAGUUUGAAAAGACUUAGAUACUUUCCAAAUAAGAGUUUCUUUCGUUUUAUAAUUCCUAUGAAUCUGAAUAGGAAUAAAUAUGAUCUUCUUGCAUUACUUGUCUCCUAAGAAAUAUCUAGAGCAUUUAAUGACUUAUUGUUUGAACCAACUUCUUGCUCUAAAUAGAUCUCAUGCGCUAAUAAUAGAAUCCCACCAUUAAUUGACUUGCUAAAAUAGACAUUUAAUUAAAUUAGGAAACAAAUAUUCCUAAUAAAUUGGAAUCUCACUAAAUUAGGAAAUUAAUAAAUUAAUCCCUAUUACAAGAUAUGCAAUAAAUAAACUUCCAAUUUAACUAGACUUGUCAUAAAAUGCCAACUCUAUAAACAAUGGACUUAACAAUGGCGAUGGUACUUGCGGUACUCGUUUUAAAAAUCCUCAAGGUUCGAAUUUGACAUAUUGGUGAUUGAUUAGGAUGCUGGGAAUGUGGCAUAUCUUGGGGCAGUCCUCUCCUGUUUCCUUUAUGUGAUGCUCUUCUAAAACAUAACACGAACUAAUACCUGAAUCCUGCAGUGUUGUUUGUUGUGCGCGGAAUGCGGAAUCAAGCGCAUCAAAUAAUCACAGAAAAAUAAAGGACACAAAAUUUAACUCAGAUACUAUCUAUGAAUAAUAUAACUCAGUACCUCACUUCAUGCAAGCUUUGAUAUAUUAUUCCUUCUAUCUAUUUAUCCACUGCUAAUUGUUUUAUAAAAAAUUUGGUGCACUGAAGUGAACCCAAUAACUCCUAGCUAGAAGCAACAAUGUCCAAUUAAGCCGCUGAUACAAUCAAUCAAACAAUAAGGAAAGGAUCAACAACACAAAAAGCACACGCAAGGCACAAAGAUUUACAUGAUAUAUCCACAGGUGGUGAUGCUGGUAUCCACUAUACGUGUGAUGAAAACAAGUGUAUAUAUAUAAAGAACACCAACUGUCUCCUCACAAUAACCCCCUAGAAUACAAGCGCAAAUAAAAAUGAGGCAAUUCCUGCUCUGCUCUGCCCUCAUGUACGUAACUCCUCUGCUAAGAAAUAUUGCCUUAAAAUAUCGGUAGCAUAUGCAUGCAUGACCAGCAAAUCAGUUAGACAUAUAAAAUUAUCAACCACACAGGAAAUCAGCAAAUCAGUGGUUUCAUGAAUUUGUAAUAUUUGAACAUCAGAAUAUGAAGAGUACAGGGCAAUGGGAAAAAGUAAUUAACCAACCAAAUAACUUUAAAUCCAAAUAAGAUAAGUAACGUAUGAAAGGAGGGUUGAAGCCCACCUUAGAAACUCCUGUCUAUGAAGGCCAAUAAAUCUCCUGUUAUCUGUUUGCUUAGAUCUUUAUGUAUUCCUAUACACUUUUUACUCUACUCUGUUGUUCAACCUUCCUUGGCUUUAUGCAUCUAUUUUAUGUGUAUUGAGAAGGCUAGUUACCAGGUGUCAACUCUUCUCUUUAAAAGAUAAAGUUUUGAGUAAAGGAAAGAAAGACACCCACGGCCAACUACCUUGUCAUAUUUUGCAUACCAAAAUUGGAUAUUAAUUAUGGUCACUGUCUUCAACCUGCUAACCAAAUUCAAAAAAAUUGGUCUUCCCGAUUGAGUAAGUGAGCCCUGAAAAGACAUUACCCAGCUUAAAAGCCAAAUGAAUGUAGACUUGUGAUUGGUGUAAUUGGUUUUAAAGAAAUUAGUAUGCAUCCCCACUGAAAGCCAGUAAAUAGAGUUGAAGAAGAUGCUAAUGUGCCACAGCUAACAUAAGCAUAAUUUGAUCAGCUCUAGAACAACUGCUGUGGUCCGAUGCUGCAGGCAAAAAAUUUGACCAACGAAGCAGCCUCACUCACCAACCUAGCCCCAAAUAAAUCUUUUGAAAUGCCUUGAAAACCUUAACAUUAUAUCCAAAUAAACAUAACUUGUGUUUGUGGCGUAAUGAGAUUGCAGUGCAUUCGUAGAGUGUACACUUAUCUGCCAUUUCGUCGGAACAAAUUUUUUUACUUCUCUUAAAAUUUGCAUAAUAAAUAGCAAUAUGGACAAGUACCUACUUAUGAAAGUGUUAAGAUAUUUUUACAUUUCUUCUUUUUUUUUUAAGGAGUAAAAGUGAUUAUUCAUUUUGUUGAUGCCCAUUUACUCUAUAAAUGCCACCAUGAUCACUGAGAUAUGUUCAUGAAUAAGCAUCUACCAUCAGAUCGAUUCGAAAACGGAAAGGAAUAGAGAAAUAAAAGGUGAAACAAAUGAAAUAAUUAAAAGGAGAGGAACGAGAUUCCAUUGUCUGGUUAUAACUGGAAAUCAAGCAUGAAAAAGGAAUUGAUUUUUCUUUUUUGGUUGACAGAAUACACUUUCAACUAGAAAAAAUAAUUUGAAUUUGAUAUUUAACAGAAAAUUCAAAUAAAAUCAAAUUCAUUUGUAAUUUAAGUUCAUUUCACUCUUAAAAUUUGACAUAUAGAAUAAAAUUUAUAACUGUUUCAAAUACAAAAACAUAUUACUAUUCAAAAUAAUAAAAAUUUUCAUGGCAAAAAGUUAAAAAAAUAAAAUAAAACUGUUUGAUGGAGAAUGAAAUUGAGCAGGGAAAGUUUGAUGGAAGAUGCACAAAUACGAAACUGGUCCUCAAAUUAUUGUGUAAUCCAUUUUGCAAGAAAUUUGAUAGCCUGAUUAUGUUAUCCACGUCUUGAACUUUUCAAGUUAUGACGUGUCAGGAUUUGUUGCUAAACCAUACAAUUAUGAAAUUUUGCUACUCAAUCUUGUAUUGUUGUAUUUCCUUGCUUUCAGUUUUCUUGAUCAGAACAAACAACAUAAAUAAUGAUGCUAUAUUAAAAAAAAUUAAAAGAAUUUCACUCGCCCUUCAUUUGUUAUCAGCAAUAUGAUUUGCCUGGGAUCUUUCGGCUUAAUCUUCCAGUGCCCAUUAGCCAGACUUGCAUUCUCAGCAAUUCUUCUCCAUUUCUUAAUCCUUUUAUCCAUAUGCUUUGUUAAUGCACAGUACUGUUGCAAUUUCUUAGGCAUUGCAUCAUAAACUUGCCACCAUUUCUUAUGAGCUGAAUCACUGGCAAAUACAUGGCGACUCACCAUGUCCCAAUUGCAAUCAUAGUCCUUGUAACACAUCCAUGGCUUUAACCCCAGAUAAUGAAUUGCAUAAAGACCAUCGCCCACUUGAUGUUCCUUAUCGUCUUGCUUUGAAAACACCUUCAAAUGGUUUAUUUUCUUAGGCAACCUAUGCCACCAUGUGAACACUUCGUUAAGAAAUCCCUGGUCACCUCCAUUGUAUGACGAAACCUUAAAGCUUUUGAGCAUCAUAUCUUCAAACUUGCACAAUGAUGGCUCAAUCACCAUCAACCCAGAAUUGAACAACACUUUGUCAUUUCCUGCUGCUGAUAAUUCAGGGUAAAAGAAGAAUUCAUCGAUGUUUUUGAGUACUAAAAGAUCAGAAUCAAUGAAGAUAAUUUUAUCAUAUUCAGUGAGUUGCCAUACUCUAAGCUUACUAUAAUUCCACUCAUUGUACGAAUCUUUCUUGGAAAAGGGGCUACGUAUGCGCGAAAUCCACUUGGUUUUCCAUCCGGCAGCUCUCAGGCCGCGGAGAGACUUGCCACUUAUUGAUUUAUCAUGAAGGAGAACGAGAUCUCUAGUCGAGUUUUUUUGGAUUAUGCUUUGCGCUAAAGCUAUUGCACCACAUACAUAAGCUUCUGAUGAAUGUAGGACGCUUACAUAAGCUUCUCUUUGAUGGUACGUUGUGUAGUUCAGUUUUGCUAGUCUUGCUUGUGACAUAAAAUAUCUCCAUAUUUCUUUGCCUGUAAAUCAAAAUAAAAGCACUCAAAUAUUAAUUUUAGGUUAAUUUUGCAAAAUUAAGAAAAAUGAAUUACACAUGAAGGUUUUGAAGAAGUCGUGGCGUCCGGAUUAGGUAAUACUUUCACGGAAAUUGAAAGUGCAAUUCUCUAAUGCCACGUAAGUCUUAAUUAGGAAAUUGAUUUAUGUUGGCUGAGUUACCAAAUUUUGAUACCUUGCCAAAUUUUCACACAAUCAGAAUCAUGACUGCUGCCUGUAUACAUUCUGUGUCUGUAGAUUAUUACAACUCUUUAAGGAUAUCAAAAUUAAAGAACCGGUCAAAUUUAAACCAAUUACACCUGUGCACGAGUUGUGCAUAUUUAAUUUGGUCGAAUAAUUUACUAAAACUUGAAACUAAAGAAAGCAGUAAAUUAAUGACCCACCAUGACCAGAUAAAUCACCCACUAACUUUUUUUUUUUUUUCCUUCGGAGCACCUCAAAUCAGUGGCGGAUUUAGAAAAAUAAUUUACCGAGGGCUAAAUUAAAUGACAACAAAAUAUAAAAAUUGAAAUUUGAAUAUAUAAAAUUUUUGAUAACACAGUUACAAUUGUUCUCUACGCAAUUUCAUAUUCUGAAAACGUUGUACAAUAGAUUCAUUAUCAAUAUUAUUAAAUACAUCUUUUCUAUAUAAACAAUUAAAUUAUUAUUUGUUCAUUCAUCUCCAAUCCGAUUCCGAAGUUCAUUCUUCACAAAUUUCAUUGCUGAAAAUGUUCUUUCUACUGUAGUUGUAGAAACCGGAAGAACUUGGAUUAUUUAAAAAUAUAACAGAGAUUAUUUAAAAAUUUAUUAAUUUUUCUUUUAAACAAAAAAAAAAAAUUCGGUGGGGGCUUGAGCCCCCACUAGUCCUACGCUACAUCCGCCUCUGCCUCAAAUUUCCGAAGAAAAAUUAAAUAAAAUCUCCUGCAUCCAUUUCUUGUGAACAUUUUAUAUUUUUUUAUAUGCAACAAGCUUUCAUUAAAAUUUAAGACUCUAUCCUCUAGAAUAUACUCCAAAACGUAGAUCGAUUAAAAUCAUAAUAUUUUCGUUCUCACUAUAGAUUCGCCUAUAUAAGCAACCAUUAAAGUAGGAAAAAAAAUAACAAUAAGAGCUUAAAUACUACUUCGUAAAUAAUCAAGAAAUAUGACAAGCAACAAGAACAACAACUACAGAUUCAUAAAGAUUUUUACGAAAUUUUAAGUCACAUUUUAAUGCACAUAACAUUGUAAAAUUCUUGGAACUGAGUACAAACAGUAAGUUAGCAUUUGGUUAGAAAAUUGUACAGGGGAUUUUCUUCUUCAAGUGAUGACCAAAUUUUCUUCAGUUUCCAAACUACUCGCUAUCUAAAACACAAACAAAAUGUUUUCGAGAAACCAGGGAAAAAAAGAAGAAGAAGAAGCAAAACUCACCAGUUUGAGCAUAAGCAGAAGCAAUUUGGCAUGACCCAACAGGCAUCAAUACUUUAUGUUUCAAUCUCCUCAAGUCAGGCUUAUAAACCCAAUAAUCCCCUGCAUGCUCCACAAGAUCAUCACACCUGAACAUCUCCACCAUGGCCCCACAAGAACCCACAAAGACAACGUACACCGCCCGAUCAACAUCAGGUUUCAACCACCCACUCUCCACCGCUAGAUUCGCCACCACGAGAUUCACUUGCAACCUAAACACAUCCCUCAUCCCACCACCUGCAUCUCCAUCUCCUCGGCAGGGAACCCUAACCACUAUCACGUCGAGGUACCGGUAAUCCUGCGCCGGCAUGGGUAUAUCCGGGCACGCCGGUGGGGCCCACUUGUGAUCUUCAUCAAUCCACUCCGGGAAAAAGUCUUCCCACUUUUUAUCCUCACCCACAUGGUCGAAACGUACGUGAACAGUUUCAACAUGCAUGUCACCACGUACGCUAUUAUAAUCAUCAUCGUCGUCGUCGUUUAUAUUUACUAAACCAACUUUAAUUUUGUGACCGUUGAUGUGUUUUUCGACAAUAUCGAGCCAUUUGGGUCUGUGUAUUAAGUGGUUAGUAUUAUAUUUAUUAUUUGGCUCGUAAGCCAAAUGGGGUUGUUGUUUAGGUUUGAAUGACAAAACAAAAAGGAAAAGCGAGAAGGAGAGGAGAAGAAGAGAGAUUAUGAAGAGCUUUUGACUGAAAUUUGUGGGUUUGUUAGAAGAAGAUGAUGAUGAAGCUGCAGCCAUUUGAUUGAAUUUUGCUUCACGUCUUUGUUGAAAGUUGAAAGAUUUGUUUUGAGUCGACAUUUUGUUUUAAGUUAUAUCCAACGCAUCGAAUUGGAAUGAAAAGAUUGCAUUGCAGCAUGUUGAGCUUUGUUAAAUUGUCUUCUUAUGUGUAGGUAUUUUAUUUUCACACGCAUUUGAUGCGCGUGGGUAGGUUUACUAAAUGUAUUUCCUUUUUUAUUAUUAUUAAGAUUAAAAUAUACUUCUAAGUUGUCAAAUUAGGCAACAAACAUAAUACACUUGUUACCCAUUUCCAACUCUCCCCAAAUUUUACUAUUUUUAUCUUAUAUUUCCGCUGCCAUUAGAUUUUUAUCAAACAAUUGUAUUUACUUAUAUUUGUUACCUUAUUUUGCAAGGUAACAAAACCCGUCAAAUUAUGAAUAAAAUCUUUUACGCUACACAAAAAAAUUAUUUAUUGCACGUAAGAGAAAAAUUAUUUGUAUAAGAUUAGGUAUACAUAACUUGAUUGAAAUGAAAUAAUAUAAUUGUAAAAAUUAACAAAGUAAAAUAAAUUAUACGCAACUAUCUAAGACUUAUAAAUUCUUAAAAAUUCUUUCUCUUUGUAUAUGGUAAGGUAAGAAAUUUGAGAUCCAUCUUCAGUUCGAAAAAAAAUUAUGUCCAAACUCAAAGUCUUUCCUUAGUGAAGCAAAGAAAUUCGUACCAACAAUAUGAUCAUAUAAGCAAAUUAUUCGUGACCAACAAUAAGAAAAUUAUGUAUCAUACAUAAGUCAAUAAUGAGAUUUUUUUUAAAAGUUAAUUAUAGUAUAAUUGAAUGGUAACUUAAUUUUCUCCUGCCCAUGUGAGCUAAGUGGUACAUAAGAAUGAGGUUUUUUGAAUAAUAACAAAAAGUGUAAUAAAAUAUACUUAUCUAAACUAAACACUACAUAAAAAGUUCCUUUUAUAUACUACUCUCUCUCUCUCCUCCCUACAAUCUAGGUAUUUUUUUUAAGUUCAUUUUUUAAAAGAUUCGAGAGUGGAUUAAAUCUAAAUCGAUUUUUUUUAGCCUUUACGUCCCUUAAAAUUCAAAAUAUAUUAGCUAGUUAAAUAAAAGUACUUAAAAAUUAUUUGACUAAAUCAUUGAGGGCAUAAUUUAGAUAUUGAUAAAUAGUUAAAAUUUUUCAAUUAAAUAUGAUCAUCUAUUGGCGUUCUUAAAGUUCCGUAAUCACAGCCAGUACAAUGGUUCUAUCAAAUGAAAUAUUUCUAUCCAAAAUCAAUUUCUUUUUUAUCAUAUGGAAUUAAUAGAUUUGGAAUUGUGGAUUUUUAAUAGAUAUAAUAAAUACCCCAAGUAUUUUGAUAAUAUUCUAAAAUUAUCGUUGAGUUAGUGUGUGGCUUCGGGAGUCACUGUCAUGAACUUGGUCAGUCUAACAAAUAUAAAGUAGCCCAUGGUAUCAUCAAAAUAUGUGCAACCCUGCUCAGUAGAAACCAAAUCAGAUUAGGGAAAUUAUCUCUGUUUUCUUGGUCAAUCUUUUGUGACUUCAUCAAUAGACAUAACAUGUAGCCACGCCACAAUUUUUAAUUUUAGUUGGAAUGCUUAGAAGUCUAUUAAAGAUUAUAAUGUCACCUAGUUAAGAAUAUUAUCAAUUAUUCUAUUUUAAUAUAAUAUUUAAUUAAAUCAUUGCCAUUAUUGUACUCAGUCAUGGCUCAUAUGUGGAUCCACUGAUUCUUUCCACUGUUGAUUGAUUGAGGGACGGUCAAGAUUUGAUUAAAUAUUGGAAUUGGUAUGCGAUCUCAUUAAAGUUGACUUCUAAAUUUGCAUUCUCAAUUAUUCAGAUUUAAAAAACAAGAAUGAUAAUAUGAUAGUUACGUUUGAAAUAUUAUGUUUCUUCUCAAAGCUGCAAAUCUCAUUUACAUUACCUGGUCAAAGACUUCUUGAAAUAAAUUAUUUAUGCUAUUAAUCAGUUAGUUAAGGAUAUACUUUAAAUGAUAUGACAUUUAAUCAAUGAACGAUACAACAUAUAUCGAUUUAAUAUUAAGAUAUCUAAACAUAAUGAGACGACAAGAUCAAUACUCAACAUACAAUUUAUUUUUAAUACAAUUUCUUUCAUAAAUAUUGAUACAAUAAUAUUGAAUCAAUGUCAUGUCACUUGGUUUACUUUAUUUACUUAUUACUUAACUCUUUUAGUACUCAUACGUCACUCAAAAUCUCGUAUAUUUAUUUUGUAUGUAUCGAAUUAUUGAGAUUAAAAUUCAUAGAGUUCAACUCUCGUGCACGAACUUAGGAUUUCUCUAUUAAGUUUACUUGAAUAUGAUUAUAUUUUUGUCCAGAAUAUUCCAACAUUAUGUAUUACGCUGAAGAUUAAGCCAAUCCCACUACUAGAAAACUGAAUUUCUUUGACAGAAUGCUUUUUCACAUGAUAGUGUAUGUGUCAAAUAUUUUGUGAUAGAUAUAUUCUUUUCCUAAUGCGGCAAACACCAUUGUUUCAAAAUUUUAGUGGCCUUGAAAUUUUGAUUAUUCUAUAAGAAAAUAGUUACAAAAUUCUGUCACUAAUAGUAAAUUAAGUGAUUCUUGAUAGAAUACUAUCAAAACACUUAAAUAAAAUCUCACAUUUUAAUAUUUUACAAAAAUGUGUUUUAAAGAUUUUAAUUUUUUUAACAUAAUUCUAUCGAUGAACUUUCUUUUUAAAUUUUUAAUUCCACUUAGGCAUUGAAAAUGACAUAGUUUUAAAAGAUUUCAAUGACUUAACUGAUGUGAAUAUAUCUUUGAUAAGUCAACGACAAAAUUCUAUCAAAUAAAAUUUACUAUUUUAUUUAUUUUAUGUUGCCACAUCAAUAAAUUCAUAUGCUCAAAAAAGAAAAACUUAUGUAGGCUGAAUUCAUCACCUUAUCAUAUAAAAAAAAGACCUGCUCAACCAAUAAGAAUUUGCCAUCUAAAAAGUUUAAUGGGUCUUUAAAAGGGUUUGGCUUGAGUUUGAGCUUGAGUGUUUCAAGUCUAAUCUAAUAAGCAAGUUUAUAAAUUAUAAAUUUAUGAAAUACAAUGAAAAAGGUUUAAAAAAAUUAAAGUAUAAAUCUAAGGUUUCACAAUUUAAAAUAUCAAAUAAUGGCAAAAUGGGCGUCCAAAAAGUGCGGCAAAUCAAAAUUAUUCAAAAUUCAUCUCUUCAAUCCUUUUUUUUUAAUUUUAGAGGGAAAAAACUUUUAUGUACGGCUGAAAUAAAAGUAACCCAAAAACAUUCUGUAAUUGAAAGCUUGGAACGAAUUUCACGCCUCUCGCCUUCUCUUUCACGCAUUUCGCAUUAACACAAUUUGGUUGGAAAAAUGGAAAGGAAUAGAGAAAUAAAAGGAGAAACAAAUGGAAUAAUUAGAGAGAGGGAUGAGAUUCCAUUUAUUGUUUGGUUAUAAGUACUGGAAAUGAAACACGAGAAAAUAAUUGAGUGUUUUUUUUUUGUUAACUAAAAAAAUACGUAUUUUUUGUAUUUGAUAUUUAAUAGAAAAUUCAAAGUAAAAUCAAAUCCAUUUGUAAUAUAAGUUCACUUCAUUCAUAAAAUUAAACAUAUAGAAUAAAAUUUAUAAACGUUACUUAUACAAAUACAUAUUACUAUUCAAAAUAAUAAAAAUUUCGCAUUGGAAACACCAAUAUUAUACAAAUACACAUUGCAAAUAAUAAUAAGCUCUCAGAUGAGCACAAAAAAGAAAAAAAAGAACACCAAUCUCAACACUCAACACUCAAAAUCAAUGAAUCCCCAGUAGUUUGGCCUCACAAGAGCUCUCUCUGUGUUGUGCUUUCCCUCAUUCAUAACAGAUUAAAAAAGCACGCGCCGCGCCCGUCCCCCAAUUCCUGCUUUGCGACGCUGAAAAAUAUCGCUUUCCCCAACAAAACAAAUGAAUCAGUUACACAAUUAUAUCUAAUUUUAAAUUAAUGAAGAAGAGUAGAGAGAGAGCAAACGAGAUGGAAAGCGUAUACAAAUUAUAAUUACUAACCAGAGUUAUUAGCACCAUUACAUAUAUAUAUCCCUGCUGAAUCCCCUCCUCUGUUCACCAUUCGUUUCUAAAAUGGAUUAAAAAAUAACAACUAAUUAUUUUUAAUUAAAAUAGAGUGAGCAUGCAAUGCAUGCAGGAGAUCUAGAAAGCAAUUACCCGUGGCGGUGGCCCUGGGUGAUUGUAUUUUGUAAUUGCAGCCGCGCACUUCACUUAAUGUCGAUGUUGGGAAUGUGGCGUAUCUUUGGCCAGUCCUCUCCUGUCUCCUUUCUGCAACGUUCUUCUAAAAUAUGACAUCCCCACAAAAUCUCCAAUUUCUGCAGCGUUGUCUUCUGAAGAAGGUGAUCGGGCAGUGCUUUUAAUUUAGGGCAUAGCCGAAUUGACAAGGAAGAAAGACGUGGCAUGAUUAUGAUUUCUCCCUUUAUUGCUGUCCCGAAAUCCCACUCUUCCAGUUUUUCCAUAUUACGAAAUGUCAGCUCUUUCAAUUUGGGAAAGGCAAUAACUGAGGAGCCAUCCGUAUCACUUUCUACUCCCAGAAAUUCAUUACCCACUCUUUUCACACUUUCCAUUCCAUCAAUAUUAAGAUCUUCAAGGGAUGGCAAUCUUCCCAAAGGAGGCAAAUGCUCACAAUUUCUGCAAUCGAAAAUACGUAAAACCCUUAAAUUGGUUAGUGACAUGAUCCAAUUUUUGGGAACAACAUUCCUCCUGCCUCCGUAAUCACCUAUCACUAAUUUCUUUAAAUUAGGAGAUGGUCCCAAGGCUUCAAGAAGCCGUUCAUCUUCAUCCUCCUCAUUCUCCCUCCUCCCAGCUUGUUCAAAAUCAAGGUCCAAAUCAAAUUGAAGUCCCAACUCAACGAGAUAUUUCUUUUUCUCAAGUUCAGCCCUUCUAGCCUCCCCCGCAUCUGAUACAUCACCCAGCCCACGUAUCCUGCAGUCUCGAAGGAGGUUAAGCUUUUUAAGAGACCCAAGGCUACAUGCUCUGUCAUACCCUCCACCCACAACAAAGUUUCCCACUAUCCGAAGCCUGAUUAAUUCCCCAAUCCCUGCCGGCAAGUAUCUUAAAGAAUCAGUCCUCACAUUGUGUAAAUACAUCAGCUUUCUUAACUUCCCAAUCCCUCGAGGUAAUUCUCGAAGAUUUUCACAAUCAUCAACGUUUAAACGUUCUAAAUUAUAUAACUCACACAACGUCUCGGGUAAUUUUUCUAUCUUGUUUUGACCUUUCAAAUUAAGGUACUUCAAAUGUAUCAAUUUUUCUAUAUUUGUUGGAAUUUCCUUGAUGAAAUUCACACUUGACCACCUAUCACCCACCUCUAAUUUUAAUGCCCUUAAACAAGUUAAUUUAUCGAAUAAUUGAGGUAGGACUUCACUAGACCAUGAAUAUUCAUCACUUUUAACUAAGAGGCUACGCAAUCCUUUAACAUUACCCCAAAUGGAGAUCGGAACCGAAGCCCCCCUAGAUAGAGUUAACAGUAAAUGAUGGAUUUUUUUCUCCCCGAAAGAGCUAAUAGCUAACUCUUCACCACUAUGAAUUUCUACUGUUAAACAUUCAUUACGACAUAAAUAUUGGGCAAAGUCGUGCACGAUAUCGUGCAUUUUGCAAUUAGAGAUUUCACCAUCAUCACCUUUGUCAAAAUCCUGAAAGAAUGAACGGUUAGCUAAGAUGUUGAAAUACUCUUCACCAAUAUCCUCCAUCUCUUUGCCUCCUUUCUCACUAAGAUAACCUUGUGCCAUCCAUAGUUCAAUUAACUUAUGCUUCCGUAUUUCAUAGUCUUUCGGAAAGACGGCACAAUAUGAGAAACAACGCUUUACCUUGGAGGGUAAUUCUUUGUAACUCAACAAUAGAGGGGCUAAAAGGCCUUUCUCAAUUGCUUCUAGUUCCCAUAUCUCACUCUCUAAGAUAUUUUGCCAUUCUUUUUCAGUGUUUUUAGACCGCAAGAGACUAGCAAUUGUCUUUGCAGCUAAAGGUGAGCCCUUGCACUUUUUUACAAUUUCUCUACCAAUUUUUUCUAAAUUUUCACGUUUUCCUAUGGUCUUACCAGAAAUUGCCAACGACUGAAACACCGACCAGCAUUCCAUUUCAGACAAUACAUUGACAGAGAUAACAUGAGUUGAUCCCAUAAUACGGGCAACUGUUUCUUUACGUGUGGUAAUUAAAAUUUUACUUCCAUGGAGACUAUUCUUUAAACAUUUGUAGAAUGGUUCCCACUUAUAGUAAUCUUCAUUCCACACGUCGUCUAAGACAAGAGGACAUUUCUUCCCGGCAACACAUUCUUGAAUAUGUUGCAUGAGAGAUUGAAACUCUACAAGGUCUUUGGCAGAACCUGGCUUCAGAGACUCAAUGAUUGCUCUGGCGAUCCUGAACUCAUCAAAUGGCUCUGACACACAGACCCAUGGUCUUUUCUCAAAAUUUCUUUCAACAUCACCGUUGUUGUAGGCAAAUUGAGCAAGAGUAGUUUUGCCUAUUCCCCCCAUCCCAACAAGUGAGAUGAUAGAGGGGCCUUUCUGUUCUUUACUACUCUCACAUAACAACCUAUUAACGAGUUCGUUCUUCUCUUUUUCUCUACCAAAUAUCUCGGACUCAUCAAUUGAGGAGAUACUUGGUACUCGUUGAUCCGCUUUCUCAUUAGUAACAUUCACAACAAAACCAAACAUGUCUUUCUGUUUGGCAAUAUCAUCAAGAGUUUCGUUGAUUUCUUUUAUCUUCAGAGCAAUGUCACGACGUAAGACAAGUGGUUUGCAGGCAAAGCAAGAUGCAGUAGGAAAGAAGGAACAUACCUUCUUCUUAGGAACGAGAGCAUCAUUCUCAGAAUCAUCAUCCACUCCGUCGAUUUGCAGUUUGAGCCUUGCAGUGUUCCACUCACCCAACACGUCUUCCAUGUCGUAACAUGCGUCUCUGAGUUGAUCGAGCCAGAGUCUGACAGUUUCCUCCUUCACUUGCCUUUUCUCUGCAUCAUGGAGCACAGCUUCAAUGACGCGGAGACUGCUGGUCAGCUUCUUCACUUCCUUUCCGACACCCGUUACUAGCCUCGCUUGUUCCUUCGCCUCUUCAACAGCCAUUGAAGUCAGCUGCUCCAAGAUAGGGGAAAGGAUCGCAUCAACCAUGGUGAAAAAGAAAAAAGAGAGAGAGAAGAAAUUGAUGGUGAAUUGUUGCAAAAGUAAGUAGCUAAUGCUGAAAGAAAUGAAGGAGCUGAUAAUGUGGUGAAAAUGUUGCCGUAUUCUUUCAAUUCUUUUAGUACUGCAAGCAAAAUUCUAAUUUAGAAAUAUUUAUUUCAUUUCAGCCCCUUGUGAAAGAAGC